rnacentral:lncRNA from 1 species
UCUCUAUAUUCCAGCAAGCAUCACACUUUGCAUUCCCAGGUUCUGCUAGAGAGGUUCAGUUGUGUUUGUUGUGUUGUUUUCACUUACUUUGUUGUCUUGUGCAGUUUGCAGAUUCUGCUAGAGAGGUUCACUGUCUUCUACGUAUUCCCAAUACGGACUAUCAUGCAGUACGCCGCUCCAUGGUGUGAGAUUCACCGGGUGCAUGACUGGAGUGCAGUUGACCCUCGUGUGGUGCAGUGCAGUUUGCAGUUUUUUUGUGUCUUUAGAAUUGUAGUGAAGUGCAAUUUGACUGAAUUUAUCCAGUGCAAAAAAUUGUUAAAUUUGGUAUAGUGGGCGACAGUGUGUGUGUGUGUGUGUGUGUGUGUGUGUGUGUGUGUGUGUGUGUGUGUGUGUGUUAGUGCAGUGUAGUUUGGCUCCAGUCUGGGGCGCUCCUCUGGUGCGACGUCGGCCAGUUCGGGAGGCAACGGGAAAAAAACUCGGGUGGUGUAGUUCGCGAGUCUCCCAUCUGCAGUACCCAUGUCUUCAGUAAAUUUGUUUGAAGAGAGACAAAAGAAUGUAGUCCACUCCAUUUGUGUAGCAGCUCGUUACCCCACUAUAUGAAGUGCAAUUUGUUUCGUGUGUCUUAGAAUUCAGUCGACUAUGUCAACACUUGCAGUGCGUUUGGCCCUCGAAUGUGGAUUACCUUUACGAGUGAUGUUGUUCACUUGCGCCAAACAUGAAGUGUGCGAUUUUUUUAAAACGAAACAAGAAGAUAGCAAUGAGGUUCAUUUGCCCUCGUCUCUAUGGUCCACUCUCGUUCAUAAAAAUUGUUGAAAAAAAGACAACAAUAACUCGUAUGGGAAAAUUUAUGUCCCACAAAAAAAAUCAUGCAGUGCACUUGUCGGUCUGAUGAAGUGUGGGUUUUAGUCUAAAGAAGUGCACUCCACCUCGUUUGGUAAAAUUUAUGUCCCAUAAAAAAAAUCAUGCAAUGCACUUGUCUGUCCAAUGAAGUGUGAUUUUUAAUCUAAAUAAGUGACGUUUUCUGUCUGAUGCAAUACGGCCCACUUACAGUAUAGUCUCGAGGUUCACUUUUCAUAGUCUUGGGGUUCACCAACACUUGACAUGAAGUGCACUCCACCUUUUGUUUAGGAAAAUUUACGUUCCACAAAAAAGAAAUCAUGAAGUGCACUUGUCGGUCGGAUGAAGUACGGUUUUUAGUCUGAAAGCAGUGCUGUUUUCUGCCUGAUGCAGUACAUAUGACGAUUUUGGGUCGCGAAAAAAUAGAGUGUCCGCAUUUCGUUAAAAUCAAAAUUGUGCUUCAGCCGUAAGGAAUUAGAGAGAGUGUUCUACAUGAAAAAGUUGCGCCUCAUUGAUAUCUUUCUAAUGGUGUAUAAUUCGAAUCAUUUCGACCAUCGGUUUGCAAAAAUUUCACGAAAAACGGCCGCUGCCUCCCAUCAUCAGCCGCACGAUUUUCAAAAAUUACUAAAAACCAUAAGGAAUCUCAAACAUAUUCCAACAUACGAAAGUUGCGCCUUGUCCAUAGCUUUCCAACGGCGUAUCAUACUCCUCGUUUCGGCAAAUGGUUUAAAAACUGGAGGUAAAACAGUACCAAAAAUUUGAAAAAAUUCAAAAAAACGUAAUUCCUCGAUCUAGUAAAUUUGAAACUGCUCUUAAACUGUAAUGAAUUAGAAAAAAAUAAUAGAUAUGAAAAAGAUGAGCCUCGACGAUAUCUUUCCAACGGCGUAUCAUUUGCUUUAUUUCGAUGAGCGGUUUAGACAAAAUUGUGAAGAUACGCUUGCUGCCACUCGUUGUUCGCCGCACCAUUUUUGAAACUACUCUUAAACCGCGAGGAAUCUCGGAAAGUGUUCAACAUGAAGAAGUUGCGCCUAAUCCAUAGCUUUCCAACAGUAUAUUAUACGUCUCGUUUCGAUGAACAGUUAGAAAACUAGAGCAAAAACAGUACCAAAAAAACACUGCAUGCAGUUUUUUACGACACGAAGUUCACUAGUGUGUAUUGCAGUGCCCUUGCUACAGAAUGUGCAGUGCACUUGCGUUGAGCGUGCAGUGCGGAAGUGUUAUCAAAAUAGUUGUUUUGCUAAUAUUAGCAGAAUAGACCGGUUGUAUACACACACACACACACACACACACACACACACACACACACACACACACACACACACACAUAUAUAUAGGGAAAAUCCAUCCUACCACCAGGUGGUAGUUACCCCACAUGUCUCAUAUACUACCAUGUGGUACUAUAUAUACUAUUUUAUUAUUUUAAAUAUGUUCAUGUACUAUAUCUAAGAUAUUUCAAAGCAAGUUACAUGAAAAAAUUGCAUAUGAGCCAUAGUUUUUGUUAUAUUUGUAAAAUACGUACGUAUUUGUACGUAAAAAUGAGCAUACUCAAAAAUGGUACAUACUACCUAAAAAUUAGUAUAUAUAUUACCUAAUCAUUGUUAUAUACUACAUACUACACGUACAUACUCUCGGUUCCGACAGAUACUACAUACAACAUACAAAACACAAGUGGUGGUAACCGAGAGUAUGUACGUGUAGUAUGUAGUAUAUAACAAUGAUUAGGUGGUAUAUAUACUAAUUUUUAGGUAGUAUGUACCAUUUUUUGAGUGCUCUUUUUUACAUACAAAUAUGUACGCAUUUCACAAAUAUAACAAAAACUAUGGGCUCAUAUACAAUUUUUUAAUGUAACUUGCUUAGAAAUAUCUUAGAUAUAUUAUAUUAACAUAUUUAAAAUAAUAAAAUAGUAUAUAUAGUACCACAUGGUAGUAUAUGAGACAUAUGGGGUAACUACCACCGGAUGGUAGGAUAUAUCUACUAUCGUAUUUCAAAACCGAAAUCACGAAUCGUAUUUUGGACUUAAUUUUCAAACAGUUUAUCGGAAUUGAGCAAAUGAGAUGGCGUUGGAAAGCUUGUGAAAAUCCGCAUCUUCCAUAUAUCUACUAUUUUUUCAUAUUCUGUAUGAUUUAAAAGUAAUUUGAAAAAUGGUGAAAUCCUGGGAGAAACGUAUUUUCGCUGUCUUUUGCAAACGCUUUGUCGGAUUGACGCAAAUGAUAAAUCGUUGGAAAGAUAUGGAAAAUGCACAACUUUUUCGUAUUGAAAUGUUUUUCUAAUUCCUUAUGGUUUAAAAACAAAUUCGAAUACGGCCAAAUUUGAUUUCGAACGCGAUUUUUUAAAAAAGUUUGUCGAAAUGGGGCAAAUAAUAUACCGUUGGAAAGAUACUGGAAAUGCGAAACUUAGUCAUGUUGAAUAUUUUCUCAAAUUCGCAACUGUUGAAGAGUAAUUGUGAGUACGGUGAGACCCAUCAUGUUGUUUUUUCCGGUCAGAAAACAGAGUACUCGUACUGAUCUAUUUGUGUGUUUGUACUGAGGUAUUUUUCACAGUAGUUUUGAAUGGUUCCGAAAAAAGAGUACUUGAACGGAUACCCGUAUGUUUUUGUACUGAGCGUGUUUUCACGUAGUAGACUUUACUCUGUAUUUUCCGGUAUGAUUUUCCUCGUAACUUCUCAACGGUUUACGAUAUCAUCGUCCCUGAACUUGCAUGGUUUUAUAUCGUUGAACUGAAUGACAUUUUAUUUAAAGAAAAAUAUUGUGUGUUUCUUUUUUUCAACUCUAACAUUUUUUUUAACAUUGUUUUGGACUUCUCUCAUUCCGUGACUUGAACUUCCACCAUUUGAAUUUCCACAGGGUUUCUUUUUGUUUGAGCUUUUUCCUAAAACUUAUCUCGGCUUCGUGUUGAACUUACAACUUUUUAAAUUGUGAACUUAUUGUGUUUUUACAAUUCCAAAGCUAGCAAGUAGUAGGAGAUUUACCCAACAAAGGGGUUAUUUACAUGGAGCAGCCGUAGUAGUACCACAAUCUGAUCGAUAGCUAGCAGCAAUACCAGUGCUCACUAAUACACAUACACAUGAACUGAUAACCAACUUGCGCACGACCUGACAAACAAGAAAAUGCAUUAACCGACAAGAAGAACACAAUACACAUGAACUGAUAAUCCCCACGGCUGAUGACAGAGCUUUGUAGCAUCUAGGUUCACCCGUUUACUGAAAGUAGAACUUCUGAGUUUUAUUAAUUCAGGUGAUGUUUAAAUGCUCACCAUUUUGGACUACAUCAGAAUACUCACAACACAACAAUAUUUGCUAAAGGUCCUGAAUUACAGAGUUACAGAACAAAUUCUUUGUCCAACGACAAUGUAAGAGUCAUGACCAGUAAUCACAAACAACACUAGCUCGACCGCCCAGCAUGUGCGUGUGGCGAGGGGAGGAGAUACUAUGAUGCUAGAUGUGUAGAGACAACAAGCUCACGCAUAGAAGACGAUGGACGACUCACGCAGGAGGCCUCAAACUGCUCUCCUGUUGCCACCGAUGGCUAUGGAUCAUGCAAAAUCCUGACCAAAAGAUCACUUUUAUUUUCACGAAACUAAUCUCUUGUACGUGCUCCAAGAUAAUCUUCGAGCCUCCUACAAGAACAGUCAUUAUUUUAAAGUCCACAUGAAUACCUACAAGAAAUGAUCACAAACAUUUACAGGACAUUCUUUUAAAGAGCUAUGCAAGAAUAAUUAAAAUAGGGUGAAACAAAUAUCAUCUAGAUUCUAGCAACAACCGUUUUGCAUGAUCAUUGACAUUUGGAAUAGCAUCCAACAACUAUCAGAGUUCCGUAAGACCACAUUUGUACUUACUAUGACGAUGUACUUGUGCUGCGCAAAAACAUACAUGGAAGCACAAAAUAAACAUUUAAAUACAUUGGUGCUCACGUGAAUAGUCACAAACACCUAAAGAGCAUGUUUUUUUUCACAUCUUCCCAACUACUCAGUUAGCAGAAUACCACAUCUAUGCAUUUUAGUAGCAGGAGCAAAGAAAGAGAGAGAGAGAGAUUGCUGUGAGAGAGUGCCAUUGACGCACACAUAGGACUACCAUCAGCGCUCAACUUGGACGGCUGCCAUCAACCAUGGUGGACGGCUGCCACCAAAAAAAACAAAUUGCAAACUACACAACUACGAAUAGGCCAAACCGGUAAGCACAUCAGAAUCAUAAGCAAUCCCACCAGGUACAGGCACACCCUCCUAUUCACAACUCUGAAGUAUCGAUGAACCCUGUCCUCAAAGAUAAUGCCAUAUUGUGGGAUCAUUUAAGUGCACAACUAAGAGCACUAUGAGACAGAAAUAUUGUACAACUACAGCGACAACUGCAAAAAAGUACAACAUUGGUAAAAAAAUGGAUUCUUUGUGACAGCAGGGCAGAUAGCAACUUGGUUAUUCAAGUUCCAAUUGCUUAAAUCAGACCGUUCUAGCUUAGAAUCUAGCUAACACAAAACAAAUCUGAAGCAGUCGGCCUAGCCACACCCCCAACAUAACUAAUUCCACCAGAAGAGCCAUUUGCAACCUACAUGGCCUUCGCUCGACCAAGAUCUUAGCAGUCCUCACACGGGAUCCAGGCACUGGAGCAAGAAGUGACAACUUGCCAAAGUGUGAGGAGGGGCUCGUCCGGUGGCGUAUCAAGGAGAGAUUGCGGCGGCACGCUCAGACCGUGAUGCGGGUGCCCCUGAACUGAUGUGAAUUUUCUUGCGAAACUGCUAUGCAAUCGUGCAAUGGGUGAGCUACCAUAUAAUAUAAAGUUGAGCUCUCUCUAACACACAUCAAAAUAUUUUUUUACGGUUGUUCUGUAUGAACUAAUGACAAAAUACACAUUGAACAGAUAAUAAUAUAUUAUUUUCUCAUAUAGGAAACAUGUUCUUCGCCACAUGAACUGAUACUCUAACACACAGAGAAUUGUUUCCAUGCUAAGAACGGAGGAUAAAAUAAAUAGUGAUUUUCCAGGGUCUCAUUGCAACCUUGCUUCCUAUUCAAUUAAGGAUUCAUGUGACACUUGCUUCCCCUUUCAUCAGUACUAGUACAACUCAACAAUAAGUUCGGAAUUGUAGACGACAUCCUUGUCAGUACGACUCAUCAGUACUAUAUGGAUGUUAGUUUUAACAUUAAGAAUAGUACUGAUCAGUACUAAUAUUUUGUGUAAGUUGUACUGAUCAGUACUGCUACUUGUCGUACUAAUGAGCAGUACUGAUCUAGCUAACACAAAGAUUUUUUCAUCUAGUGGAUUUUUAACAUUAUAUUAGAAAAAUAAAUCUAGAGCAAUUAUCUUGUAGAACCAACAAAAAAAUAUAGCGUAGAAGCUGCAAACACAACCCGCAAUCAUCAACUGAAGUUGUGUUCUUACUCUGACCAAGUUCAGUUUUCUUCAGAAAAAUGGAUGAAAAAUAGCAUCGUCUUUGCCAUCAAAUUUUUUAGCAUGUAUGGGGAUGGACAGGUGAUGAGAGGAUGGACCUUCUAAUGGUGGAGAAGAACUACGAUCUGAGGGGUGGCAGGAGACGUACUAGUGUAGGACGCUGUCGAUGGUGCAGCGUUGUCCACGGAGAGUCCUCCCAGGUGGCGCUCACUAUCUCAAAUCAGAAAAAGACCGACGACAAUGGUGCGUGAACCAGUACGACGGACGCUGGGCACGAACUAGGACGCCGGCUACCGGAUCAUUGAACGGAUCAAGGGUGCCCUGCACGCAGCCCUUCUGGUGAUCGAUGAUGGAGCGUGUAGUUGUACUGCCGAGAGGAACAAUCUCGACCCCGCGGCUCCCUCCUGCAGCCGCGGGUGGCGUGUGGGAGGGAGGCGACAACUGGUGGUGCGGGGAUCUGGGUAUGGCCGGCGAUGCGUGAUUUCAGGGAUGGCCGGCGGGGCGCGGACCUGGGGGUGGGCAGCGGUGCGCGGACCCGAGUGUGGGUGGCGGCAAGCUGGAGGAAGGAGGUCGCCGGCGAUGUGGAAGGAGAAGGCUGGCUGGGCGGCGCAGGACGACAACAAAUGCAGUGGCGGUGGUGCGUGGGUAGGGAGGGGCGGGCGGCCGGNNNNNNNNNNNNNNNNNNNNNNNNNNNNNNNNNNNNNNNNNNNNNNNNNNNNNNNNNNNNNNNNNNNNNNNNNNNNNNNNNNNNNNNNNNNNNNNNNNNNNNNNNNNNNNNNNNNNNNNNNNNNNNNNNNNNNNNNNNNNNNNNNNNNNNNNNNNNNNNNNNNNNNNNNNNNNNNNNNNNNNNNNNNNNNNNNNNNNNNNNNNNNNNNNNNNNNNNNNNNNNNNNNNNNNNNNNNNNNNNNNNNNNNNNNNNNNNNNNNNNNNNNNNNNNNNNNNNNNNNNNNNNNNNNNNNNNNNNNNNNNNNNNNNNNNNNNNNNNNNNNNNNNNNNNNNNNNNNNNNNNNNNNNNNNNNNNNNNNNNNNNNNNNNNNNNNNNNNNNNNNNNNNNNNNNNNNNNNNNNNNNNNNNNNNNNNNNNNNNNNNNNNNNNNNNNNNNNNNNNNNNNNNNNNNNNNNNNNNNNNNNNNNNNNNNNNNNNNNNNNNNNNNNNNNNNNNNNNNNNNNNNNNNNNNNNNNNNNNNNNNNNNNNNNNNNNNNNNCAUAUGAGCCCAUAGUUUUUGUUAUAUUUAUGAAAUAUGUAUAUAUUUGUACGUAAAAAAGAGCAUACUCAAAACAUGAUACAUACUACCUAAAAAUUAGUAUAUAUACUACCUAAUCAUUGUUAUAUACUACAUACUACACAUACAUACUAUUGAUUUCGACAGAUACUACAUACAACAUACAAAACGCAAGUGGUGGUAACUACCACUGCUUGUAGGAAACAUUUGUCAUAUAUAUAUAUAUAUAUAUAUAUAUAUAUAUAUACAUAUACAUAUAUAUACUUCUGCACUGCACGCUCAACGCAAGUGCACGCCAUUGCUUGAACCAAGUGUGCUGCAGUACUCACGCGAGUGAACUUCCCGUCGCAAAAAACUGCAUGCCGUAUUUUUUGGGUACCCUUUUUGCUCUAGUUUUUUUAACCGUUUAUCGGAAUGAGGCGUGUAAUAUACCGUUCAAAAGCUAUGGAUUAGGCGCAACUUCACCAUGUUGAAUACUUUUCGAGAAUCCUCACGGUUUAAGAGCAGUUUUGAAAAUGGUGCGGCCCAAAACGAGUGGCAGCAAACGUUUUCCGUGUUUUUUUCUAAACCACUCGUCGGAAUGAAGCAAAUGAUACACCGUUGGAUAGAUAUCUUCGAGGCGCAUCUUUUUCAUAUACAGUUUUUUCUCUAAGUCGUUACGGUUUAAGAGCAGUUUGAAAUUUACUAAGUCGCGGAAUUCUGUUUUUCAAUUUUUUCCAAAUUUUUGGUACUGUUUUCGCUCCAGUUUUUUAACCGUUUGUCGAAACAAGGUGAUGCGGAGCAUCCCACGCUCAUCCCAUGUACACUCCAACUACUCCCCAAGCCCCAAGUGGACAUAUGAAGAGACCUCGAGCUUACACCAUUGGACCUAAAGUGAACCCGUUCCUAAAUGCUUCCCCUUUCCACUUGUGCGAGACAUGGUUGCUACCUAAUGCAAAGACACUAUGUAUGCUCAGGAACCGAGGAGACAGCCUUGGAGAUACUCGAAGCAUAGGACAAGUCCACAUGGAAGCGGAUCAAGAAGUGCCUCAAGUGGAGUUGCCGCGGAGCUACAGCGGCCGGACAUCCGGCAGGAGCCCGGACAUCCGGCGCCACCAACCAGAAGAAGACCAGAGAGAGGCAGAAGCCAGGCGACUCUACAGCGGCCGGACAUCCGGCCGACCCCCGGACAUCCGGCGCCCCGUGACGGGCCGAACAUCCGACGCCUGCCCGGAAAUCCGGUGCACGUUAUCCAGAGAGCAGAAGAAUCGGCCACUCUAGCCCGGACAUCCGGCCCGCCAGCCCGGACAUCCGGCGUCUCGGGAAGGCCCGGACAUCUGGCCCGACGCCCGGACAUCCGCCCCCCUGCCUGCGUGCAGCGCAUCUGGGCCGAGUCCCAUGUACCCCUUCGCCCCUUAGACUAUAUAUACUCCCCCACCUCCUCCUAGUUAGGGUUAGCAUUGGUUUAGCUCAUAUUUUGUGUGAGAGCCUUGCUCAUCCACUUGGCUACCUUUGUAUCUUUCCUUUGUUGAUUUUGAAUCUUGUGCUACCUCAUGUGUUAGGUGAUCUAGCCCUUGUGUGAUCGAUACUUGUCGGUUGAGUGAUUCUCUCGUUCCUCCCCAUGUUUUCCCCUUUGUGUUUUCCACGCGUUCUUCAUGUUUCCCCAUAGGAUCCACUCCAAACGUGAAAGAUUGGCCCCUAGGGUUCCGCUCUACAUCACAAGGCAUGUAAUAUACCGUUGAAAAGCUAUGGACGAGGCGCAACUUUUAUAAUGUUGAAAUGUUUUUGAGAUUCCUUAUGGUUUUUAAGUUAAUUUUGAAAAUCGUGCAGCGGACGACGAGUGGCAGCGGCCGUUUUUUCUUGAAAUUUUUACAAUCCGCUUAUCGGAACGAUUCAAACGAUAUACCGUUGGAAAUUUAUCGACGAGGCGCAACUUUUUCAUGUAGAACACUCUCUAAUUCUUUACGAUUUAAGAGGAAUUUUGAAUUUACCAAAAUGCGGACACUCUUUUUUUCGCGACAUCAAAAUCGACGAAUGAGCCGCAUCAGACGAAAAAUGCACUGCUUCAGACUAAAUACCGAACUGCAUCAGACGGGCAAGUGCACUGCAUCGUUUCUUUUGUCGGAUGAAAAUUUUCUCAGACGAAAUUGAACUGCUUCAGACUAAAUACCGCACUGCAUCAGACAGGAAAGUGCACUGCAUAGUUUCUUUUGUCGGAUGAAAAUUUUCUCAGACGAAAAUUGAACUGCUUCAGACUAAAUACUGCACUGCAUCAGACGGGCAAGUGCACUGCAUCGUUUCUUCUGUCGGAUGAAAAUUUUCUCACACAAAAAAGUGGACCACUCUUCACGCAUAAGUAAACCACAACACUAUUGAGAAGUGAACAGCAUUACUAUCAAGAAUGAGCUGCCUUAUCAUCUUUCUUUUAUGGAGCAAACCACCAAACCAUAUAUAAUGAGUUGCGUCAUUAGUCAACAUUUUUUUGUCACACAGUCCUUUUCUCUUCUUCAAUACUUACAACCAACCAGAUAGUUUGGCAGAACCAACUAUAUUGUGUUUCCAACAAUUGCAAACAGAAUUUGCCAGAGCAGCCGGACUACAUGGACGAGACUAGCUAACUUCUUUUAUCCAGGGCAGCAAAAGAGAAGUCUGGAGUGAACCACCAAGUUUGUUAUCAAACUUCAUUCUAUAAAACUUACAAAACAUAGCCCUGCAAAUUUACAUAAAACCCACUCAAAACUAAAUGAAAAAAGAAAUCAAAGGGAGCUGCAUCGUACACCGGUGGCGGACUGCUUUUGCCCGCAAAAAACAAUUUUGCCCGCCGACGGAUAUAACCUGAAUUUACAACAAAAAAAGUCAUAUGAUAUAACCUGAAUGCUGCACACACUUCUUGAAUCUUUUGCUCAUAAAAUCAUUUAACUAAUUGUCCAUGUAUUCAUGUUAAACCAAAUUCUGUGCACAAGUUCAGAGUAAGCGCAAAAUGCACUGCUCAAACACUAAAUCUCUUCGCUGUCAUAAGCUGCAUGCUGCUGUGAGGAGGAAUCGAGAUGGGAAAGGAAAUACAGGGCACCUGGUCGCCGGGUGGCCACCAUGCCACCGAGAAGCAGAGGGAGCCGUCAUACACCAAGAAGCAGCAUGAGCCGCCCGGGUGCAGAGGGCAGCGGGCAGCAGUAGGAACUGCCGGGCCUCCGAGCAGCAGCAGUAGCCGUCGGGCCGCUGAGCUGCAGCGCCGCUUCGUGUUCCUAGCUGCAUCAGUGCCUCAGUAAGAAUAUCGUAGAUCAUAAAUAGCCCUACAAAUUUACAAAACUGCUUUUGCCCGCACAAACAAUUUUGUGCGCCGACGGACUGCACCGACAAUCGAGACGACCUGCAUCGGGGAGCGACCUGUACUGCAUCAGUGAAGAGCAACACGAGAGGAGCAUAGGUGAAAGAGAGACGGGGCUAUUGUGCAUGCCGGCGUCACUGAACUGCAGGAGGCAUCAACGUGCACACGACACUGGAGGUUGCAAUGUACUGCACCAAGAGAGAAAAAAGGAUGAACACAAGGUUUGGAGUCCACUAACGAAUCCCGAGGACGCCCGCCUCACAGCACAAAAGUGUACUGCAUGGGAGUCGAUGAUGGCCGCGUGUGCCUGCUGUGUGGACUGCUCCAGCGGAGCGACAAAAGCUCCUAGAGAGGAAGAUCCAGCCGACCUACAUUAGGGAGCAACCUGGACUGCUUGCCGUCAGUGGAGAAUCGCAAGGAGAGGAGCAGAGGACUGGGGAGGAAAAGGAGGAGGCCAGGGCGUCCCCUCGAUCGAGGCAACAUGGAGUCGGGGAGCCUGGAGCCGCAAUCCCGUCAUUCACCAACUGCACAGUCUCACUGGCCAAACUGCACGGGGUCGAAGUAGUGAGAAUGAAGGGAGCCUGGGCGCAUCGGAUUUGGCCGAGAGGUGGAAGAAGCAGUCAUUAGGGUCGCCGUCGACGGAUCCAUGGCGCGCCGGUGGAUCCGAGGAGGGGACGAGGUAGGGAGGCGGAGGUGGAGGUCGGUCCUCGAAUCCCGUCGCUUGGCGGCAUGGCGGGGCAAGAACCGGCCGGAUCCCUUUCCCGGGGAGGUGGGGAGGGGGGAGGUGGUGGUACGUAGUGGCGAUGCCAGGGCCUGGAAGUCGGCCGUCGUGGGGCGGCGCNNNNNNNNNNNNNNNNNNNNNNNNNNNNNNNNNNNNNNNNNNNNNNNNNNNNNNNNNNNNNNNNNNNNNNNNNNNNNNNNNNNNNNNNNNNNNNNNNNNNNNNNNNNNNNNNNNNNNNNNNNNNNNNNNNNNNNNNNNNNNNNNNNNNNNNNNNNNNNNNNNNNNNNNNNNNNNNNNNNNNNNNNNNNNNNNNNNNNNNNNNNNNNNNNNNNNNNNNNNNNNNNNNNNNNNNNNNNNNNNNNNNNNNNNNNNNNNNNNNNNNNNNNNNNNNNNNNNNNNNNNNNNNNNNNNNNNNNNNNNNNNNNNNNNNNNNNNNNNNNNNNNNNNNNNNNNNNNNNNNNNNNNNNNNNNNNNNNNNNNNNNNNNNNNNNNNNNNNNNNNNNNNNNNNNNNNNNNNNNNNNNNNNNNNNNNNNNNNNNNNNNNNNGGCGCGGGGGGAGGGGGGGAGUUUCGCCUGGCAGAGUUGUAGCCGCGGCGGGGUGGGGAGGUGUUGUGGCACGGAGCUGGGGCUGGGGCCGUCGACGUCGGCAGUGGGGUGGAGGCCCGGGCGAGGAUCUGCGCGGCAGUGAGGAAGUGGAUCAGGGGGUGGCCGGGAUGGCGAAGGUGGGGUGGCGUCGUAGUGACUGGUAGUGGAUGGAGGAGGGGAGGUGGGAGGAGCCGGUGGUGGAGGGAGAGAUCCUGCCUUUUUUUCGAGGUUGUUCGUGUCGGGCUGUCUCGGUGCCGGUGAUAACAGAAUAAGGUUUUUGUGUGCAGAAUAAGAGUCUUAAGGGUGUUAGAAGAAUAGACUCACGCGAGUGUAUAUAUAUGUAUAUGUAUAUAUAUAUAUAUAUAUAUAUAUAUAUAGGACAAUUUUUUCCUACUACCAGGUGUAGUUACUACAACUUUUGUUUCAUACGUUCUAGGUAGUAUCUAUCAUAUCGGAUAGUAUGUACGCGUCGUAUGUAGUAUAUAAGAAUGUUUAGGUAGUAUAUAUACUACUUUGUUGGUAGUAUGUAUCAUAUUUUUUGCAUACUCUAUUUCACGUAUAAAUAUGUAUGUAUUUCAGAAAUACAAUAAAACUAUGAGCUCACUUGCAAUUUUUUCAUAUAACUCACUUUGGAGUAUCUUAUAUAUAGUAUAUUAACAUAUUCAAAAUAAUAAAAUAUAGUCUAUACUACCACAUGGUAGUAUAUGAGAAAUGGGUGUAGCUACAUCCGGUAGUAGGAUGCAUUUUCCCUAUAUAUAUAUGUAUAUAUAUAUAAUUUAUAUAAAAUAAAAACACACGCGGUUUCAACCAUGUACAAACUGCAAAGCAGACGCUACACAAGACAGAAAAGUCGCCUUUCAUACAAAUUAUCUACCUUAGACAACACACAGUACACACCAUAAACCUAGCUCUUGUCCAAACGCAGGGCUUUAACUAGAAUAUCCCAAUGACUGUUACUGCGCACACGGCUGCGACUGCGACAGGGAAGUAAGCCCAAGGCUUGCAAUCAGAUCUUGUAGCUCAAGUGGCAUGUCUUCAUAAUAAAACAUGUUCAAAGGAUUGAACAGUGGCUAUAAAAUGUAUGCCGCCUUCCAAUCUUCAACAAUAGGCUGGAAAAAAUAAAAAAUGCAGAUAAGUGAUGAAAAAGGUUGUGAUAAGAACAACAAAAAGUGAAAACAUUAAAAAAAAGAGAAACAACAAGGAGAAACAGAGAAAGUAUUACAUCAGAUUUCACCAUUCUAUCGACUAGACGCAUGUCGUCAUACAACUGUGUCAACCUCAGAACAUAGAUUCCACACUCGUUUGGCCCCUGCUUUGGCAUGACCGGGCAAUAGGGCUUCUCUGCCAAUUUAACCCAGUCAGGUGAUUCUUAGAGGUAUACAACUUUUCACCAUAAAUCCUCUUCAACAGCUAAGUCAUCCUGCUCACCUGGCAAAAGGGGAAAAGCAACACAAAGUAAAAAACACACGUCACAGACCAAUAACCAUCAGACGAUGCAAAUACAAGUUCUUCACAACGUCUAGAUAAUCCCUCUUUUAAUGCAUGUGAGGUCAUUUCGUUUUAUCUCUCUCUUUACCGAGGUUUGGAGGUGGGAGAAAUGUAGUUCUGUGCCACAGAUGUUGUAGUAUUAAGAAGUGUGGUCCUAUGUGUACUAAUAAUGUAGUCACUGUGCGGUUUAAAAAUAUAUGCAGUAGGAGAAAUACAAAGCUUUGUAGUUGGCUAAAAACAUGAUAUACCACUUCAGUGCAAUAAGAGUGGAAGUCGCUCCUGUGCCACUUUGUCGUGUAAUCAGCAUGGCCAGUGUACCUCCUGGUGUCAUGGAUAUCAAUGCUCUGGUGAUGCCAGUUCAUCGUGUAUAGGGCAUAAUGUUUAUGCUUGGAGCGGGGCAUCAAAAUUUGUCGCAUAAAGAAACAAAUGAAAUGAAGUUCAUUCGACACAUAGCAUUAGGACCACUUCUUUAAAUAACUAUAAAAAGAAAAUGCAAAAAAUAAAAAAAGAAAUGAUGGAAACAAUGGCCUUACUAGUUUUGCGUCCAACAGGUUUUCAUCGCCAACAAAACCCUUGAACCGCUUAACCGCAUCUUCUAAAACAAAUGGGCUAUGCACAACUGGCAACACAAGGUAUCCUUCAUCAUUUAUCCACACAAUGACUUCGAUUUGAAGAACUUACUGCAUAGAAAAAGAACAAAUGGGACGUGAAGAAAGAAUAAAGAUGCAUGUAUGCAUGGACAUAAAAAAUUCAUUACAAGAGGAAAAAAUGCACCAAAGCAAAAAAUACAUGACAACAGACACAUUUACCGUGAUAAAUAAAGGUGAAAGUAGCACACGUUCCCUAGAAUGACAAACUGAACUCAUUUCAGGAUCUUGCUUCCAGUACUUAAUGAUAUGAUCCAUGAGAUACGAGUCUAUGCAAGCUCCUUUGCCAAAUGUAUUAUAGAUAUAGUCAACUUUGACUAUUUAGACAUCACCAAAAGCAUUAUUCACCCUCAAGAAUGCGUUACUACAGUAAAGAUACACAAAUGGGAUCAAAAUAAAGAUUAAAACAAAACACACACAAAGGAUCAAGGACAGACACAUAAAACUUGUUGUAUUUGGUUAUAAAAUCUUGGCUGAGAACGAGAUCCUUUAUUUUCCUCGCCUCAUCAAUAUAUUUGAACCUCGGAGAGCUCAAUUUCUCUAAAGAGUCUGUCAACUUAAAAGCCCUCUCACCUACCCUCUUGUUAGAAAAUACUUGAGCCUCAUCAACGGGGGACGAUUGAUUGCUGCACUCCUAGUCCUAGUGACACGUGGCACCGGCAUAAUAGAAUCAUCAUCAACAUCAACUACCUCAUGUAGAGCCAGGUCGAGCGACCUUUCCACCAUCAGGUCCAGAUGCCACAUCCAUGUUCAAACCAUCUCCAGCCAAAGAACCAUAAUUCUCUAGAGAGAUUUCAAUGGCACAGUCCUCCGUAACUACCUCUGAACCCUGGGACUCUAAACAGUGAUGUAUAAUCUCCAUGAAGACCCCCAUCAAAACCUGAUAACGAGGAGAAAAAACAUGGGAGCACUCAGCCCAAAUACAAAACCAAAAACAUUAAAUGCAGCUCACUAAAAUAAAAAAAUGCAGUUCACUAAAGAACAGAAUGCAUCCCACUUGACUAGAACAAUGUAGCCACUUGCAUAAAACAAUGCAGCUUACUUGCACCGAAUAAUGCAACUCACUGGUCUACAACAAUGAAGCUCACUUACACAACAAUACGUAGCCCUCCACUGUCAAACACACAUUUCACUAGCACACUAAUAAAAUAAAACCUUAAGAAGCGGAAGCAGGCAGUAGACAAAAAUAAAUAAGGCAAAUAAAGCACUUCAUUAAUACAACCUUUAUCUGCAAAUAUUAAAAGUGAUGAUAACUCAAGGGAACACUUUGUCGAUGUGAGCCAUCUAUGUAGCAUCGCCUUUCUGAUGUAGCCAAUGUGCUCCACCCCAAACCGAGCAACUCAAACACCAUCCCAAGUUUGCAAGAAUUGAAACACAUAGGUUCCACAAUCAUGCCUGUGAAAAAAGAACAUAAACAUUAGUUUCACAUAAAUAUAAAAGAACAGUUGAGGAGUAUGGUGGAGAGGGGCUACAAGGAACAUACCCAUUUUGCUGAAUUGGGACAACCACAUGUUUCAACGCAAAGCCAUCAAGUGUAGGAGGAUUUAGCGGCUCAUCUGAACUUGAGCUACCUUCUUUCCAUGCACGCUUGAUAUUUUUAACCAUCCCCCUAAAACCCUAUUUGCUUUAGAGCUGCCAGGUUUACUGAGCGAGUCAAGAAACUCAAACCGCCUUUCCUUCACAUUCAAGGCAACUACACUAUAAUGACCAACGCCAUCCCUCGUGUCUGGUGGAUAAGCAAAUAGGACCCGUUGGAAGUAAAAGUAAAUAAAAGUAUUACGAGAACAAGAAACAAAACACUGUAAAACCAACACAGAAAAAUGGUUUUAGACACAUAAAAACAUUACUUAUCAUAUCUAUUUUAUCGACACAUUCCUCAGCUUUUGAAGAGAACAUCAAUUUCACACCCCUUCCUACAGUAGCACCAUUCGAAAUACUUGUCAGCCAAAACAAACCAAAACAAGAAACAGUGUUGAAGCAAACAUGUCAUCACACGAAAACAGAAAAGAGAAUCAAAUAACAAAUGAAAAGAUUUGCAUGCUUACAAAAAUAUGGUACAUGACAAACAUCGUCGGAGAUCCCUUAAACUUAUCUACUAGCAAAGAAACCCCUAGAUCUACAAGGCCUGUAGUGAGCAUCCCUUUAUCCCAAAAAGAUUGACCAACUUCAUCAAUGGUAAUAUCGGCCAACUCAGUUUUAAAAGCAAUCAUGUCCCAGAAUAUUUUUGAAAAACUGAAACAUAAGAUACUACAAAAAUAACAAGAACAAAAAGGGCAAAGACUCCGAUUAGAAAAUACAUGUUAACAAAACAAUUUAUAAAAACCAUACUUCAUCUUUUUGUCCCUUAGAGCCCUAGUAAUAGCAGUGUACAACUCAUUGUAUCUUUUGAGAAGAGCUGGAUUAAUGCUCAACCGUGUCAGAACAAGAAGUUCGUCAUCUGCAAUCAAAAAAUAAGGAACAAAUAAAAUAUGAAGUUCACUUAUGUAAAAUAUGAAGUUCAAUUGUAAGAUAAGAAAAUGUGCUAGCUAGCAACUAUUUUGAAAAUCAUCAACAAAGAAGAAGUUCACUUAUCAUAAAAAAUCUGAUGCAGCUACCAUAGUAAAUUAAAAAUGAAUGAGAAAAACUUCAACUUCAUUAUUCAAAACUAAACACUUGCCUUCAGUGUUAGAGUCUUCAUGUUGUUCUUCUUCAGAGCUAACCAAAACAUUUUCUCGGCUAGGUUGCGACGAAACCAUGUGACGCCCCCGAUUUAAUUGUACACUAAUCAUACACACAAAUGUGUACGAUCAAGAUUAGGGACUCACGGGAAGAUAUCACAAGACAACUCUAGACACAAAUUAAAAUAAUACAAGCUUUAUAUUACAAGCCAGGGGCCUUGAGGGCUCGAAUACAUCAUCUCGAAUACAAACAAGUCAGGGAAGCAACAAUAUCUUAGUACAUACAUGAGUUAAACAAGUUUGCCUUAAGAAGGCUAGCACAAAAGCAACAUCGAUCGAAAAGGCAAUGCCUCCUGCUUGGGAGCCUCCUAUCUACUCCUGGUCGUCAGCGUCCGUCACGUGGUAGUAGGCACCCUCAGGGUAGUAGCAUCGUCAAAGGUGUCAUCUGGCUCCUGGACUUCGUCAGCUGGCUGUGUCAUCCGAGAAGAAUGGAAAAGGGAGGAAAGAGGGAGCAAAGCAACCGUGAGUAAUCAUCCAAAGUACUCGCAAUCAAGGAUCUACACUAAAUAUGCAUUGGUGUCAACUGAAAUGGGCUGUAUCUGUGGACUGAACUGUAGAAUGCCAGAAGACAAGGGGAAAAGCUAGUCCUAUCGAAGACUAGCAUCUUCUGGAAACCACCAUCUUGUAGCAACAUGAGGGAGUAGAGUAGUAUAACAUAAGUCAUAUUUAUGUUGUUGUAUCUACGCUCCGGGAUCCUUUCUCGACUCCCAAAGCAACCUAUCCAAAUCAUGUCUCGGCAUACAGUUCUAGUUGUAUCGAUCGGGAUACAACUCCAAGUGUCCGUUACCGUAGGACAGGCUAUCGAUAGAUGUUUUCUUCCCUGCAGGGGUGCACCAACUUACCCACCACGCUCGAUUAACUCCGGCCGGAUACACUUUCCUGGGUCAUGCCCGGCCUCGGUCAAACAAUACGCCGCAACCCGACCUAGGCUUAAUAGAGAGGCCAAGCACGCCGGACUAAACAUAUGCCCCCAGGGGUCAUGGGCCAUCGCCUUGGGAACUCCUGCACGUUGCGAACGCGGCUGGUGAGCAGACCUAGCUACCUCCUUCAAAAAGGCAGGUGCUUACCAGUCCAACCCGGCGCGCACCGCUUAGUCGCUGACGUCUAUUAAGCUUCGCCUGAUGCAUACGACGCAGAACACCCAUACUAUGCCCACGUGAUGGUUAGUGCUAUCAGGCCAGGGGCCCCUCGGAUCAAAUAACCAAAUCAUAGUGGAUUAGGAACGCGCGGUAACAAGCAAAGACUCACGAAAGAUGUGACCCUGUUGCCCGUGUCGAGGACUUGCGACAAGGGCUAGGAAUGCCUAACCACGCCUCGUAAUUAUCUCGCGGGCACCCUCCAGGUCAAGCCUUCUCCACAUCACUCGCGGGUACCCCUUAGGGUCGACCCAUCUUUUCAAGUAACAGUUGUAAUGUCCAAGUAUCCGUGUAUCCAAACAUCAAGGGGAAACCCCGAGGAAUCACCCCCGGUGAAUUCCACUCGAUGUAAUCAUCAAGGUGAACGUAAGAGGGACCACCCUCGAGGUCCACACUUGAGGGGUUGCAUGACAGAGUCGUAUCGGAAGUGGUUAAAGAGGAAAUCACCCUCGAUGACCACGACCAAAUAGCUACACUACAGGGUUAACAUCAGAAGUGCUGAUGAGGCCUCACCCUCAUCACUCGAUAGUAACCCAGUAGUGUCGAGCAACUAAGGGGAACUGAUGUGCGGUGCCUGGGCCUGGUAUUUGAUCCCGUUGAUCGGGUCUUCAAUGAUGAAGUAGGGGCAACUAGGACAAGGUGGGGGGUCACUGAUGGAUCACUAACCAACCUAUACUAAGCAGUUUAGGAUAAGCAGGUAAGUAACAAUAAGCAUGUUACAAAAGCAGGCUAUGCAUCAGAAUAGGAGCAAACAAUAACAGUAGAAAAAUCUAAUGCAAGCAUGAGAGAAUGGAAUGGGCGAUAUCGGGAUGAUCAAAGGGGGGGGCUUGCGUGGAAGCUCCACCGAAAGGGAAAAAGUGUCAUCGUCGACGUAGUCGAUCACAGGGGCGACAUCGGUCUCGGGGUCUACCGGAGAGAAGAGGGGGAAGAAACAGUAAAUACAGAGCAAACAAUGCAUCACAUGGAAAUACACAGAGCUAGGAGUGUUCUAACGUAGUGCUGCACGAUACAGGUGAAGGGGGAAUUCAACCGGGAAGGUAUUCCCGGUUCUGGACCUAUGUCAGACAGAUGACCGGAGGGGGAAUGUUCCAUGUUCAAAUAGUUAGAGGCAUCUGACAGGUAAACGGACCGUGUAUUCGGAUUAGUCCCGUUUUUCUAAGUAACUUUCAUGUAGAAAACAUUUAUAUCCGAGUUACGGUUUAUUUUCUACGAUUAUUCAAAGAUUAAAGGAUUUUCAGAAACUAUUUAAACUAACAGAAAUGGAAUUAUGACAUCAGCAGAGUGUCAGCAUGACAUCAGCAGGUCAAUAGAUCAGCUGACCAGGUCAAACCUGACCUGUGGGUCCAGCGGGACCCACAUGUCAGCCUCUAUUAGAAAAACAGUGGAUUAAACUAAUCUUGCAGGAUCAAUUAGGGGUGUGGGCCCCGGGUGUUAGUGAGUGCUUAGGUUAAUCUAAUUAGUCUUAUUUAUAUAACGUUUAUUAGACUAAUUAACAGAAGGGGGCCCACAUGUCAGUGGCUGGGGGCUGCCCAGUAAACACAGUUGACCGGUCAACAGGCCGGCCGGGCUCCUGGGGCCCAUGGGUCAGAGAACCAGUGGGGUGGCCCCGGGCCAACGACGUCAGCGUGGGCGCCGACGUUUAACCGCCGGUGGCUAUAGCCACGGUGGAGGGUCGGGCGCGCGUCGGAAUCCAUCUAGGGGCGGCCGUUUUGUGAGCGGUUGGCACCAUUCGAACGCGUGGACGACGCCGAGUCGGGUGGUGGUGGUGGCUUACCCGAGGAUGGCCGGAGAUGGCGCCGACGUGGAGCACGGGUGGAGGUGGCCUUCUACGCUUGGCGGAGAUGGUGCUUCAGGGCACGGUUCUUCGUGCGUACUGGCUCUAUGGGUGGCAGGUGCUCACGCGCAAUCAUUGCCGAAGUCGGCAGUAGGCGGGAGGCGACGAGCUCGCCAAAGAAGAGCUCAUGGCAGCGGUCGGAUCACUAGACCGUCGAGGACGGCGCCAGGAGGAGUGGGAGGGGUAGCGGGCGCGUGCAGCGAGUGCAGGCGGAGGUGAUGAGCAUGACGGGGUGGUCGGCAGCUGUCGGGGAAACUGAUCCACGAACACCUAUGGGGCCGGCGGACCGAGCCCCUUUCGGUUCGCCGGGGGGCGGAGGUCGCACGAAGAGCAGAUCGAGGCGAAGCACACGAGCAGUUUACCCAGCUUCGGAGCUCUCCGGAGAGAUAAUACUCCUACUGCUGCUUGUCUGAUUCUAUUAUGUUCUUGCUCGAGAGAGCUAUGUGUUUCUCUGGUUUCCGAAUGAGUCGAACCCCCUCUACGUUGCGCAUGCGCCUCCUUUUAUAUGCUCAAGGGGUCACCGACAGGUGGCAACGUAAACAAGGGUACAAAUGUAAAAAGCGAGGUGGUUGGUACAGUUAUUUGUAUAGUGUUUCCUACCUAACCCUGACGGCAGGGGACAAGGGCAUUAAAUGCCCGUCUGUGUCGCCCAAACAAUGCAGAAAAGGACCGUUAGGGGCGCCACCGCUCGCCACGAUGGCGAUCUUGUCAGCUUCGCAUGCCACCACGCACCGCUGGCUGCACAGCCUCCCGCCACGCGCGCCUGGAAAGGCCCCCAGAGUGACACGUUGGUGGAUGCGCUGGAGCGUGGGCACAGAGUGGCCGCCUGCCGCGGCAAGCGCCUUGCCGCGGCCGUUGUCUUGUCGGGUCCAGAAGCUUGUCGCUCACCGGGCCCUGAUAUGCCUUGGUUGGUCUUCCCGGCAAGCUCCUCUUGCCGGGGCCUUGUUGCCUUGCCGGGACGCGUGGCGCGUCGCGGCAAGUUCCUUGGGUUGCCUUGGUUGGCCUUCCCGGCAAGCUCCUCUUGCCGGGGCCUUGUCUCCUGAGCUUAAAUACUUUGUUCUUGAAUGGCUCCAAAGGAACCACGGAGGACCUUGGCGGUCGCCCGACAAGCCUUGCCGCGGGGCGCUGCAACUGCCCGUGCACAAGUUCGGGAUACUAAGGUACCCCUACUCUAGUACACUGACAGGAGCCCCCAGGCCUGGGCCACACACGGUGCCGAGCGCUGUUGGGCCAGGCCCAAAACAGGGCACGGGCACACGCGGCCUGGGCCACACCGAAUCUGACUCCGUAUCCACCGCGCCCUCCCUAACGGCACGCGUCGAAUGCGGCGUCAUGGGAGAGAUCGUGGGUGGAUUCUUNNNNNNNNNNNNNNNNNNNNNNNNNNNNNNNNNNNNNNNNNNNNNNNNNNNNNNNNNNNNNNNNNNNNNNNNNNNNNNNNNNNNNNNNNNNNNNNNNNNNNNNNNNNNNNNNNNNNNNNNNNNNNNNNNNNNNNNNNNNNNNNNNNNNNNNNNNNNNNNNNNNNNNNNNNNNNNNNNNNNNNNNNNNNNNNNNNNNNNNNNNNNNNNNNNNNNNNNNNNNNNNNNNNNNNNNNNNNNNNNNNNNNNNNNNNNNNNNNNNNNNNNNNNNNNNNNNNNNNNNNNNNNNNNNNNNNNNNNNNNNNNNNNNNNNNNNNNNNNNNNNNNNNNNNNNNNNNNNNNNNNNNNCCCUUCUUCUCCAAGAUGAGAGAGAGCAGCGCUCCGCCCCCCAUUGCCACCAGCAUCACCAACGCCGUCGACCUUCCCCACCACUUCCGCCAUGGCUCCGAAAGCCGACAAGGGGAAGGGUGUGAAGUCGGCCGAGGCGCAGCGGCUCGCGGCACUGCGGAAGGAGCAGGCGAUCUUCUCCCCUCAGCUCGGUGUGCAGGAGCUGAGGGAGUACUACUACCUCUUCUGGUUGACGGAGACGCGAGCACAUCCGCGCACGAGGGUACUCCCGGCCGCCGCUUCGGAACUGGCUCCGAACGGGUACCCAUUCUUCACGCUGUUCUUCUAUUGCGGGCUCUGCCCGCCCUUCUCAGAGUUCUUCUGCGACAUAAUGAACACCUACGGGCUCCGCCUCCUUGAUUUCACCCCCAACGCCGUUCUGACCAUGGCAGUUUUCGUACAUUUGUGCGAAAACUUCGUCGGAGUCCACCCCAAUGUAGCCCUUUUCCGCCACUUCUUCAUGCCUCGGGUCGAGAGAGGAGAGCCGCUUGCCAGAUGGAUCGCCUGGAUCUCGAGGGUCGGCAAGAAGGAAGCGUAUCUGGAGGGUGAACUUCGCAGCAAAUGGGAGGAGUGGAGAGCGGAGUGGUGUUGGAUCGUCGAGGAGAACCCGCGGCCGUUCACUGCUCUGCGCCAAGCCCCAAUCGUGCGCGGUAACGAUUGGAGCAACGUGGCCCCAGAAGACGACAGAUUGAAGAUCGCCAUCACCCGAAUCCUUCGCCUUAGGCUUGCCGGGCUCACUGUAGGCGCCGUCGGCGCAGAUUUCCUUCGACGCCGCAUCGCCCCCUGCAGGAGAGGGGGAGACCCGCCUGGGAGUUCAAGAACUCGGCGGAUAUAAUGCGGCUACGUCCGGGCCUCAACUACAACUUCAUCGUCCUGGAGUUGGAUGCAAUGCUUCUGGAGUUGUUCAAACGCGACCCCCAGCACCCAUUCGUUUUGCCGAGGAGCGUCGUUCCAUUGUGCAAUAAUUCAUCGCUUGACCGGAUCCGCGCUAUGAUGCCGUUGUGCGAUUCCCACGGAAUUGUUCCAACUUGGCAAGAGCCUGCGGAUGACGUCGUGCGGGCGUUCUUUGACAACUUGGAAGAAGUGCCGGUCCGCGCCGACGAGCAGAAGAGCCUUACCCGCGACACCACCGACGCGGAGCUGCAGCGCAUCGCCACCAGGACGGAGGAGGCUACGGCGGCAGCUGCCGCGGGCGCGUUCGGGUUCACCAUAGAGGAGGCAGAGGCGGCAGAGGUGGCAAGCCUUGCCGAGCGCGAGGAGUUUGCUGGUGAGGAAGAUCUUGCCGGCCCUGAGGCUGAGCCGAGCGAGGCCGGCGAGGAAGAGCCCGAGCCUUCAGACAGCUUGCCGCAGGCGGAGCCCCCGGCCCCGCCAAGAAGGCGUCUUCGCAGGGCCGCUGACGUAGCGGGGCGGCAGACGGGUCAACAGCCGCCGAGCCGCGCGACACGCUGUACCGCGGCAAGAAAUGUUGCCGCGGGAGCGCCUCACGCUGUUGUGGCAACUGGAGCGGGAUCUUCCCGGUCCACCGCCGCCGCUCCCGCCAAGUGGGCAAGGGAUCCUACUCCUCCGCCUCGCCGCACCGGAGGGGAGCCGGACUUCGAUCUCUCCGCGCUCAGCUCCGACGAGGAGGAAGAAGAGUAAGUUUCUUUGGUGCUGUUGUAGCUCUUCAAUUCUUGCUGUUUUUGUCUUGUAUCUGACUUGCUUCGAUCUGAAUCCAUUCCUUUUCAGGACGCUGGCCCAGAGAGCGGCGAAGAGAGCCAAGGCCCCGGUGAUUUUCAUCGAAGAUGAUCCCACCGUGUCAGCAAGUGGUGUGUCUGAGACCACCUUGACGAACCCUGCAACCACUCCCCAAAGCAGCCCCCAGCGCAGCCCCCAGCGUAAGUUUGUAGUUUACUUCCUGCUGUCGGGCGCGCAUGGGUGCUUUUUUCUCUACUGAUAUUUUGCUUGUUGAUUUAUGUAGGAGCAGAACAGCCUCACCAGUAGGGCCUGGAAGCCGCCCCCGAAGUGCCAUCCGCUUCAACUACGCCACCAAGGGAGGAGUCCCCGGCAAGGGAGCGCUCUCCGGCAAGGGAGGACUCCCCGGCAAGGGACAGUUCUCCGGCAAGGGAUGGCACCAGUGAUCCUCCGGCGGUCGAGACCGCGACCGCAGAUCCUAGCACAGGUAAUUUCCUUGCCUGAAAACUUCCCUUGGGCUCUUUUUCUUCUGAAUUUCCUUUCUUGGGUUUUUGCUUGACUUUUCUCCCUUCUUCGUUCUUUAGAUCCAUCUGCUGCGGAGCCAAUGGAGACUGAGGACGCCGGCGAGGAAGGCGCGCGUGGCAGCAACGACGACGCCGCUGUCAACGAAGAAAGGGCCGGUGCUAAUGAGCCUGCCGGCGAGGAGGCCGCCAAGGCUGCCGCCGCAGAGGCUGGCGAGGGGUCGGGCGAUCGCACUGACGGCCCUGAGGUCGCAGGAGCACCAAGCGCUACGCCGACCGCCGAUCCCUCCGCCGCUGCCGCGGAGCCAGGCUCUGAAGAGCCCCAGCCCGGCGCCUACUUGAAGGCCGGCGACGGUAUCUUCAUCAAGCUUCCCUGGGCGUCGAGCUCCAAGGCGCCGGUCGAAGGAGAAGCUUUCGAUGAGGAGCUGCUCGCCUCCGCCGGGCUGUCGUUGGUCGAUGCGCCAAGCAGCAGCAGUGGCGAGCCUGAGGAGGAGCAGCUGCUGCGGAAGCUGCUAUCACUCUACCGCGCACGACAAGCCAAGCUGGCCUCCCGGGAAGCGCUUGUCGCGAAGGCGGGAGUCGAUAUGGAGAAACACGCAGAGGAGCUCCGGGGCCUCAAUCAGGAAGCUCUCCGGUCCCUGGCACAGGAGCGGGAGCGACUCGCCGAGGAGCGUACAGCCUUCCUUCUCGAGAAGGCCGAACCUGAGGAGGAGCAAAGGCUCGCUGCCGAGAAGCAGUCCGCGCGAGAAGGCGAGUUGGUGCAGCGGAAGGCCAACCUUGACAGCUACGAGGAGGAGCUUGCCGAGCGCGAGCAAAUGAUUGGCGGGGUGCUCAAGGAAGCAAAGGACGCCGCCGCAGCUGCCGAGGCCGCCAAGAAAGAGCUGGAGGUGAGGGUAGCGCAGCUGGAGGCUGAUCUCUGGGCGAGCGGCGAGGAGCUCGCUGCGCUCAAGCGUGAGCGCGAGAAGGAUGCUGCCGCUCAUGGUGAGCUACAAGGCCUUCUCGCAGAGAGGAGCAAGGAGCUCAGCGCCGCCAAGGAUUCCAAGGCGGAUCUCGAGCUGAAGCUGGCCACGUUGACUCAGACAUUGGACGCCGCCAGGGAGCGAGAAGUGACCUUGUCGGAGAAGAUCGAGGCCGACAAGGCACUGCUGGCGAGCAUCGCUGUUACCCAGAACUCAUUUAGGGAGGCGGUGGAGCAUUGGACCGAGGGUCUGGUGAAUAUCGCCGCAGUCAUCGACGAGGAGCUGGCGCAGUUGGGGAUGGAGGACUUUGGGUAUCCUUCCGACGAGCAUCUCCAACCCAGCGCCAAGCUCAGCCUGUUCUUCAAGGGCGUGGCGACGGUGCUCCAGCGACUCCGGGAGAGGAUCCCAAAGCAGCUGGCCGACGAGUCGCGCAGGAUUUGCGCGGGGGCUCUCCAGAAGGUGCUGAUGAAGGUGGCCUUCCACAACCCAGGCCUCAACCUCACCAACGUCCUCAAGUCCUUGCCGCCUGACGCCGAUCUGGAUGCGCUCAAGGCCCUUGUCGCACCCAUUGUGGACAAGGUGAGCGAGAUCAAGAGGGUUGAGGGCGAUCGCGUAGACUAGGCCGCCCGUUUUCUCUUUCUCCUUGUCGCUGCUAGCCAUAUUAUAAGAUCAAUCUGUUAGAUCUGCGACAAGUUAUUUUGUAAUAUAACUCUAUUUCUGGUAUCAAUCACUAUGUUAUUUCCUUUACUAGAUUCCUUCCUUUGUAUGUUUUUACCCUACGCUUUUAGGGAACUUGUCGGCGCAGGCACCCGAGCCGCGAGCACUGAGUGCGGGACGUCAGCAGCCUGCUGGCGGUGCCGCUUCCGACAAGAAACCUUGUCGCGACUAGAUGCAGCACACUUAAGUUGUUGAGCGGACUCGAAACAAAGUAAGGGCGCAACUAGCUACGAGUUGGUUCCUCUGCGCACAGGUUUUCCAUGCAAAGCACGAUCGUUCAAGGAAGAUAACUUAAAAAUUUAAACCAAUUGCUCAAACUUUGGCAACUUAGCUUUUCUGUCGUUUGCUUCCCGGCAAGGUUUCCGUCAAGGCGAAACUUUCUUGAACGACGCCUGUUCCACAUCAUUAUCUUCUCCUCCCCCCCGGCAAACUUGUGCGCGAGGGAAUCUUCCUUCCUUUGAGAAAAAGAAAGAAGAGAAAAUAACGAUAUGGAGCCUUACGACUCGUUAUUGCUUACCGGGGGUAGGUGCUGCACAAAGUGUCAGAAAAAGCAUGCAAAUAUAUGGAAAAAAAAGCAUGAAAUUGACAAGAUGUGCGGAGCACAUGAGCUUUACUUGUGCACGGGAUCUGCGCCCGGCUUUGUACAAAGGAUUACACGCAACAUCGGCAAGACUUGUACAAAAGGUGGUUGCCGUAACAGGUUCCGGCAACCGCGCCCUAUGGGUAAAACUUACGAAGAUGCUCAAUGUUCCAGGAGUUGCUCACCGGAAUGCCAUCUUCGGUCUCAAGGCGGACAGCGCCGGGCCUAGUGACUCGUUUCACCCGGUAAGGGCCUUCCCACUUCGGCGUCAACUUGUUGGAAUUCUUGGCGGACUGAACGCGCCGAAGAACAAGGUCGCCUUCCUCGAAGCUUCUGGCUUUAACUUUGCGGCUAUGGUAGCGGCGCAAAGCUUGCUGGUAUCGAGCAGCUCAUACAGCAGCCUGAAGACGAUCCUCCUCAAGGAGCAGCGCGUCAUCUUGUCGCAGCUGCUCUUGCUCAAGCUCAUCAUAAGUGAGCACUCGAGGUGACCCGUAUACGAGUUCCGUGGGGAGAACUGCCUCUGCUCCAUAGACUAGAGCGAAAGGUGUCUGGCCAGUGGCUCGAUUUGGCAUCGUCCUGAUCGACCAAAGAACCACCGGCAGCUCGUCGAUCCAGUUUCUUCCGGACCUGUGCAACCUAUCGAAAGUUCUGAUCUUGAGCCCGCGCAGCACUUCAGCAUUUGCCCUCUCCGCUUGACUGUUGCUUCUCGGAUGAGCAACAGAAGCGAAGCAGAUCUUGGCGCCAAGAUCUUGGAUGUACUGCAUGAAGGUGCGGCUCGUGAAUUGUGUGCCGUUGUCGGUGAUGAUCCUGUUAGGGAUCCCGAAACGGCAAACAAUUGACCUGAAGAACUUGAUUGCUGAAUGUGCUGUCACCUUCCUCACUGGUUCCACUUCCGGCCACUUUGUGAACUUGUCGAUUGCAACGUACAAGUACUCAAAGCCCCCGACAGCUCGGGGAAAGGGGCCGAGGAUAUCGAGCCCCCAGACCGAAAAUGGCCAGGAUAAAGGGAUCGUCUGGAGAGCUUGAGCUGGCUGGUGUAUCUGCUUGGAAUGGAACUGGCACGCUCCACACUUGGUUACUUGUGCAGUUGCAUCCUGGAGGGCUGUCGGCCAAAAGAAACCUUGCUGGAACGCUUUGCCGGCAAGUGCUCUUGCGCCAAUGUGGUGGCCACAUAUGCCUCCAUGUAUCUCUGCCAACAACUUUUGUCCGUCUUCCCGGCAAAUACACUUCAAUUUCACACCGUUGAGUCUUCUUCUGUACAGUAUGCUAUCGACAAACUGGUACAUACUUGACUGCCGGUCUACUUUUUCUGCUUCUUCUUGCUCUUCGGGAAGCUCUCCUGUCUGAAGGAAAUGGACAAUCUGCUGUGCCCAUGCUGGAGCUUGUGGCUCGACAACAAGGACUAAAGGCACAUCUGCUGCUGUGGGAACAUCCUCUUCUACGGCGAGCACCUGCGGCUCAGCCGGAGCUUGAUGUUCCCCAGCAAGCUUGCCGGAGCAAAGCUUGUCGAGAGCGUCUGCUACGACGGAACAAACCAUAAGGCUUGCCGGAGCAGAUUGCUCCUCAGCAUCCUUGGUGUUGAUCUUGGGGACCUUCUUGACGGCGGCUUCAGGGAGCUCUGCCGGAAAAUAGUCACGAGAAAUCAACUUCCUCUUCUUAUUCUGUCCAGUUGAUGGCGUUACGGAUGGUUGAGUCAGCCUGAGCACAAAGAUCCCUGGUUCCACAAGUAACUUUAGUGCGGCGCACUUCGACAGGCCAUCAGCAAUGUCAUUCUGAGCUCUCGAAACAUGUUCCAUCUGUAGGCCGUCGAAGUGCUCUUCUAGCUUUCUCACUUCAUCAACAUAUGCUUCCAUCAAUGGACUCUGAUAGUUCUUGUUCACUUGGCGGACGACAAGCUGUGAGUCACCCCUGACAAUGAGCUUCUUGAUCCCAAGGUCUGCUACGAUCCUGAGACCGGCAAGAAAUCCUUCAUACUCUGCAGUAUUGUUGGUUGCUUGCUCCUUGGGAAAGUGCAUCUGGACUACGUACUUGAGGUGCUCUCUGGUGGGUGCGACAAGCAGCACGCCCGCACCGGCGCCUUGCAGCGAGAAGGCACCAUCAAAGUACAUCAGCCACUCUUUGCUCGCCUCCUUGACGGGGAUGCUCGUCUCUGGAAUUUCUUCAUGUUGUGUUGGCGUCCACUCUGCUAUAAACUCUGCCAAUGCUCUGCUUUGGAUAGUUGACGUACUUUCAAACUUGAGGCCAAAGCUUGACAGUUCCAGUGCCCACUCGACAAUCCUGCCUGUUGCUUCUGGAUUUUGCAGUAUCCUCUUCAGCGGAAAACGAGUGACGACUGUGAUCUCAUGCGCAAGUAAUGGCGCAACUUUCUCGAGGCCAUGAGAAGGCCGAAAAGCAAUUUCUGCACACCAGAGUACCUUGAUCUAGCCCCCUGCAGAAGGGAACUGACAAAGUAAACUGGGCGCUGUACCAUUCUCUUCUGCAUCUUGUCAUGCUCUUGCGCAGAUCCAUCCUUGUCGGGACCAGAGCUUGUCGGCGAAGCCCCUUGCUUGUCGCUGGAUCCAUCUGCCGUGGUUGCCGGCUCAUCAUCUGCCUCCCUCUCCGCCACUAACGCAGCACUAACCACUUGAUUGGUUGCCGCUAUAUACAGCAGCAACUUCUCUUGUGACUUAGGUGCGACAAGUGUUGGAGUGGAGGACAGGUACCUCUUCAAGUCCUGCAGCGCAGCCUCCGCUUCCGGAGUCCAUUUCAUUGGACCUGCCUUUUUCAAUAUUUUGAAAAAUGGCAGGGCGCGCUCAGCAGAUCUAGAGAUAAACCUGCUGAGAGCAGCCACGCAACCGGCAAGCCUUCGUACAUCCUUGACGUGCUUUGGUGCUUCGAUCUGCUCAAUGGCCUUGAUCUUGUCGGGAUUGGCUUCAAUUCCGCGUUGAGACACAAAGAACCCGAGAAGCUUGCCGGAAGGGACUCCAAACACGCACUUCUCGGGAUUAAGCUUGAGGUUGAUCUUGCGCAGAUUUGCAAAUGUCUCAUCCAAAUCUUGAAUCAGGGUCGCCCAGUCCUUGCUCUUGACCCCUAUGUCAUCCAUGUAGGCUUCCACAUUUCUGUGCAUUUGUGGCUCAAAAGCGUGGUGGACUACCCUUGCAAAUGUUGAACCAGCAUUCUUCAAACCGAAGGGCAUCCAUACGAAACAGUACGUGCCACACGGGGUGAUGAAUACGGUCUUCUCCUCAUCCUCUUCUGCCAUGAAGAUCUGAUGGUAUCCUGAGUAUGCAUCAAGAAAUGAGAGCAAAUCACAUCCGGCCGUGGAGUCAACAAUCUGAUCGAUGCGCGGCAAGGGAAAUGGGUCUUUGGGACAAGCUUUAUUGACGUCGGUAAAGUCGAUACAAAGCCUCCAUUUUCCGUUAGCCUUGCGCACGACUACAGGAUUGGCCAACCACGUAGGAUGGAGCACUCCUCUGACAAGGCCUGCUGCUUCCAACUUCUUGAUUUCUUCUGCGAUGAAUUCUUGGCGCUCCACUGCCUGUUUCCUGACUUUCUGCUUGACGGGCCACGCAUGAGGACAGACGGCAAGGUGGUGCUCAAUUAGUUUCCUGGGAACACCGGGGAUGUCAGACGGUUGCCAUGCAAACACGUCAUUCGCUCACAGGAAAGCAACGAGCGCGCUUUCCUAUUUGGGGUCGAGAGUGGCACUGAUGGUGAAGGUACCACCAGUGCCGUCCUCCUUGGCAGACACCUUCUUGGUCUCAGGUGGAGUAGCCAUUGCCUUCUUACACUUGCCGGUGGAGCUCGAUGGUGCGUCCUCGACGGUAGCGCAGCACUCCGAAGAGGUGCGCUUGCCGGAGUGGGCAUCAGAGCUCUUGCCGGACCUGGUCUUCUUCAUCCCCCCGGGAGCUUCAGCGGCAAGUGACUUGCGAUCUGUUGCGGCUGUUGCUUCCCGGUAGAUCUUGUCGGCACAGAUAAGAGCAUCCUUCUUGUCGCCAGGGACAGAGAUGACACUUAUCAGGCCUGGCAUCUUCAGCAUGUUGUAGGCAUAGUGAGAGAGCGCCAUGAACUUGGCGAGUGCUGGAUGGCCAAAUAUCCCAUUGUAAGGCAAUGGAAAGUCAGCAACGUCAAAAGUGACCCUCUCAGUCCUGAAGUUCAGCUCGCUGCCAAAUGUUACCGGCAACGUGAUCUUUCCCUUCGGCUUUCUCCUUCCCGGGUUGAUUCCUUGAAAUGUACCAGUCUCUUCGAGCUCGCUGUCAGGGAUCUGGAGUUUCUGGACCACCGCGGAGGAGAUCAGGUUCAAGCCGGCCCCGCCAUCAACUAGCAUCUUAGUGACUUUGAGCUUGCGGAUAGUUGGUGAAACCAACAUCGGCAAGCACCCGACCGCAGUUAUGCGAUCAGGGUGGUCCUCAAUAUCAAAGAUGAUAGGCGUGCUGGACCAUUUCAGAGGCUUGCGUGACUCGACAGGUGGUUCUGCUGCAUUAACUUCCCGCACCCACUGCUUGAGCUGGCGGUGUGAAGUAUGCAGAGAAGCACCACCGUCAACGCACAGGACCUCUGUGGCUUUCCGGAUGUCACACCGUGCAUUUUGUAACAUUUCAUUUUCAUUAUUAAAGCAUGAAAAUUUGGACCAACAAAAACUUUUUGCAUUUUUUUGGCUUUUAUUUGGAGUUGGUUUUCUCUCUGUGUUUCUUUCAAGUGCUUCUUGAAGUCAACUACUCUGCCCUCUAUAUUCCACCUCCUUACCCCAAGCUCCUGACCAAUGACCAUGCCAUGUGAAUAGUGCUAUAUGGAGUUUUCUUACAAAAAUAAUUUGGCCAGAAAGUAUUUUCUAAAAUUAGUUUUCCAAAAACCCCUGAAUUGAGGUUUGCACUACAAGUACUUGAUUAAGGGCAGUAAAAAUCUUUCCAAAAAUAUAUUAGACUCCUAUUAGAUAUAUGAUGCCCAGGAACCACAAAAAUAUAAUUUUAAAAGUUACUGUUCUAUUUUAUUUAAAGGCUUUUUCUUAAGGCCAGAAAUGGUCUUUAAUAGGAAAAAAUUACUUUACUAUUUCAAAAAUAUUUGACAAAAUUUAGGGAAACUCAUAGGACAUAUAUUGUCCAUAUAUAAGAGUUUCAACACCUGGUCAUGUUCAAAAUAUUGGUCAAAUCCCUCUAAAACCCUUUCUGGAUAUUUCAAGCUUUUGAAAUAUUUACAAAGGAAAUAUUCUCCAAAAAUUCCAGGAAAAUUCCAUCAUGUCACAUAUGACAUAUUAGAUGAUCUUGCCAAGUCUCAUGACUUGGAGAACAAGAUAACACCAUCAAAACCCCUCAAAACUAUCUCUGUCCAUUCUGAAGUUUGAUCAACUUUACAUUGCCAAGUAUGUCCAAAUGUGCUCAAACUUGGUGGACAUGCUUCAUUGGUCUAAUGAUGCAUCUGGACCAAAUGGCACAGGUUGGAGAAUAGGAAGUCUUGGUCAAAGUGCCUCAAAACCCUCUCUGACCAGAAUCAAGUUUGAACUACUUUGCACUACCAACUUUUUCUCCAGGACCCCCUUUGGUGAGCCUGAUCAUGUGACCAAAUAAGGCUACCACACCAAGUGGCACAUCAAGGAGAAAUGAUUUACUCCACUGGAUCUACACAAAUCCAUUUCUGCCCAUUUCUAGGGUUUGCAAAAGUUGCAUUGGCAACUUUGUCCAAAUAAGCUCAAAAUGGGUGGAAGGCCCUAAAUAUAUGUGACAUUUCACCCCUUGGAGUAUCUUGGCCAGUGGGAGUCAUUAGCUUACCCAAAACUCCAUCAAACACCUUCUGGCAAAAUACUAAAAAGCCUAUUUUUGCCACUUUCACUAAUCUCCUUGAGUUCAUCUUUUUGCCACAACCCCUCCUCACUCCCCUCUGUCACUUAGACACUUUUCUACCCGAGGAAGCAAUGUGGAGGAAGGAGGGAAUCACGUUUGUCCUCUCUGGACAACAGCUUCCCUUCUCUCUCCCAGCCUCUCUCUCUCCCCUCUGCACCCCAGAGCAUCCCAGGCUCUUUCCAGGUUUUGCCCCCUUCCACUGUAGCCUCCAGACAGAAAAGGACGCGCGCGCGACGCGGAAAACCCACGGAUGCCGGCCAAAGUCGCGCUCUGGAGCGCCUGCCAGAGCGCCGACCGUUGACACCGCGCCUCCCGACCGCCUCGUGCCUUCCCAUCGCGCCAGUUGAUGUGUCUUGACGUCUGCGACACGCCGCCGUGCCGUCCCCAUUGUCUCUCCCUCUCUCUCCCCUCCUGCAGCGCGUGCCCGACGCCGUCCGGCUCGGCCAAUGGCCGGCCUCACACGCGCGGGCGCCAGAACACUCCCCCGCUCUCUCUCCUCCUCCCUGGCGCCCUACUCCAUCCCCACGAGCGCCGUGGACAGCUCCAACCUCUCUCCAACGGCUUCCAGAGCCGAUCCCGCGGGCGCCCGUAGGCCACGCCCACGGUGAACCGCGGCCAGCCUAUAUAAGGCGCUCCCGAGCCCUCCUCUUCCUCCCUGUCGCCCCUCCACACACCCAAUCCACCCCCGGAACCACCCACUUCUCUCCAGAGCCGCCCGAGCUCGAGAUCGAGCUCGAGCUCCGCCGCCUCGGGUCGCCGUCGAUCUGCGGGUACAGGCCUCCUCCGCUCCUUUUCUCUCUCGAACUGGACUCCCCUCGCCUCACUGAUGUUUUCCCCUCUCUUUCCCCCUCGUUUUGCAGCCGGAAACGGCCGGAACCACCGGCGCCCGAAGCACCUCUGCCGCGGGACCUCGUCGCCGGCGAAGCAGGCCACCCCGGCGACCGUCUCCACCACCACCAGAACCGCGACUCGCUCCUGAGUCCAACGGUAGCCUCCGCGCCCCUUCCCGUGCCCUGUAUCGCCGCCGGCGAGCUCGCCGUCGCCUCUGGCCGGAGGUAGACGACGGCCGCCGUGGGGCCGGCCCGUCAGCCACACGCCCUGACGGGUGGGAUCCACCCGUCAGGUUUAAAACGUGCGCGCGCGCGCGCACCGAUCCGCCGUCGGCUGAAGGCGUAUUCAACCUUUACGCCUUCGAUGUGGCGGCCGCGUGGGCUGGGUUUCCCCCCCCCCCUGGGCCUGCUGCUGCUGUGGCCUCUCUGGCCCAGUGGCACAGCGCCGUUUCUCUUUUUCCUUUUCUGUAUUAUUUCCAAAAAUUCCACAGGACAGAAUAUUAAUCCAAAUGCAUUGAUUCCAAUUUCUAAAUUCCUAGAAUAUUGCAACCUAUUUAAUGGUGCAACUUUCAUUCAAAUCCAACCACCUUUUAUUCUCUGUAAAUAUUUAAAUGUGGUUUUUAGCAUUUAAAUAGGCCUUUGAAAAUCCAUAACUCCUAUUUUGCUGCUCCAAAACCAAAACCAAAAGUUGUCCCCUUCCUAGCCUUCCUCUUAGUAUUUUACAAAAAUAAGUUGACAUUUUUGUGAGCACUUUGACUUUUCUGUUUUUAUUAUUGUCUUAUUUUCCCGUUGUUUUCUUGCGACGUUAGAUCCCGUGUUUGACGAGGUAGCUGAGGAAGAAGGAGGAGCAGAGCCUGAAGACUUUGAAGAUCAAGCCAACCAAGGCAAGUAGCCCUUUGACCAUGACUAUGAUACCCCUUUAUAUGCAUGUCAUUUUUAGCUCUUUAUUAUCGAUGCAUCGGAAUCAUGAUGAGAUGGUGAACCACGUGGGUUGGUUACCACGAUUACUUCCUCGUUGAUACUUGCAGUGUGCAUGGCCCUACCUUCUUAUGAGGGUUAUGCCGGUGGGAGUAGAUAGGAUGCAAAUGUAGAUGCUACGCAAAUGGGGUGGGUUUGUGCAUGGUGAAGGAGGCAAUGUGAUUUCAAAAGUCUUUUCGAAAACCCCGUCGGGUGCCACCUAUGCCCGAGGGAGAUGAUGAGAUGGGUGACCACUUGAUGACGAAGUGGUGUGCCAAGGAAGGUGUGUGUUGUUUUCAAAACGGAUUGGUCGGAGUUGCGACCGUUAUUCCAACCUUACAUGCGCGACCACUCUACCCUUAUAUGGGAAAGGGCAUUAUUGAGUACCUAGACCGAUACUAGCUUGGAGCCUGCAUUACUAGUGACGGGGGAGAGUUGGUGCUCUCUCUUGGGACGGGGUCGUGCCAGGUAGGGCGGCCAUGACUGUUUUCACAGGGCACCGGACACACCGUUGGUACCCCGUGCUUGUGGUAUGUGAUGAAAAUGGGAGCGAGGCUCCACAACUUUAUGAUGUGAAAUGUUCGGCACGGGGGUUACUACCAAUCGAGUGGACUCCAUGUUAGUGUCGUCUAGGGAAAGGUAGUGAUCGGGUGCUUACCUCGGGUACUUGAGGUACCGCGGGUCGUGGAUGACACGGAAGUUCCCCGGAUCUAGUGGGUAAAGUGUGCAACCUCUGCAGAGUGUAAAACUAUUCGAAUAGCCGUGUCCACGGUCAAGGACAGUUGGGUAACCGCUCUUGGGCUACGUCCACUUGUUUUCAAACCCGGUGUGUGUGAGAUGAUGGUGUUGUCUUGGAUCAAGUCAGAGGACUUGACACGAUUGAGAUGGGUUGGUGCCCUCUCUGUUUAUGAUAAAUGGGUUGGUGCCCCUUUCUAUUUAUGUUGAUAUCUGUGACCAGAUCUUAUGGUUACUUGAAUUCUCUUGAUGCAUGCUUUAUAGGAUGUUGAACAUGUCCUGCACUCAAAACUAGCUUUAUGCAAAACUUUACCUAUGUCAUGCAUUACUGUACCUUGAACCAAAUCAUGGGUUGCUUGCGAGUACAUUCAAAGUACUCAUUGGCUUGCCACUAGUUAUUUAAUUGACCAGGCAUGGGAGAACCGGAGUUCGAAGAAGAGUUCUUUGGAGACGAUCAUGCGAACUAGGACGUUCCCAGUCAGAAUGCCUGUAGGGUUAAGGAAGAUGGCAUGGGUUCUACUUAUCGACGACGAUUUCCGCUGCUAUGUUUCAUUUGAUGUUCAGCCCUUAAGGCUUUAUCGAUGUAAGACUUGACCAUGUUGGUCACUAUUUGUGUAAGACGGUAUGUAUGGAUGUAAGACUCUUGUUAUUCAGCUUCUGUGUGUUCAGUGAGCAUUGAUCUCUGGGAUCACUGUACACGUGCAUUCGGUGAUCACGACUUGCGAGUCGGGGUCCCCACAGAGCUGGUACCAGAGCCAUCCUGACUGUAGGAAGCCUUAGUUAGCAUGGACGUUAGUUAGAGCGAGACUAUCCACCAGGUUACCCAUAUACCUAUGUUUAUGUUAGUAUCCCAAACAUAGGUCACAUUCCUUUAUUGACCCUUUCCCUUCCACUUUUUGUAGAUGGCCGCCGUACCCGAGGACUUCCUGACCACUGGGUUUCCUGUGCUUCUUGAGGAUAGCCUCAGGAAGUGCCAGUUCACUCGAGUCCCCACCUUCUCCUACCACGAGCACUGGGUCGACAGCACCAAGAGGGAGUAUCACGUGGAGGUAGUCGUGAGGGCGAAUGACGCCCCGAUGAGCUGGUUCUUUGAGGGACCCCAGAUGGCGACACUGCUUCUCGCCGUGGAGACUGCUGCCCUCAAGGCGCUGACUCGCCUCCGGGAUCUCCUGCCAGAGAUGGCGAGAGAGCCAGCCACUCGUUACCUACCUUAUCGUAAGGAAGGUGAUGACGAGAGCAGUGCACCAGCACCACCCUUGGACGAGGGACUUUCUCUCCGCUUCCAGACCUACUUCAGCUUGUGUGCCGAUAGUCUGGCACAACACCUGGCCUCGGAGUCGACGGAGCUUCGGAAGGAACUCCGCGAGACCAAGGAGCUCCUCCGCAUAGUUCAGAUGAAGGCAGACAGGAUCAAGAAGGAUGGAGCGCCCCCUGGACAGCCCGCAGUAGCGUAUCGAGGCGGACGACCCCCACAGGUCGCACAUGCCGAGGGACCACCUCAGCCACGCCGUAUGACGGCAAAGGAGUACCGCAACCUCUUCAAAACGCCACCAGCAAAGCAGCGCCGUGUUCUGCUCCUUCACUCCCCCGCUUCCUCGAGCGAUGAGGAGACCAAGACAGAUGAAGAUGAGGAGGAAGAUCCAGAGGAGCCAGAAUACCCGACCGAGCAUUCCACCACUUAGACUCCGUUCAGGACUAGGAUAGGCUAGCUCGUAGCCUAUGGUAGGAUAGGUCGUGUACCCCUUUUGCGAAGUCGAGUCCUUGUAAUGGUUCUUGUGAAACCAUGUUAUGUUGCGUUUGCGUUCAGCUUGCUUUCAUGAAGUCGUACUUUCCCUUCGGGAACUUGUAAACGACUACAUUCCUCAUUUGGUUUUAAUGCAUGAGUUUGGCCCUUCUGGCCUUUGUUUAACUUAAAUUGUGUCACACCACCCCCUUACUAGGCAUUCCAUCUAUACUGCUUUCCCUCAUUGUUGUUCCCAAUCAUGAGACCUUGACCGCUCCAACAGGAUGCCUGUUGUAACACGUACUGGUACCUCUACCCAGCCGCAAGGAGCCGGAGGUUCUGCUGAGGCCGGAGCCAGCCAGGACCAAGCCCAAGGACAGACUCCACCACCACCACCUCCUCCAAGCAUGGAUAUGGCUCAGCUUCUCCAAGCCUUUCAAGAGGAGCGCCAAGCCAACACUGCAGCCCUCCAGAUGAUUGCUCAGGCUGUCAACCGCCAGCCGGCGGGGCACGUCCAUGGACGUUCCACACUGGUGGAAUUCAAGAAGCAUGCACCACCCACUUUCAUCGAGACUGCUGAACCCCUGGAUGCAGACGACUGGGUCCGCACCAUUGAGGAUCUGCUGGCACUAGUCGGAUGCACUGAGGACCGUGAUAAAGUGGCGUAUGCUGCCCACUGUCUCGGGGGGACUGCCAGAGCUUGGUGGGAUGGAUUCAAGGCUAUGCAUGUUGAGCAAGACAUCACUUGGGACACCUUCAAGACGGAAUUCCGCAAGGCCCACAUCCCUUCUGGAAUCAUGGCCAUCAAGAAGCGUGAGUUCCGAGCCCUGAAGCAAGGUAGUAGCACUGUCAAGGAGUACAUGCAGAAGUUCAGUGUUCUCUCAAGGUAUGCCCCUGAGGAUGUCAGCACUGAUGCUGCCAAAAGGGAGCGCUUCAUGGAAGGCCUUAACUAGACUCUGCAGUACUCGCUUGUUGUGUGUGACUGCCCAACCUUUCCUGAUCUGGUGAACAAGGCACUCAUGCUUGAGGACAAGCGACGUGCCUUGGAUGACACUCGUAAGCGCAAGAUGAUCAGCAAGGGUAGCUCCAGCAACCAGAAGCCUCGCCCGUGGCAGCCAGCCCCGGUCAAGCCAACCUAUCAGCAGCCAAGAGCUCCUGCACCUCGCACCAACUAUCCACCUCAGCAGUAUGCCAACCCCAGGCCAGCUUACAACAACCCCAAUAACAAUGCUGGCAAGGGCGUCGUCCCCAAUCAAGUCACUUGUUUCGGAUGUGGACAGCCAGGGCAUUACUCCAAGAAUUGCCCCAACAAGAAACCUGACGCCCCGCGCCCCAAUGCGCAGAACCCGGGACAAGGCCGUGGAAUGCCACCAAGGAACCAAGCUCCCCGCAACUUGCCCAACAAUGGCAGGGGUCGUGUGAAUCAUGUCACCACGGAAGAAGCCCAGGAAGACCCGGACAUCGUGCUGGGUACGUUCCUUGUCAAUUCAGCACCCGCAACUGUUUUGUUUGAUUCUGGAGCCACGCAUUCUUUUGUCACCCAAAGUUUUGCAUUAAAAAGUGGCAUGACCCCUACACCCCUGAAUAACCCUAUGGUGGUACAAACCCCCGGAGCAGAGAUGAGAGCCAAGAUAGGAUGUAAAGGAGUCGGGAUUACCAUUAACGGGGUAGACUUCCUAGCAGACCUUAUCAUCCUAAAAUCACAAGGCUUGGAUGUGAUCUUGGGAAUGGAUUGGCUCAGCAAGCACCAAGGCUUGAUUGAUUGCGCCAACCGGACGGUCACUAUGACCAAUGACCGAGGAGUCAAAGUCAAAUUUGCCUCCAGCCCCUCUUCUGCUCAAGCCAACCAAGCCAACUGUCUGACUGAAGUUGGAUUGGAACAAGUGCCGGUAGUAUGCGAGUAUUCCGAUGUUUUUCCUGAUGAGCUACCAGGAAUGCCUCCUGACCGAGACAUUGAGUUCAUCAUCGAGCUCAUACCCGGAGCAGGACCCAUCUAUAAGAAGCCUUAUAGGAUGGGAUCGGAGGAGUUAGCAGAAUUGAAGAAGCAGUUGGAAGAGCAGUUGAGGAAGGGAUUUAUCCGCCCUAGUGCCUCCCCUUGGGGAUCACCUGUUCUGUUUGUGGCAAAGAAGGACGGUACCAUCCGCUUAUGCAUUGACUACCGCUCCCUCAACGAGGUUACAAUCAAGAACAAGUACCCACUUCCCAAGAUUGAAGAUCUGUUUGAUCAACUCAAUGGGGCCAAGGUGUUCUCCAAGAUCGACCUCAGAUCUGGGUACUACCAACUGAAGAUCAGACCCCAAGAUAUUCCGAAGACGGCAUUCGUAACCAGAUAUGGCCUGUAUGAAUGCACGGUCAUGUCCUUUGGGUUGACCAAUGCCUCAGCUUACUUCAUGUAUCUCAUGAAUAAGGUCUUCAUGGAAUAUUUGGACAAGUUCGUCGUCGUCUUCAUUGAUGACAUUCUUGUCUUCUCGAAGUCGGAAGAAGAGCACGAGCAACACUUGAGGAUGGUCCUAGACAAGCUUCGAGAGCACCAACUGUAUGCCAAGUUUAGCAAGUGUGAAUUCUGGCUGCGUGAAGUUGGAUUUCUGGGACAUGUUCUAACAGAAGAGGGAUUGUCAGUCGACCCUGCCAAGAUAGAAGCCGUGACUGAAUGGCAAUCCCCGAGCAAUGUGAAGGAAGUCAGAAGCUUCCUCGGACUCGCGGGAUAUUACCGCAAGUUCGUUGAAGGAUUCUCAAGCAUUGCCCGACCCAUGACUCAGCUCUUGAAGAAGGACAAGAAGUUCGAAUGGACGCCGAAGUGCGAAGAAAGCUUCCAGGAGCUGAAGAAGAGGCUAACCACCGCUCCAGUUCUGGCCACACCAGAUAUACACAAGGAGUUUGUGAUAUAUUGUGAUGCGUCAAGAAUCGGACUGGGAGGUGUUCUGAUGCAAGAAGGCAGAGUCGUGGCCUACCUUUCAAGGCAGCUACGACCUCACGAAGAGAACUACGCUACUCAUGACCUUGAGCUAGCAGCAGUGGUUCAUGCCCUGAAGACUUGGCGACAUUACCUCUUGGGGAAGCGAUGUGAGGUAUACACGGAUCACAAAAGUCUGAAGUAUAUUUUCACUCAGAGGGAAUUGAACAUGAGGCAGAGAAGAUGGCUGGAGUUGAUAAAGGAUUAUGACCUCAGUGUUCAAUACCACCCUGGAAAGGCUAAUGUGGUAGUAGACGCGUUGAGCAGGAAGGCUUGCUCCUUGAAUGCUAUGCUAAAGCACAAGCUACCCGCCUUGUAUGAAGAACUUGAAAGCUUCGGGUUGGAACUGGUUGCACCAGGAUUCUUGGCCAGCCUCGAAGUUAAGCCUACCUUGAUGGAUGAUAUCAAGAAAGCUCAGAAGGGGCAUGAGAGUAUUGAAGGCAUCAAGAGGAAGAUCAAGGCAGGCAAAGCCUCAGGAUUCUCAGAAGAUGAGGAAGGAAUUGUGUGGUUUGGGAAUCGCAUCUGCGUGCCCAACAAGGUUGAGCUCAAGAACCUGAUCUUGCAAGAAGCUCAUGACAGCCCAUAUUCCAUCCACCCUGGAGGCACCAAGAUGUAUCAAGACCUGAAGGAAAGAUUUUGGUGGCACGGGAUGAAAAGGGAGAUUGCCACCUAUGUUGCAAAAUGCGACGUAUGCCAGAGAGUCAAAGCUGAGCAUCAGCGACCCGCUGGAUUGUUGCAACCCCUUAAGGUGCCUGAAUGGAAGUGGGACAGAGUCGGGAUGGACUUCAUCACCGGUUUACCCAGGUCAAGCAAGGGACAUGACUCAAUAUGGGUCAUCGUUGACCAUCUGACCAAGGUGGCCCACUUCAUUCCUGUCAAGACGACCAACAAGGGGAACCAGUUAGCCAGUCUCUACAUCAACCGAAUCGUGAGCCUUCAUGGUGUUCCCAAGGAGAUUGUGUCAGAUCGAGGAACCCAGUUCACCUCAAGGUUUUGGAAGAAAUUCCAGGAGGCUAUGGGGACCAAGUUGUCCUUCAGCACUGCUUUCCACCCACAGACCGGAGGUCAGACCGAGCGAGUGAAUCAAAUACUCGAAGACAUGCUCCGAGCCUGUGUCUUAGCUUAUGGAGCUAAGUGGGAAGAUUGCCUCCCUUUCGCCGAGUUCUCUUACAACAACAGUUAUCAGGCCAGCCUUCAGAUGGCACCAUUUGAAGUGUUAUACGGGCGGAAGUGCCGUACACCUCUCAACUGGUCGGAGACCGGAGAAGGACUUGUCUUUGGGCCUGAUAUCCUUCGCGAAGCAGAAGAGCAAGUCCAGCUUGUCAGAGAGCGUCUGAAGUCUGCCAAGUCAAGGCAGAAGAGCUAUGCGGACUCACGUCGCAGAGACAUAAACUUCCGAGUUGGAGACCAUGUCUAUCUCCGGGUCACCCCUCUCAAAGGAGCCCAGCGCUUUCAUGUCAAGGGAAAGCUCGCUCCGAGAUACAUUGGGCCCUUCAAGAUCACUGAGCGACGAGGAGAAGUGGCUUACCAGUUGGAACUUCCACCUGAACUUUCUGAUGUGCACAACGUGUUCCACGUGUCACAACUCCGGAAGUGUCUCCAAGUUCCAGACAAGCCCGACCUCUACAAGGACGUCAAUCACCAAGCCGUUGAUCUUCAACCUGAUUUGACUUAUCGUGAGCGGCCCAUCUGCAUUCUGGAUGAGGCUGAGCGACGCACUCGAAGGCGCACCAUCAAGUACUUCAAGGUCCAAUGGAGCAACCACACUGAAGCAGAAGCAACUUGGGAGCGUGAAGACUACCUUAGAUCCGAAUUUCCGUAUCUCUUUUAAGCCUAGUUUAGGAAUCUCGGGGACGAGAUUCUUGUAAGGGGGGUAGGUCUGUCACACCCUGCAUUUUGUAACAUUUCAUUUUCAUUAUUAAAGCAUGAAAGUUUGGACCAACAAAAACUUUUUUUUGCAUUAUUUGGCUUUUAUUUGGAGUUGGUUUCCUCUCUGUGUUUCUUUCAAGUGCUUCUUGAAGUCAACUACUCUACCCUCUAAAUUCCAUCUCCUUACCCCAAGCUCCUGACCAAUGACCAUGCCAGGUGAAUAGUGCUAUAUAGAAUUUUCUUACAAAAAUAAUUUGGCCAGAAAGUAUUUUCUAAAAUUAGUUUUCCAAAAACCCCUGAAUUGAGGUUUGCACUGCAAGUACUUGAUUAAGGGCAGUAAAAAUCAUUCCAAAAAUAUAUUUGACUCCUAUUAGAUAUAGGAUGCCCAGGAACCACAAACCUAUAAUUUUAAAAAUUGUUUUACUAUUUUAUUUAAAGGCUUUUUCUUAAGGCCAGAAAUGGUCUUUAAUAGGGAAAAAUUAUUUUAUUGUUUUAAAAAUAUUUGACAAAAUUUAUGGAAACUCAUAGGACAUAUAUUGUCCAUAUAUAAGAGUUUCAACACCUGGUCAUGUUCAAAAUAUUGGUCAAAUCCCUCUAAAACCCUUUCUGGAUAUUUCAAGCUUUUGAAAUAUUUACAAAGGAAAUAUUCUCCAAAAAUUCCAGGAAAAUUCCAUCAUGUCACAUAUGACAUAUUAGAUGAUCUUGCCAAGUCUCAUGACUUGGAGAACAUGAUAACACCAUCAAAACCCCUCAAAACUAUCUCUGUCCAUUCUGAAGUUUGAUCAACUUUACAUUGCCAAGUAUGUCCAAAUGUGCUCAAACUUGGUGGACAUGCUUCAUUGGUCUAAUGAUGCAUCUGGACCAAAUGGCACAGGUUGGAGAAUAGGAAGUCUUGGUCAAAGUGCCUCAAAACCCUCUCUGACCAGAAUCAAGUUUGAACUACUUUGCACUACCAACUUUUUCUCCAGGACCCCAACUUUGGUGAGCCUGAUCAUGUGACCAAAUAAGGCUACCACACCAAGUGGCACAUCAAGGAGAAAUGAUUUACUCCACUGGAUCUACACAAAUCCAUUUCUGCCCAUUUCUAGGGUUUGCAAAAGUUGCAUUGGCAACUUUGUCCAAAUAAGCUCAAAAUGGGUGGAAGGCCCUAAAUAUAUGUGACAUUUCACCCCUUGGAGUAUCUUGGCCAGUGGGAGUCAUUAGCUUACCCAAAACUCCAUCAAACACCUUCUGGCAAAAUACUAAAAAGCCUAUUUUUGCCACUUUCACUAAUCUCCUUGAGUUCAUCUUUUUGCCACAACCCCUCCUCACUCCCCUCUGUCACUUAGACACUUUUCUACCCGAGGAAGCAAUGUGGAGGAAGGAGGGAAUCAUGUUUGUCCUCUCUGGACAACAGCUUCCCUUCUCUCUCCCAGCCUCUCUCUCUCCCCUCUGCACCCCAGAGCAUCCCAGGCUCUUUCCAGGUUUUGCCCCCUUCCACUGUAGCCUCCAGACAGAAAAGGACGCGCGCGCGACGCGGAAAACCCACGGAUGCCGGCCAAAGUCGCGCUCUGGAGCGCCUGCCAGAGCGCCGACCGUUGACACCGCGCCUCCCGACCGCCUCGUGCCUUCCCAUCGCGCCAGUUGAUGUGUCUUGACGUCUGCGACACGCCGCCGUGCCGUCCCCAUUGUCUCUCCCUCUCUCUCCCCUCCUGCAGCGCGUGCCCGACGCCGUCCGGCUCGGCCAAUGGCCGGCCUCACACGCGCGGGCGCCAGAACACUCCCCCGCUCUCUCUCCUCCUCCCUGGCGCCCUACUCCAUCCCCACGAGCGCCGUGGACAGCUCCAACCUCUCUCCAACGGCUUCCAGAGCCGAUCCCGCGGGCGCCCGUAGGCCACGCCCACGGUGAACCGCGGCCAGCCUAUAUAAGGCACUCCCGAGCCCUUCUCUUCCUCCCUGUCGCCCCUCCACACACCCAAUCCACCCCCGGAACCACCCACUUCUCUCCAGAGCCGCCCGAGCUCGAGAUCGAGCUCGAGCUCCGCCGCCUCGGGUCGCCGUCGAUCUGCGGGUACAGGCCUCCUCCGCUCCUUUUCUCUCUCGAACUGGACUCCCCUCGCCUCACUGAUGCUUUCCCCUCUCUUUCCCCCUCGUUUUGCAGCCGGAAACGGCCGGAACCACCGGCGCCCGAAGCACCUCCGCCGCGGGACCUCGUCGCCGGCGAAGCAGGCCACCCCGGCGACCGUCUCCACCACCACCAGAACCGCGACUCGCUCCUGAGUCCAACGGUAGCCUCCGCGCCCCUUCCCGUGCCCUGUAUCGCCGCCGGCGAGCUCGCCGUCGCCUCUAGCCGGAGGUAGACGACGGCCGCCGUGGGGCCGGCCCGUCAGCCACACGCCCUGACGGGUGGGAUCCACCCGUCAGGUUUAAAACGUGCGCGCGCGCGCGCACCGAUCCGCCGUCGGCUGAAGGCGUAUUCAGCCUUUACGCCUUCGAUGUGGCGGCCGCGUGGGCUGGGUUUCCCCCCCCCCCCUGGGCCUGCUGCUGCUGUGGCCUCUCUGGCCCAGUGGCACAGCGCCGUUUCUCUUUUUCCUUUUCUGUAUUAUUUCCAAAAAUUCCACAGGGCAGAAUAUUAAUCCAAAUGCAUUGAUUCCAAUUUCUAAAUUCCUAGAAUAUUGCAACCUAUUUAAUGGUGCAACUUUCAUUCAAAUCCAACCACCUUUUAUUCUCUGUAAAUAUUUAAAUGUGGUUUUUAGCAUUUAAAUAGGCCUUUGAAAAUCCAUAACUCCUAUUUUGCUGCUCCAAAACCAAAACCAAAAGUUGUCCCCUUCCUAGCCUUCCUCUUAGUAUUUUACAAAAAUAAGUUCACAUUUUUGUGAGCACUUUGACUUUUCUGUUUUUAUUAUUGUCUUAUUUUCCCGUUGUUUUCUUGCGACGUUAGAUCCCGUGUUUGACGAGGUAGCUGAGGAAGAAGGAGGAGCAGAGCCUGAAGACUUUGAAGAUCAAGCCAACCAAGGCAAGCAGCCCUUUGACCAUGACUAUGAUACCCCUUUAUAUGCAUGUCAUUUUUAGCUCUUUAUUAUCGAUGCAUCGGAAUCAUGAUGAGAUGGUGAACCACGUGGGUUGGUUACCACGAUUACUUCCUCGUUGAUACUUGCAGUGUGCAUGGCCCUACCUUCUUAUGAGGGUUAUGCCGAUGGGAGUAGAUAGGAUGCAAAUGUAGAUGCUACGCAAAUGGGGUGGGUUUGUGCAUGGUGAAGGAGGCAAUGUGAUUUCAAAAGUCUUUUCGAAAACCCCGUCGGGUGCCACCUAUGCCCGAGGGAGAUGAUGAGAUGGGUGACCACUUGAUGACGAAGUGGUGUGCCAUGGAAGGUGUGUGUUGUUUUCAAACGGAUUGGUCGGAGUUGCGACCGUUAUUCCAACCUUACAUGCGCGACCACUCUACCCUUAUAUGGGAAAGGGCAUUAUUGAGUACCUAGACCGAUACUAGCUUGGAGCCCGCAUUACUAGUGACGGGGGAGAGUUGGUGCUCUCUCUUGGGACGGGGUCGUGCCAGGUAGGGCGGCCAUGACUGUUUUCACAGGGCACCGGACACACCGUUGGUACCCCGUGCUUGUGGUAUGUGAUGAAAAUGGGAGCGAGGCUCCACAACUUUAUGAUGUGAAAUGUUCGGCACGGGGGUUACUACCAAUCGAGUGGACUCCAUGUUAGUGUCGUCUAGGGAAAGGUAGUGAUCGGGUGCUUACCCCGGGUACUUGAGGUACCGCGGGUCGUGGAUGACACGGAAGUUCCCCGGAUCUAGUGGGUAAAGUGUGCAACCUCUGCAGAGUGUAAAACUAUUCGAAUAGCCGUGUCCACGGUCAAGGACAGUUGGGUAACCGCUCUUGGGCUACGUCCACUUGUUUUCAAACCCGGUGUGUGUGAGAUGAUGGUGUGUCUUGGAUCAAGUCAGAGGACUUGACACGAUUGAGAUGGGUUGGUGCCCUCUCUGUUUAUGAUAAAUGGGUUGGUGCCCCUUUCUAUUUAUGUUGAUAUCUGUGACCAGAUCUUAUGGUUACUUGAAUUCUCUUGAUGCAUGCUUUAUAGGAUGUUGAACAUGUCCUGCACUCAAAACUAGCUUUAUGCAAAACUUUACCUAUGUCAUGCAUUACUGUACCUUGAACCAAAUCAUGGGUUGCUUGCGAGUACAUUCAAAGUACUCAUUGGCUUGCCACUGGUUAUUUAAUUGACCAGGCAUGGGAGAACCGGAGUUCGAAGAAGAGUUCUUUGGAGACGAUCAUGCGAACUAGGACGUUCCCAGUCAGAAUUCCUGUAGGGUUAAGGCAGAUGGCAUGGGUUCUACUUAUCGACGACGAUUUCCGCUGCUAUGUUUCAUUUGAUGUUCAGCCCUUAAGGCUUUAUCGAUGUAAGACUUGACCAUGUUGGUCACUAUUUGUGUAAGACGGUAUGUAUGGAUGUAAGACUCUUGUUAUUCAGCUUCUGUGUGUUCAGUGAGCAUUGAUCUCUGGGAUCACUGUACACGUGCAUUCGGUGAUCACGACUUGCGAGUCGAGGUCCCCACACUGGAACUCCUGCUCAUCAGUCUCAUCAUCAUCCAUGUCUUCAUUGUCGUUGUCAUCUUCAUCCUUGUCGCGGCCGCGAGGAGGUCUGUCUCCUUGCCGCUGCUUGGCCUUGCCGCGACGUCCUCCUCGGCCGGGACGUUUCUUGCCGGAUCCUCCAGCACCUUCCUGGGCCUUCUCCUUAUCGCGUUGCUCGUAUUCAGCUUUCUGUUGCUCAACAAGCUGCUCGACUUUCUUGCAGCUCUGGAGAUCGUGGCCCUUGGUGCGGUGGAUCUUGCAGUACUGCUUGUUGGUGCCGUCCUGCUUGUCGGCAACCGCCACCUCCGCGGCACCCUCCUUGCCGGAGUCACCAGCUUUGGCUUUCUUCGCGCCACCACCGUUGCCGGACUGCUCAACAACUAGCACCUCUUUUCCUUUCUUUCUCCUGUUGUUCCGCCGUCGGUUUUUCUUUGCCGGGGCAGCAUCAUCACUGUCAGAUCCUCCUGCUCCUAUGUUCUCUUCGGGGAGUCUCCUCCCUUCCUCAGCACGUGCACACUUGUCGGCCAGGGCAUAUAUCUCACUGACGUCUUUGAUCUUGCACAUCGCCAUCUCCUCCCGCAUCCUGCGGUUUCACACGUUCUGAUGGAACGCGCUGAUCACCGCGGCAGGGUGGACGUCUGGGAUGUUGUGUUGUACGCUGCUGAAUCUCUGAAUGUACUUGCGCAGGGGUUCUCCUUCCUUCUGGGCGAGCAGAUGAAGGUCACUCUCUUGGCCAUGGGGCUUGUGGCCGCCUGUGAAGGCGCCGACAAACUGAUGGCACAGAUUAGCCCAGGAGGAUAUGGAGUUAUCCGGCAAGUGCAUGAGCCAGGAUCUGACGUUGGGCUUGAGCACCAGCGGGAAGUAGUUGGCAAGGAUCUUGUCGUCCUGUCCCCCAGCAGCCUGCACCGCAAUGGUGUAGAUGCUGAGGAACUCUGACGGAUGCGUCUUGCUGUCGUACUUCUCCGGUACGUCUGGCUUGAAGUUCUUCGUGCUGGGCCACUGGACUUGCCGCAGCUCACGAGUGAACACAGGGCAACCUACCGCAUACGGCAGAUCGCCUAGUUCCCCUGGCGCAUGCAUGUCAACAGAAGGCCCAGCGUGCUUGUCGGAUUGACGUCGCGCUUCUCUUCGGCGCUCGAUGCGAGUACGAGCGUCCUCUUGCUGUCGAUCAUGAAGAACUUGGCGCUGAUCGCGACGAGCUCGUGGAUCCGACGAUGCGGUGGAGUCGCUGUCGAGGUGGAUCCGACGAGUCGGCGAUCUUGGCUUUCGGGGUGGUGAUUGCAUGGUGGUUGCACCUCCACCAGUUUCGUCGCCACCGGCUCGCGCCUGGCAACCCUGCCGCGGCAGCGACGCGCUCGGCUGUCGUGGAGUGUCUCCGUUGGCGUAGCCGAAGAGACUCUGAAUGGUGGCCCUCCAUUCGUCGAUCUUGUCCGACGUUGGAGGGUAAUCCAGGAGCAGUUGAGCUCGUGCCAAAGAUUCUGCCGGAGUGGUGGGUGGCAGUGGCGGACGGCGCGAGGAGCGGGAUGUGCUCGGACUUCUAACUAUGUUAGAAGGAGCAUUUUCCCGUCCGGGCGACCGUGUCCCGCUCGUGCUGGCACGUUGGCGUGCAUGCUGGUCUUGAGCGCCCCGGGAUCCACCAGCUUGAUCUUGGCCCAACAAACGUAUGGUACUGCGAGUACCAUGACGCUAUUGGUCCUGCGCCUCCUGAGAUGGGCGCGGAACAAGUGCGGACGUCGAGGUCUGCGCCGCCUUGCCUUUGGGCCUGGCAGCGUCGUGAGCUUCCUCGUCAACGUCCGUCCUUCCGCCGACGUCUACCCCACCACCCGUUUGCUCCGGUGGCGGUGGGAUCGACGUGGACGGAACUGCUGCCUCCGAAGCCUUCUUCUUCGGUGGCAUGUUGAUGAAGAAAAUGAAGAUCUAGCUCGUGUGAACGCCGGAUCAGGUUCACACAGCCUCGACGCCCCCUACCUGGCGCGCCAAAGAUGUCGGGGAAACUGAUCCACGAACACCUAUGGGGCCGGCGGACCGAGCCCCUUUCGGUUCAGCGGGGGGCAGAGGUCGCACGAAGAACAGAUCGAGGCGAAGCACACGAGCAGUUUACCCAGCUUCGGAGCUCUCCGGAGAGAUAAUACUCCUACUGCUGCUUGUCUGAUUCUAUUAUGUUCUUGCUCGAGAGAGCUAUGUGUUUCUCUGGUUUCCGAAUGAGUCGAACCCCCUCUACGUUGCGCAUGAACCUGUCAAGGGGUCACCGACAGGUGGCAACGUAAACAAGGGUACAAAUGUAAAAAGCGAGGUGGUUGGUACAGUUAUUUGUACAGUGUUUCCUACCUAACGCUGACGGCAGGGGACAAGGGCAUUAAAUGCCCGUCUGUGUCACCCAAACAGUGCAGAAAAGGACCGUUAGGGGCGCCACCGCUCGCCACGAUGGCGAUCUUGUCAGCUUCGCAUGCCACCGCGCACCGCUGGCUGCACAGCCUCCCGCCACGCGCGCCUGGAAAGGCCCCCAGAGCGACACGUUGGUGGAUGCGCUGGAGCGUGGGCACAGAGUGGCCGCCUGCCGCGGCAAGCGCCUUGCCACGGCCGUUGUCUUGUGGGUCCGGAAGCUUGUCGCUCACCGGGCCCUAAUAUGCCUUGGUUGGUCUUCCCGGCAAGCUCCUCUUGCCGGGGCCUUGUUGCCUUGCCGGGACGCGUGGCGCGUCGCGGCAAGUUCCUUGGGAUGCCUUGGUUCGCCUUCCCGGCAAGCUCCUCUUGCCGGGGCAUUGUCUCCUGAACUUAAAUACUUUGUUCUUGAAUGGCUCCAAGGGAACCACGGAGGACCUUGGCGGUCGCCCGGCAAGCCUUGCCGCGGGGCGCUGCAACUGCCCAUGCACAAGUUCGGGAUACUAAGGUACCCCUACUCUAGUACACCGACAGCAGCGAGCUCAGCGAGACGUGGCCACGGCAGUGAGCACCACCGUGGCGAUGAGCUCAGACAUGAUGAUGAGAGCAGCUACGGUGGAAGAAGAGAAGCGUGAGGAGAGGGGAAAGACGCCUUGGCUCACCGGGAGCCAUAGGGAGGUGGUAGUGUGCUCGGGGAGGCGCGGAGUGUCCGGAAUUGACGGCGACAGAUAGCGGCGAUCCGAGGAAGGAGAAGAAGAUGGCGGCGGCAUAGGUGCUUCCCGGCUCGUUCCGUUCGGCGUAGUCGACGUAGUCGAUGUCGGGUAGGCAUUCGAGCACGUCGGCGAGGCGAACAGGAGGCGGUGGCCGCGGAAUCGACGCGGCGAUGGCGGCGAGCCUGCUCGGAGGAGCACGGGCAGAGGGGAAGAAAGAGCGAGGGAGUGGGAUGGCAAGGGGGGAUCUGGUGCGGAGAGGGAGAGGCGGAGCAGGCGAGGGGAAGUGGGAGUGGCAGCGGAGGAGGGGACCAAGGCAUCGGGAGGCUUAUCCACCUCGACAACGGCGAGCGGGUGCGGUGGGGGCGCGCUCGGCGCGUGCACGGGGUCGAUGGAACAAGAGGGAGGGUAGAGCAAUCGGGGAGGGGGCGUGGGCCGGCCUGCUGGGCCAGCUGGCUCGGGUGGCCGAAGCCUAAGUGGGGCAGGGGCUUUCUCUCCCACUCACAUCUUUUUUUUCUUUUAAUUUUUCUUUUGAAAACUUUUCUGUUUUCAUUUAACAAAAGCCUUUUUACAUUUUCUUUUGCAAUAAUUACCUUUUGCAAAAAUGUGCCACUGGGGAAAACAAAUACUAGGGGAAGUGGUGCACUGCCACCAUAAGCUUGGGAUUUAUUUGAAUCCAUUUGGAAUUUUCCUAAUUGGAAAGGCAUUGAAAAUGUUGUUUUGCACUGUAAUAAUCGCUUCUAUCCACCUUAGCAUUGUGGUGAAGUUGUUUUCCCUUAACAAUAAAUUGUUUUGGAAUAUUUGCUAAAUGAUGAACAUUUUUCCAGUAACUUUGUGCAACUUGAAAUUUUCAAUUUGAAUUUGAACUAGAUUCAGAGAAGGAAUUUGAAAUGAGAAAUUAAUCCAAUGUGAUUAAGCUUUGUAAAUCAAGAUGACUUGGCAUUGAUCAUAAGGGAUUGAUGUAAUGUGAUGCUGGGGACGCUACGAACCACCACAACCUCACUUGACCGCCCUACUGUAGCAACUGGAUUUUCAAUAGUCCGAUCAACCGCCAAUGUCCUCAUAUAAUUCAGCUACAUGAGGCUCCACUCUGAAUACAUCAGGAACAUCAUUGGACGCCAGACAAACAGGAAAACCAGCAACACUACCAGCAUGAACGACAUUCUCGAGUGGCUUUUCAGUGUCAAUAUCAGAAUCUUCGUGGCAACUAGGGGCAGCAACAUGGUGGGAUUCCUGAGCUACAUAAAGUUCUGCACUAUCAACGGCAACCGAUAUAGAAGCAUUCACAUUGUCACCACCAACAACAACACAAUCCCCCUGGUUCAUAUCAACACGAACAAUGCCAACCGAUUGACGAACUUCUACGUUUGCAUCUCCAGGCUGCAAAAAGUUCUAAAAAGCCACAACAACACAAAAGAGCGAGGGGAGAAUUAACCCAACAACACACAGUUCACUUAUGCCAAAGACUGUAGCCCACAUAUGCAAAAGAACUGCAAUUCACUUAUGUAAGAAGACUGCAACCCACAAAUGUAAAACAAUUGCAGUUCACUUAUGUAAAAGACUACAACCCACAUAUGCAAAAAGAACUGCAGUUCACUUAUGUAAAAAGACUGAAGGUCACACAUGUAAAGCUAUGCUGCUCACAUAUGUAAAAAGACUACAACCCACAUAUGCAAAAAGAACCGCAGUUCACUUCUGUCAAAGACUGGAGCUCACAUAUGUAAAACUAUGCAGCUCAGAUAUGUAAAAGAAAUGCAUAUGAGUGAACAGAACAGUGUACGUCAAGCUUAUAACAACAACAAAAAAUUAGAUUACAACCCACUAACAGAAAAAGUAACUACACCAAACCUUAUCAGCUACAGCAUCCAGAGGGGACGACGCAUCAGCCAAGUCCUCAUCCUUCUCAGAGCCAUCGUAGGGAUCUUUGUGCACAUCACAAGCAGCAACUCCAGUCUACGGGCAUAGAACAAACCAAAACGAAAUAAGAUGGUAACGACCAAAAAAGGAAAAAAACUUCAACCAUGCACAAGCAGUACACAUUUUAUAAUCGUGAGGUACACAGAAAAUAAAAUAAAAUGGAAAGAAAAAAAAUGCAGGUUCAAGAAGAGAAGCACAUGGCAGAACAGGCAUGGGAGAAGUACUUAUACCUGACCAAUUCCAUCGUCCCUAGAUCUGUGAACACCAGAAGAUUCCACUCCAGCCUAUGACAAAAAACAAAGAGUGAGGAGCAGUUCACGUAAUACAUGAAAGAGGUUCAAAAGGACAAAAAGCGGACAAUGUACAUUAUCAGCACUGGCGCUAGCGUCCCAUCGGUUCAUUUCAUCCAAAAUGUGCUCCGCAUCCUUCUCAUACCGAGCGCAUUUCUCUUCGUGUGAAUGUUUCAACUGAGCAUCCGAAGACCGAAUAUUCAUCACUACAAUCUUCAAUCUUUCAACCAUGCCAGAAUCAAAAUUGUGAGCAGCAACAAUAUCUUCUUCUCGGGGGCCAUGGCUGCCGGGGAAAACCAGCAACUAUCCUCAACCCGUCACCAUAGGUUGGCAAAUCUUUAGUUAACUUCAAAACCUUCAGAAGAAGCUCAUCAACCUCCUUGUGUUUUUUGCCGCCAACAAAUGUCUGUUCAAAAAAGCUUCUAUUAUCAAACAUCCGACGAGCCAUGAAACCAUGAGUAGGCGGCGACACAUUAUCAUAAGCAGGAAGCUGGCUACAGAUAGGCUCAUAGAAUCUAGCAUGACUGCCAGGCCCCGCAUCAGAGCUGCUGCACAGUACUGCAUCAGGACAGAUGUACACAAUAUCGCCUGACGCCUUCCACUGCAAAAAAAGAUAAAAAGGGGAAACAGGUACACAUGUGAAUACUAGAAAGUUCAGAUUUAUAAUAAAUGCAAUUUUUUUAAAAACCCUAUGAUCUUAAAAACUCUGAUGCACUAACCGGCAGCCUCCUGAAUUUGUAAGUGUCCAGAUAAAUUUUUCCCUUUACAAGCAUAUCCUCGUUGUAUAACUUGAUCAGGUCCUUGUUCGUCAGGAAUGAUGCGCGUGGCAUCACUGUGUGCAUAAAUGAAAAUUUGCGAAGCUUCAAGCAAUCAAGAUACAUAAUCAGGGGGACAAUGGCACAACCCUCUGCACUAUUCUGCUUGCUGCCUUCUAUCUGCCACUUCACCACAGCUGCCUGCAGCUCUUCGUCAACAAACUGACAAAAGUCCAUCUAUGCCAUAGCCGCAUAAUCUAUGUUCUCAACCAUGGUAGCAACCCUGCCCAAAUGAACUACAGGCCCGAGGCACAACAAAUUCUGAUAAAGUAUCAGGAAGAAUACCUUGACGACAAGAUCAACCGUCAUAGGAUCAUCACCCUCCACCAAUACCGCCUGCUUUUGAACCAAGUGCUUGACACAUAUACUUCAUGAAGGGUCAAAGCCAAGCUCAUCCUUGAGGGCAGACAAUGAGUCAUCAUGGCCACUGGUAGCAGGCAUGGUUGUAGUGUGAGCUCCCAUAGGAAAAUCAAAAAUGUGAUGAACUACAUCAUGAUUGAUUCGAAGAACUCUACCAUUCCCAAAGUCCAUUGUCAUUAUGGCAGGGUCAAUCAAUCCCAUCGAAUAGCACAUAACAAUGCGCAACACAUUUUUCUUUACUGUGAAGUCAAAGACAACACCAAAGCCAGCAACCCGAACACAAUUACAGUGUGCUUCUUUCAAUAAAGCAGCAGCUUUGUUCUACUUCUUGAGCUUGCGUUGGUUUUUCCCUUGAAGAGGAAAGGGUCAUGCAGCAAAGUAGAGAUAAAUAUUUCCCUCUGUCAUAGAACCAAGAUAUCAAUCCAGUACAAGGUCAAGCUAGUACCCAAUCAAUGCACCUGCACAAAUAAUCAAACACUUGCACCCAACGCGAUAACGGGGUUGUCAAUCCCUUCACAGUCAAUUGCAAAGGUGAGAUCUGAUAUAGAUAGGUAAUACUAUCUAAUUUUUUUUUUGCGUUUUUUGGUUUAUAGAUCCGUAAAUAAAAGAUUGCAAAAUAGUAGAUUAGAAAGAAAAUAUGAUGGAAAAUACACCCAGGGGCCAUAGGUUUCACUAGACACUUCUCUCAUGAAGGCAAAUAAUACGGUGGGUAAACAAAUUACUGUCAAGCAAUUGAUAGAAAAGUGCAAGGUUGUGAUGAUAUCCAAGGCAAUGAUUAUGCAUAUAGGCAUCAUGUCCGUGUCAACUAGACCGACUCCUGCUUGCAUCUACUAUUAUUACUCCACACAUCGACCGCUAUCCAACAUGCAUCUAGAGUAUUAAGUUCAUAAAGAAUGAAGUAAUGCCUUAAGUAAGAUGACAUGAUGUAGAGGGAUAAACUCAAGCAAUAUGAUGAAAACCCAUCUCUUUAUCCUCGAUGGCAACAAUACAAUACGUGCCUCGCUACCUCUAAUUUUUCACUGGGUGAGGAGACCGCAAGAUUGAACCCAAAAUUAAGCAGUCUCCCAUUGCAAGAAAUACCAAUCUAAUUGGCCAAACCAAACCGAUAAUUCGAAGUGAAAUACAAAGAUAUGAAAUCAUGCAUAUAAGAAUUUAAAGAAAAUUCAAAUAAUAUUCAUAGAUAAUCUGAUCAUAAAUCCACAAUUCAUCGUAUCUUGACACACACACCGCAAAACAAGAUUACAUCAGAUAGAUCUCCAAGAUCGUCGAGGAGAGCAGGGUAUUGAGAAUCAAAGAGAGACAAGAAGCCAUCUAGCUACCAGCUAUGGGCCCAUAGGUCUGAGGUAAACUACUCACACUUCAUCGGAAGGGUAAUAGGAUUGAUGUAGAAGCCCUCUGUGAUUGGAUCCCCCUCCGGUAGAGUACCAGAAAAGGCCUCUAGAUGGGAUCUCAUGAGGUUAGAGACCUGCAGUGGCGGAAAAGUAUUUUCGUGGAUGCUUCUGAGUGUUUUGUAAUAUAUGUAAUUUAUAGGACAAAGUAGGUCGGUGGACUCCCGAGGGGACCACAAGACAGGGGCGCGCCCCCUAGGGCAUGCCCCCCACGGCUUGUCGUUGCCUCGUGGGUCUUCUGACUUCAUCUCCAAGUCUCGUAGGUGUCUUUUGGUCCAAUAAAAAUCAUCACGAAAGGAGAUUGCAAAAUAGUAGAGCGGAAAGAAAAUAUGAUGAAAAUACACCCAGGGGGCAUAGGUUUCACUAGACGCUUCUCUCAUGAAGGCAAAUAAUACGGUGGGUGAACAAAUUACUGUCAAGCAAUUGAUAGAAAAGUGCAAAGUUGUGAUGAUAUCCAAGGCAAUGAUUAUGCAUAUAGGCAUCAUGUCCGUGUCAAGUAGACCAACUCCUGCCUGCAUCUACUACUAUUACUCCACACAUCGACCGCUAUCCAACAUGCAUCUAGAGUAUUAAGUUCGUAAAGAAUGAAGUAAUGCCUUAAGUAAGAUGACAUGAUGUAGAGGGAUAAACUUAAUCAAUAUGAUGAAAACCCAUCUUCUUAUCCUCGAUGGCAACAAUACAAUACGUUCCUCGCUAUCCCUACUUUGUCACUAGGUGAGGACACCGCAAGAUUGAACCCAAAACUAAGAAGUUUCCCAUUGCAAGAAAUAGCAAUCUAAUUGGCCAAACCAAACGGAUAAUUCAAAGAGAAAUACAAAGAUAUGAAAUCAUGCAUAUAAGAAUUCAGUGAAAAUUCAAAUAAUAUUCGUAGAUAAUAUGAUCAUAAAUCCACAAUUCAUCAGAUCUCGACAAACACACCGCAAAAGAAGAUUACAUCGGAUAGAUCUCUAAGAACAUUGAGGAGAGCAUGGUAUUGAGAAUCAAAGAGAGAGAAGAAGCCAUCUAGCUACUAGCUAUGGACCCAUAGGUCUGAGGUAAACUACUCACGCUUCGUUGGAAGAGUAAUAGGAUUGAUGUAGAAGCCCUCCGUGAUUGAAUCCCCCUCCGACAGAUUACCGGAAAAGGCCUCCAGAUGGGAUCACACAAGGUCAUAAACCUGCAGCGGCGGAAAAGUAUUUUCGUGGAUGCUUCUAAGGGUUUUGGAAUAUAUGUGAAUUUAUAGGACAAAGAAGUAGGUCGGUGGACUCCCGAGGGGACCACAAGCUAGGGGCGCUCGCCUAGGGCGUGCCCCCACGGCUUGUCGUCGCCUCGUGGGUCUUCUGACUUCAUAUCCAAGUCUCGUAGGUGUCUUUUGGUCCAAGAAAAAUCAUCGGGAAAGUUUUAUUCUGUUUGGAAUCCGUUUGAUAUUCCUUUUGUGUGAAACUCAAAAACAAGGAAAAAACAGAAACUGCACUGGGCUCUAGGUUAAUAAGUUAGUCCUAAAAAUAAUAUAAAAUAGCAUAUUAAUGCAUGUAAACAUCCAAAACGGAUAAUAUAAUAGCAUGGAACAAUAAAUAAUUAUAUAUACGUUGGCGACGUAUCAAGCAUCCCCAAGCUUAAUUCUUGCUCGUCCUCGAGUAGGUAAAUGAUAAAAAUAGAAUUUUUGAUGUGGAAUGCUACCUAACAUAUUUAUCCAUGCAAUCUCUUUUAGCUGACAUGAAAAUUCAGAAUCGUAUGAUUCAAAACGAAAGUUCAUUCACACAAAAAUAAUAAUACUUCAAGCAUACUAAAAGCAAAUCAUUAAGCUUCAAAAAUAACAUGGCUAAAGAAAGUUAUCCCUACAAUAUGAUAUAUUCUUGUUAUGCUCCCUCUUCUCAGCACAAAGUAUAAAUCAUGCCCACCCUGGUGUCAGCCAAGCAAUUAUUUCAUACUUUUUAACGCGCUUUAGCCUUUUCAGCUCUUCAUGCAAUACAUGAGCGUGAGCCAUGGACAUAGCACUAUGGGUGGAGUAGAAGGUGGUAGUAGACAAAAUAAGGGAGAAAGUCUCACAUCAACUAGGAAAAUCAAUGGACUAUGGAGAUGUCCAUCAAUUGAUAUCAAUGUGAGUGUGUAGGGAUUGCCAUGUAACGGAUGGACUAGAUCUAUAAGUGUAUGAAACACUACAAAAAAAUACACUUCUGUGAUGAUACGUGUUUGUCACAGUAGGUCGCGUUUUUUGUCAUGCAUGUACAUCCAUGACAAAUUUAUGACACAAUCAAGAUAGUCAUACAUGUGCUGUCGUAGAAGUGUUCCAUGACAUUACCAAAAUUAUCAUCACAGAAGUGUCCACUUCCAUGACGAUAAAUCGCGCGUCACAGAACUGCUUUCAUCCAGGGUGACCGACACGUGGCAUCCACCGUAACGGAACGCUGUUAAGCUAUCGGGUCGGGUUUUGGAUCUGCUAACCCGUUAACAGCCCCGACCAAUGGGGAUUUUUCACGUGUAAAAUCAUCAUUGGCUGGAGCAAACACGUGUCGGCUCACCGUUGGGACAGAUGUCAUCCGGUCAUUGGACCGAAGGCGCCAAUGAUACGGUGACACGUGGCACGGCCCAACAGAGGCCCAUUCCGGUGAAAAGGCCGGCCCAUUUGAAUUGGUCAAAAGGUGGCGGGCCGGCCCACGGAAAGCCUGUUAACGGCCUGUUCGCUUAUAGCCCAUUUACAGCCCGCUAACCGAGGGCCCAUUACACCCUAUCUGAAUUAGGCCAGUAGCGUCAUCUGGGCCAUCCAAUAUGAUUCAACCUGUUUUAACUUCCAGCCCAUGUGUGACCCAUGACUUCUUUCGGCCCAUAUGAGGACCUUUGUAACUCUUGGCCCAUUAACGGCCCGUGCUGAAACUGGCCCGUAAUGAACAGUGUAUCACUUUAUACCCAUUAACGGCCUGUUAUUCCAUCGGGCCAUUUCUAGCCCAAGUUAUCUUUCGGCCUUCUCAGCGCCCAUUGAUUCUUGGGUUCAUUUGCAGCAUUCGGUUACAUACGACCUGUUACUAUCAUUUUCUGCUUGUGGGCCAAAUUCAGCCCGUCGUUACAGUCGGCCCAUUUGCGGAUCGUUAAUACGUUGGGCCGUUUUCAUGUCAAAAAAACCCAUUGGGCUGUUUUCAUAGAGUUAUCAAAUACGGCCUAUUAACGGCCUGUUAUGGCCACGAAUAGCACGGCCCGUGAUUGGCGAAAUGAUGAUACUCCCCGUAGAAGGCCCAUGGAUCCUACGGCCCGUAUGAGGCCCAUGGAUAGUACGGCCCGUAGAAGGCCCAUGGACCCUACGGCUCGUAGAAGGCCCAUUGAUCCCUAAGGCCCGUAUAGAAGGCCGAUGGAUCCUACGGCUCGUAUAGAAGGCCAAUGGUCCUACGGCCGAACGAAGGCCCAUGGAUCAUACGGCCUGCAGGAGGCCCAUGGUUACAACAGUCUCUGUGUUGCCAUGAUUAUUUUGGCCUAGUUACCAAAAAUAGGCUAUUGUGGCCACUAUAAAAACACAGAAAAAGAACUACAAUGACUACAAGCAAACAACUAAACAAGACAAUAAGGAAAUAAAUAAGCAAGCAAUUAAGGCUAGCCUAUUACCGCUAUUACACAUAUUACAUCCACUGGGCAUCAAAGUUCGCCACCAGUGCAAAUAUAGGGAACAAAGCAGCAUAUUACAUACACUUGGCCAUCAAAAUUGGCCACCAGUGCAAAUAAACGCGGCAGCAAAACAAGAGCAUAACUGAAACAACUUCAGAAGAGCUCAAGAAACGUUAACCUGGGUAUCCACCAUGCUGGCAAUAAGCUUAGCAAGUUGAUUAGCUUUGUCCUAUUUGGCGCUAAAAUCCUCCAACGCUUGCUGUUGCACCAGAAAGUAUGCAUUUGAAUGCUCCAGGGACUUCCGCAGUCCUUCCGCUUCUUGUCGCAGCACAGCUGAUCGAUGUCUUUCAACUUGUAGUUGAGACUCAAGAAACCGAACUGAUUCAGAAAGUGAGUUUGAAUAGCUUGUGCAUGCGGUAGUGGCCAGUAACUCGAACACUAAACCAAGACAGGACUUUGGGGUUGUCUCGCUGUCUUCCUUAGCUGUUUUAUCAGCUUUGUUGGAGACUAACAAGGAUGUGUCACUAUCCUGAACCUUAUAUGCAUUACUUCCUUUACCAUUGCUUAAUAAGGCACUCUUCCCCAAUAUUCUGUCAGCAUUCUAAAAGAAGAAACAAGCAGACACAUAACAAGUUUAGCAUGUACUAGUAUAUGAAACUCAUUUCGGUGAACCAGUUCAUUAGUAAGGUGGACAGGAUUAAACUACCAAGUCUUCUGUUGUCAAGUACUAGUACAUAAUAAAAGCAUCAAACAAACAUAUAUCUAUGUCCUAUGGUCACUGCAUUGUCUUGCCAAAUCAAAUAGAGACACGGUUCAAAUCAUAUCAGGUCAAGACAAAGCAGCAGUGAAAGAAUACAAAGCGUGGGAAACUACACGGCACAACAAGAUUUCAGAUGGGUACCACGGGUCUACAUGUACAACAACACUAUUGGCUCUGUUGUGAUGCUAGUAAUGUGCAUGAUAUGAAAGUCAACUGUAUACACAAUUGAAAUUGAAAUCAACAGAGCUAUUGAUAAGAGCAAACCUGUUAAAGAAACAUGUGUGAACAUACCUGCUGUGCCAUUGGAGUUUCGAUUGGAUCCUUGAAUUUAAAAAUAAGUUCGUAUCAGUAAAUACAGUGAUACAAGAGCAAAGCAAUCAUAGUUAAAAAAGGCGCGCCUAAGCGAGCGCUUAAGCGCGCCUAGGCUCUAGGCGUUGGCAAAACGCAUUGCGCAUAACUACGCAUAAUCUAUGCAUAACUGCGCAUAAGCAUGCACUUUGGUCAGUAAAGCGCAAGGCGGUGGCAAAACGCACAAUUAAUGCCUAGCGCUUUUUUGAACUAUGAUAGCAAUGGAAUCUUAAAUUAGAACAUUUGUUCUUCAGGUUUAGGCACUUGUUCUACAUGAACAGAGUACCGUAAGAUGCGAGAAUAAAACGCUUCAAAACAGAAAAUGAGCUCAUAGACCUUACCACAUUCUUGGUUCGGGACCAGUACAGAACAAGGCGUUCCCAGUCAUCGUCCAGUAAAUGUGUCUCAGGAGAACGUAAGGGAAUUUGAUGAGUUUCUUUGCCGGUGAAGUAUGUUUUCUUCAGGUAAUUCCGAUACUGCCACCAAGCAUUCUUGAAGAUAGCAGAGGUAUUAGCACAGGUUACCUCAUCCUGAGUUUCCAAAUUGGUCCUUCUCUAUAGAGAAAAAUGGGAAAAUUUGCUGUAUUAUAACCAUCAUGGAGGUAGGAUGUAUGGGACGAAGCAAAGUAAUUGCCAUGAAUAACAUUACUUACACAUAACUCCUAGACAAACACCUGCAACUGGCAUUUUCCUUCAUCUUCAGUAUAAUAUUUCCAAGAUGGGAAGAUACGCACAUACGAUUUAACAACAUCAAAUGCGAUAGAUGCUAAACUAUGACUGGUUGGUUGUGCUUCCUCCACAGGAAUAGGCGUACUAACUGGUGGAGUUGGGGUUCGCCGUGAUAGUACUGGCCCUUUGGGCACUGGAGCUGCCGUACUAACUGCUGUUGUUUGGGAGCUCUGUGGUGGAGAUGGUGCUGUGUCAACAGGAAGUGGGUUACUAUCGGCUGGGGUUGGGGUUAGAUUGGGUGAAGCUGGUUCUCUGUCCAUCGCAGUAGGGGUACAAUCUGCGAGAGUUUGGGUUAUGUGUGGCAGGCCUGGUUCUUGUGCAUGUACAACCGGGGUGCUAUCUCCACCAAGAGGUAGCACUGUUUCAUUUAAAGACCGUGUUUUUAUUCCGCUAGAUACUGGCAUCACCCGCUCCAAUUCAAAUGGCUGAUAAACAGGAAACAUAGUUGAAUGUACAGACAUUGUAUGAGAGACAGAUGCAAUAGAUAGUGUGGAAAAAAGAGGGCAUGAAAUAUUUGACAUGUAUAUUGUUUAACUAAAACGGAUAGCGUGACAUAAUUUCACAUAUAUGAUGUCUAUCUAAACUGGAUAGCAUAGCAUAACGUAAUUCAAAGAUAUGAUGAAUAACUAAACAUGAUUGCAUGACAUAAUUCACCUACAUGUUAUCUAAGUAAUCAGGAUUGCAUCAUUUAAUUCACAUAUGUGAUUUAUAUGCUAAACAGAGGGCAUUCAAUAUGAUGUCUGAACUAAGAACAUGGUGUUGAAUAUUGUGUAUAUGAUGUCUAAACUAUGCAAUGCAAGACACCGUAUGCAUGAUAUGAGCAGUAUAACCGUGCCAAGUUAGAGCAUACACCUCAGUGGGGGAAUAGGACUGGUCAUCUGUCUCUGAAUCCAUCUCUGAGGAGCUAUCGGGACCCAACAAGAGAUCAGCUUCGACAGGUAGCACUGUCUGCUCUGAAAGCCUUGUUUUCACUCCAGAUUUUUCCAUCUCCCACCCAAAUGGCUGAUUCACAGGAAGAGUAGUUUAAUGUACAAACAUUGUCGACAAAUGGAAAUGUAAUGAAGAAAAGGAUGGGUAAGAUAUCAUUCAAAUAUAUGAUGCCUGGUUAAACAAGAUGGCAUUGCACAUUUCACAUAUAUUAUGGCUGGCUAAAAGACAUGAGACUGCAUAAUUCCCAUAUAUGAUAUAGAAACUAAACAGGUGGCAUUACAGAACAUGUCUAAACUAAGCAGAUGACAUAUAUGAUGUCAAAAGUAGGCACUGCAAGGCAACAUAUGCAUGAUAUGACUAACAUCAUCAUGCCAAGGUAGAGCAAACACCUUGGGGGUAAAUAGGAGUGGUCAGCGGCGUCUGAAUACGCCUCAGAACAGAUAUCUUCCUCUGGAUUAAAAUCUGGAGAGGGGUGGGGACGGUUUGCCAUUGAACCCACCAUGGAGCGAUGUCUGCAUGACAUUGUAUUGCCGCGCAAUACUCUUCUCUUUUUCUCUACAUGUUCAGCAUGACUGUGUGAAAUAUCUGACAUGCAUACGAAAAAAAUAUGGUGAGAUUAUGUAAGGAGAGCAUGCAGAAAUUUAGAGUGAUGGUAACAACCAAUGGAUCGACGUUUUUCCAUUGAACAAAAAUAGCCCUAAUGGAUCGACGUGAAUGUGUAGUAAUAAGUGAUGCAACAAGUGUACAACCUCUUUGUCGUAGCCAUGUCGACCUCAGCAUCAUUGGGUUGGUCGCUGAAGCAGUUGAGGCAGAGGUGGCUGUCGGAGGUGUGGAGGAAGAUCUGAGGAAUCUGUAGACGGCGUCUAGGGCACUGCUCUGUUGUGAUGGAUCGUUCUAUUGUUGGAGCAGCUCCGGUGAGCCGUAAGACGUCAAGGCUGAAGCAGCACAAGACAGGCAUCGUCAAUCUCAUGUGGGAUUCUAAUAGCAUCUCCAAUAGAUGAUGAAAAAUGGAUGUAAAAUUAACAUCACCAAAAACCACCUCACUACAACAGAUGAGGUAAAAACUGUUAACUCUGAACUUAACUGUCGAAACUGAAAUUAACUGUGGAAUCUGAAUGCUACUGUCGAAACUGAACGCAAUGGUAGCAGAGAGACACUUGACAUGUAGUUUAGGGAGGGCCUGCAGUUCAUCUUCAACCUGCACACCCCUGAGCCGCCUGCCACCACCGGCCGAACCGCCGACCCCAGCGCCGCCUCGCCGCCCCGAAACAACUCGCCACCGCCGCGCCGGCCAGCCCUCUAGGCCCCCCGCCCCCCACGCUGAACCCUAAGAUAGAUAAUGGGGUACCUCUUCGGCGAGCCCCCAUCCCUGCUGCGGGUGGUUCUUCCUUAACUCCGGCGAGCCCCCCUCCCCAACCCCUGAAAAUCGACUGACCCAAAAGUCGAUUCAGUCGACUGAAGUGUGGCUUAAUCGAAGCAGAGCAGCAGGACGAGUGAGGGGGAGAGCAGCAGCAGCAGCUCGGCGAGCGAGCGAUCGAGCGAGAGCCGGAGCAGCAGCAGCAGAUCCGGCUGGUAUGGACGCCACCGCUGAAGGGGCCUCGCACUGGGGGAGAGCCGCCAUGGAGAUGUCGCCCAUGGCGCCGGCUUCAAGGUAGCCACUCCAUGGGGUGCAGGAUGGAGCACCGUCAGCGCCGGGAGGUCGAGUUAAGGAGAAGGUGCGAUGCGAUGAGUGUACAACCUCUUUGGUGGCGCCGAGUAGGCCUCGGCUUCGUCCGAGGAGUCGGUGAGGAUGCUGCGGUUCCGGUGGAGCAGGUUAAGGCGGCGCUGUGGGGAUGGAGCAACCACGAUAGACGAGGCGAUCGUCGGAGCAGCUCCUUGGAGGUGGAGGACGGGGCGGCUGAACCGGCGGGACGACGAGAUGGACGGCAGAUCCUCAUCCGGGGAGGUGGACGAGGGACGUCGAGCUGUUGCGGUGGACGACGUUGUCGGGGAAGAGGCUCCGUCUGGGCAGCGGUGACGUGAUGGACGGAGGAGGAAGGGGUUUCGUGGCUAGAGCAGAGAGGUUAUGGCGGCCUGGGAUUUUGAAUGGCGAAAAGGGGGCGAUGGGAGGGGGUGAAGCAUGACUUAGGGACGCGUUUGUCCAAAAUGUAGGGUGUGUUACAAAAGUACCCCCCACCGAUUUGAACUAGCGGCCCUUUCGGCUCAGGGUUAGAAGGGGGAUUUCACGUGUCGGGAUUUCGCAGCUCGAGGGAGUUUUCGCGCGCGUUGUAAUUUCGGGAUAGCAAGGUGCGGGUUGUGAAGGCGCCAGUUUUGGGAGCACGAUAUCUGAAUUUUCGGGAUAUAACAAGAUGCGGGUUGAAUUUUAGGGACAAGCCUAACGUGUAGUAAUAUUGUACUUUUUUUACUUCAUAGUAAUAUUGUACUUGUAUGUACCAAAUCAAUUCGCACUUCCCUCAACCAAAAAUAAAACAAAAAAAUAAAACUAUUCACACCACAUAAAGAGAGAGUCUUGCCCCGUUUUACUAUACAAAUGUUAUUCAAAGCUACUCCCUCCUUCCAUCUAUAUAGGGCCUAAUGCGUUUUUCGAUGCUAACUUUGACCAAAUAUUAGAGCAAUGAUAUAUGACAUGCAACUUACACAAAGCACACCGUUAACUUCACCUAUUAAAGGUUCUUCCAAUGAUAUAAUUUUCACAUUGUGCAUGUCAUGUACUCUUAAUCUUGUCAAUAGUCAAAGGCAGUCUUAAAAAUCUCAUUACGCCCUUUAUAGAUGGAAGGAGGGAGUAUGAAUCCAUGUUAUGUUCGAUUAAUUUUUUUCGCUUUGCUGUAUAAUGCAUGUAACCUACUCAUACCAACAUUUUAGUGCAUUCCAAAUGUCUAUACUACCGCUGCAAUUCGAACUAAAUUUUAAUUCGUUUCUCUAUUUCAAUAAGAAUCUACAAUCAUGAUUGUUGCCAACUUCAACCAUCAUAAUUUCCUUGCUAUCCGUCAGAUAUAAAUCGGACGGCCUAUAAUACAGGAUGGCAGGCACACCAUCAUCAACAACUCCGUUUUUUAUAAGAGUAGAGAUAAAAUAUAUUAAAUGUAGUAUAACAUGUUCAUAAACACACCAUGUGUAUCACCAUUAUAUAUAUUCACACAUACGUCGGUUUAAAACACUAUGAUAAAUUCUUCAAACAUCCGAAUUCACUUUUUAUAAUGAAGUAUAUAUGAUCUCUAUUCAUCUUUUACACCCACACAACCCUCUUAUCUUUGUAGCUAGCGCUAACUUUCUCUUGUGCAUGCACACGCCCGCAUCACUCUCACCCUCCCUCAGCAUUCUCGAGCUCCAUCGCGCAAAUUCGUCUUUUCACUUUAGGUCGUUCACCCACGGUGUGUGUAGGCCCCCAGCUCCUUCUUUACAGCACACAUCGAUCGAUAUGCCUCUCUAGCCAGGUGUGCCUAACACAAACACAAGCUUCCCCUCUUCUCUUGUCACCGUCCAUGCCUCACUCCCACCACUCUUUUCAUCGUUCUUGUACUCGCACACUCCUCCCCGCUCGAUAUAGUAUGCCUCUCGUACCACCUCCUACAUGUAUCCCUCUAUCUCUAUCCUUCUCCUCGUACCUCAUUUGCUUCUAACACACACAUGCAUGUAUAUACCGAUUGAUCUCCCAACAUAUACCUGGAUCGACUUUAACUACCCCCCCAUCGAUCGACGUACCUCACAAGUUAUGUCUCUCCUUUCUCUAACAAAGGGCGAUUGAUCUUCCUAUGUAGUUAUGUCUGCUUACCACAGCCACAUCGUCCCCCUCAUCAUUCGUGCAUGCCUCCUGACCCGUCUCUCACACGCACGUGCACAGACAACAAGCAGCCAUCUCCUCUCUUAAUGAUAUUGCGGGCGUGCCCUCCGUUUGUCUAGCAAGCCUAUCCCACCAUUUGUUAGAAGCAACUCCACUACCACCCCCUCCAACACUCUAGCUCUGUCUCUCUCCCAACCUUAUUCCUCUCAUGCACAUAUCCAUGGAUGCCGAUCGAUCUCCCUUAGUACAUGAGGCAGAUCGAUCUCCUUAAUACAUGAGGUAGGCCUCUCUCCUCCUCCACACAUAUACCAGCCAUUGUACCUCUAUAGUUAAUUGGGCCUCCCUGUUCCCCCACAACACACCGAUAGUCAAGCGCUGCAGGUAGGUAUCCAUGCCACAGAGACAAACUGCACAUGUCCCCUCUCACGUUCCAGUAGGCCAGCCACUCUAUAUCUUUGACGUGGGCACACACAAAUUUGAUGGCACUCUUUAUCGAUCGCGCGCGCGCACACACACACAUCAUCCCUCUUUCGAUUCUAUGGACACCUCAAGCCGGUGAUACCUCCACUCUCUUCUCGUGGAUCGCCCCCUCUAUAUAUAUGUUAUAUCCAGGACUCUAUUUCACACACGUUGCAUAUGUUACAUUUUNNNNNNNNNNNNNNNNNNNNNNNNNNNNNNNNNNNNNNNNNNNNNNNNNNNNNNNNNNNNNNNNNNNNNNNNNNNNNNNNNNNNNNNNNNNNNNNNNNNNNNNNNNNNNNNNNNNNNNNNNNNNNNNNNNNNNNNNNNNNNNNNNNNNNNNNNNNNNNNNNNNNNNNNNNNNNNNNNNNNNNNNNNNNNNNNNNNNNNNNNNNNNNNNNNNNNNNNNNNNNNNNNNNNNNNNNNNNNNNNNNNNNNNNNNNNNNNNNNNNNNNNNNNNNNNNNNNNNNNNNNNNNNNNGAACCCACACACUAUAUCUCUCUAGGUUUGUAUCUCUCUCACACAACCCCACGUAGGUGGUGUACGUAUACAAGAAGAGAAUAGGUGCACCGUGCACGUACUCACGCUUCGUGCCCAGCCACACCCGCGCGGGUACACGGUGGAGCUCAUUUCUUUACAAAAUGGCAGCCCACGUGCUAAUUUGAACGCCUAUAGCGGUUGUUUACCUAGGGAGGUCGUGUACCAUGCCUGCACGAAACAAAGUUUGACUUGACGCGUUGCCGCGUUAUUUUUAAAUAAAGUUAUAUGCUCAAUGGAACGUACACAGAAUAGAAAACGAUUUUUAUGGAGAAAAAGGUAGUCCGCUCACUAUAUACAAUGGAGCCUUGCGUGCCUGGUUUGUCGCUCUUCAGAGUAUCGCACACAAGGCUGCGGUGGCCUCUCUCUCUCUCUCACCAUUGGUCAUUGAUUCGGCCGCAUCCCGUCCACCGGGGGAAAGGGAGUGCGGUGGCCUCUCUCUCUCUUACCGUUGGUCACUGAUCCGGCCGCAUCUCGUCCGCCGGGGGAAAGGGAGGAAGUGCAUCGUUUCUCCGUUUGACGACGCCGAGGCAGCACGUCCCAAUCUGCAGUACAUGCCAUUCUCUCUGACCAAGCUCCGGCGCGGCAGGGCCUACGCCACCUACUCACAGAUUCAGCCCGCCGCUGCUCACCUAGUUACAUCCCGACGACCUCCAGGUAUCCCCUCCGGCCUUGCUUCACCGCCCGUCUUCCCACGUCGCUGCAUGUGGAUCUUCCAUAGUUCUUUGCCCAAAACGUAGCUCGUCUAGCGUACUUUCGAUAUUGCAUUCUCGUCCUCACACCGUUUUAGACAAACACAACCGUGUUGUUAUCUUCCCUUAGGGCAAGCAAUAUGCUUCUUUUUUGUCGUCGCAUGUGUCAUCAACUGUUAUUGGCCAGUAAUUGUUUCCUUUCUACCUCUUUUUUGUAAACAGGGCUAUCCAUUUCACCUCGUUGCUAUUGCGACCUUUUGGUGAACUGCACAAAUCACUUUUUUCUUAAGAGUGUUUUGUGCAGUUGUACUAAAAUGUCACAUGGGCAACAUCUCUACAUUUCAGUGUGACUGCACAAAGGGAGAUUGGUUUUGCUCUAUCCUCCUCAUCCAACUCCGAGCCUAAUCUUCUCCAACUAGUUAGUCUUAAAAGAGACUACAAAGGUGACUGGCUUCUAUUUAUGUGUUUAUUGUUUCAUCAACAGUCUUCUAUUAUCGUAAUCACACUUAAUAUCUUUGGAAUAGGGACGCUCAGCUCUAUUUUAGUGGAACUGCACAAAAUGAUCGGAAUGUUGCAUGCUCUAGAUAGCUAUUUUUUCCCAACAUGCCUUGUUGAUUUAGACAGAGUUGGGGGGACGUUGCUGCCAAUGAAAGCAUGGAUCAAUUUUAAUUUAACACCUUCUCACAACUCUAUCUUCAGUUGUGAUGUAAUUAUUAGCUCUGAUAUGCUAAUAAUUGACAUGCAUUAGCAAGGAAGUUAGUUUUUUAUUGUUUCCGAAAGAGCAUCGAUGGCAAGACACGCGAAACAGAAGCUGAAAGCUCACACCAUUGUACAAUUUCAUGUCUCGCUGGAAAAUUAUUUGUAUAGUACGUCAAUUAUGUAAACAAAUGAUGGAAGCUUGAUAGCAUUGCCAGAAGCCUCUUCAUCAACCGGGUCCAUGUGCCAUGCACAAAAUUAUACUCCUUCGUUCCUAAAUAUUUAUCUUUUUACAAAUUUCAAACGGACAUAUUUUAGAGUGUAGAUUCACUCAUUUUGCUUCAUAUGUGUACUCCCUCCGUUCCUAAAUAUUCUAUUCAUCUUUCUAGAGAUUUCAACAAGUGACUACAUAUGGAGCAAAAUGAGAGAAUCUACACUCUAAAAUAUGUAUAUACAUCCGUAUGUGCCAGUCCAUUUGAAAUCUCUAAAAAGACAAAUAUUUGAGUAGUCACUCGUUGAAAUCUCUAGAAAGACAAAUAUACUCCGGAGUAUAUUUAAGAACCGAGGGGGUAGUGCACAACCGCAUGGGAGACUCAACCCGGUCGUUGCGCCGCAUUAAUAGUGAGUAAUGAGCAGACAAAUCGUAAGCCCCACCUUUCCCACUGUAAGUUGCUCUGAAGAAGCAACCAUCAAUACGCUUUUCUUUGAAUCCUCUCAUACUACUCCAUCCGUCACUGUUUAUACAACGUGCUUCAGAAAAAAGAAAAAAGAUCUAUGGGACCAAGGCGACUAGCGAUCGUCCUGAAAAAUAGCAUUGGUAGUUAUAGCAUGGUGUCUAUUACUAGUAGAGGGAAUAAUGCGUACACACAUGCAUGCAAUGCUUCCACCCCGGGUACACACAUGCAUGCACUUACUCCAUUCCGUAGUUACAUGGAGAGAAAAUUGUGGACUUGAUUUCGGUUACCACACCCUAAUUAAUUGAGCAUUAAACCAAACGCGUCUAAAGUCUCUCUGGUGGUGGAAAUGCAUUGAGAGAAAUGCAUCAUAAUGAAGCGCGCCCUGUAAACUGUGAUGGAGGGAGGAGUAGUAUGAAGGUUCAAAACCAAGUACGCAUAUGGCCAGUCGGUCAACGCGCCUCCUCUUGGCAUAUCACUGACAUGUGGGACAGGAGUGUGAGAAAACCGAUCUCAAUUGACGGCAAAGAGCCAACCCGCCGUUCCUUGAGAGAGACGAGGAGCGAGAACACACAGACUGGUUCGCAUGGAGGCCAAGAUAUAUUCGAGCAUGGUUGGUUGAUCGAUAUCAUUCAUUACAUGUUGCCAUGUUGGGCUGCCGUUUUCCGCCCUUCUCCGGAAUAAACGUGUACUCUAUCAGAGAUAAAAAGAAAUAAGAGUACAAACGCUCCACCAUGCGGUUCUAGUAGCAGUACUACUCGUACUACUGCGCUUGGCUCUUCGCCUCUUCGUGAAGUCGAACAAUGAUGGCACUCCGCAUGUUGGGUACUACAGUGUAUGCCUCUGACAAUCUGACACCGAAUGGACUGAUGCAUGUCCACCGAGGGUAGGUUGCAUUAGUCAAAAGGCGUAAGCGAGCUUCACCUUGUCCUGCAAGCUUCUCCUCGUUCUACGAGUUGACGGGACACACCAAAAAGUAGUGCUAGUCCAUACUCCCUCCUUUCCGGUUAAUAUGGCUCAAUCCUUUUUGCGGGUAAAUGAGAGAGCUUUAUUCAUAUAUAAGCAUUCUUAGGACGAUUAGCCGAGACACUGGUCACUAGGAAGCGAGGUACCCCACAAAAAAAUAAGUAGGAAGCGAGGUGUUUCAUCAAGCCAGCUCUCGGCCACAUUCAAAGUGCAGAAAGCACGGUUCGCACGAAGAUGCGCCGCAAGGUUUGCUGACCUGUUUACAUGCUGAAUAACAAAAAAAGAGGAAAUAUUACCGAGCGCUACUAUUUGUAACAGGAUAUGAGCCAGAAUUAAGCGAGAAUUGUGGCGAGUGUUCCAUGCAAUCAACUUCCAUUAUCACAUGCGAGAACCCUCGAAGAUAACCAAAUGUGUUGAAGAUUGCUUUAUCACAUUUUAAAAUUAUAAUAAGAGUGCAGACGCUCCUCCAUCCGGUUCCUAGUACUAGUAUAGUACGUACCUUUAUAGACUAUAUUAGUAAACUUUGCGCUUGGUUGUUCGCCUAUUCGGGAAGUUGAACAACAGUGGCACUAGUAGUAUAGUGUAUGCUUCUGGCAAUCUGACACCAAAUUAACUGUUGCACGUCCACCGCCUGAGCGAGGGAGAGCUUGCAUUAGUCAAAAGUUUUUCCUUGUCCUGCGAACCACCGCGCGCAAGUAAUGCUAGUCCUUACUGCCUCCUAUCCGGUUAAUAUGGAUUAAUUUCAAACGAGAUAAAUACACUGUCUGUCACUGUAUAUUUGUAAAAAUACGGUCAGUGGACUUCAUAAUACGCUCAUUGCACUCAAUAUAUAUAUUUUCCGGUGUUUAUACGGUCACUAGCUCACCCUGACUGAGUAUGUGUGUGCAUGCACGUGUAGGUUGAGCACUUAGCGUGACCGUGUGUGUUCCAUCGUGUGCUCGGACAUGCAUGCAUUAGGGCAUCGCGCACGUUUUUGCGUCCAUGUGUAUGUGUGACUGUUGCAUACACUUAGGGGGAGUACGUGUAGGGGGCACUAAGGAGCAGUAAAAUCACACAAUAAAUCACGUCUGUCGUGUUCGUGUCUGACCCUCCUCCACGGCUCGACGCCACACGGUCGCUCGGCAUGCCACUCAACGCAAACCGAGUAUACGAUAACUUUCCCACCCGCUUGUCGAUGGAUCGCGCCAUGGAGUACUACUAGCACUACUGGAAGAGAUUGAAGAGUUGGGGGAGGAUAGCUAGCUAUAGCACGGACUCCCAAAAACUUUUUACAUGCAUGUUGUAGCCGGCUAUUGCGACCUUUGAACACGGAGCAGCCGCGUGCACCCAGAAGCGACGCGGGCGACACUCUCUCGGCCGGCGCGCCGCUUCAAUGCCGGCGCUAGUGAGAGGUCACGUCCGCUCUGGCCGGGCAUGAAUGCGGCACUGACUGUUUCGGGCGGGAAGCACGCGCAGGUGAUGAAGAGGGUUUGGGUUGGUCAGGACCGGCCGUGGCAGCGGUCCGGACGUGCGCAAACAAGCGAUGUCGUAUGUUAAUAUUGCUGCGUAUAUAAUUAACAACGUAAAUAAUGUGCCAGUUGGACAAAUAUGAUUGUAGAUGGAGAUGGAAAUGGAAUUUUACGUAAACACGGAUAUGCAUGUCUAUGUCUAUGUGUGUGUGCGCGACGACUCUCGCGACCUAGAAGCGGGGGCGUGUUUUUGAUCGAGUUUUCUUUCUUGGUACGUUAGAAAAUCAGUUUAUCCAAUUCACAUCUAGAUGUUAUUUAAGGAUAUCACAUCUAAGCUCCCACAAGUAUAUAAUGUAGCUACAAGAAACAAAAAAAACUAGGACCAAAAAAAAUACCACAAACAGAGUGGACAUCAACUUAGAUGUGACAUAACUAGGGUUUAGGGUGUUAUCUCUAUGACAUAACUUAGAUGUGACAUAACUAGGGUUUAGGGUGACAUGAACCUAGGAUUCAAAGACAAAUAAAAAAUUCAGAAAAGAAUUUUCCUCUCACUACAUCUCUGUCCAUCUGGUUUGUCGAUGUUGGUUCAUUAAUCUUAAGCCCAUCAUGUUUGUUGGUUGUUUGCUGUCAUGUUGUUAUUACUUCCAUUAGGGCAUCUAUUGGUUCAUUAAUCUUAAGCCCAUUAUUCCAUGGAAUAGCUGAACUAUAAUACUAUUAUUCAUUUAUGAUAGUUUGUGAGAUAUAGAAAUAGAUAAAUUUCAGUUUGUAAUGGCUAACAGCCAGCAUGUGAAUCUGUUCUUGAUACUCCUUUUCCCUUUUCUUAGAAUCAUCAUAUACAAAUUAGAACCUUUCUAACAUCUGCAUAUUUCAGGUUUCCGAGGAGGUAAAGGAAGUGAAGUUCAGACAGUGCAGCAGCAGCAACACCUCCAAGGUGAGAAAUAUGUUCCUAUUUAUCUUUUUUUGCUCAAGUUCUUCAGUACAUCAUAUAAUAUAGAGAAGUGCAGAUCAAGUGGUGCAAUCAUAUACAUCUGGCCACUUAAGUCAUCCUUCCCUUUAAGCAGAGUGAUGCCUUUCAAUGUCACACAAUAAUGUUUGUUGCAAUAACAUUCUGCUCUUAGUGUUCGUUUGUUUACAAAGAUCCUGCUUAUAUAUACUGAUGAUGAGUCUUGUUGAAACCUUACAUAUGUUGGUUCCUGCUUAUUUGCUCCAAUGGCACAAACUUGAGCUGCUAGCAUAAAAAGUGUUGCAGGCGACAGACAGUGAGGAGCUACUGUAAAAAACUUGAGCUACUGUCAAAAAAUUUAGUUAGGUACAAUUAGCAUCAUGUAAGAAAAUGACCAUAAUGUGCCCUGAUAAUGAUGUAUUUUGUCAUAAAAAUAUAUAGUGGACUACCAUGAUAAUGACAUGGUCCUGUGUUUGCAAGCUGUCAUAAUCUUCAGUUUACUUGACUUUUGAGCAUGCUAGUAGUGUACUUCCAUGAGUUGUUUUAUUGACAUGGCACAUUUGCAAUGGAGUUUUAUAUAUCUUUAGCCACUAUUCAUUAACAACAAGUCAGUUUUGCUGCUGUUAUGCCUGUAUUCACUGCUGCUGCUUCUGUACUUGUGAUGAUGUUGUACUUCUGAUGAUGCUACUUGUGAUCUUCUGAAAUGACCCAUUGGUGACUUCAUUACGCGGGGAUAAUGAUUUUGCAGGUACCCCGAGAGGCCCUUGAGUUUCCUGGAAUAUCGAUUAACUUCCGUUUCGACAAAUUCGGGUACUCCAUAUGUCCUAUUUUCAGCAAAGGUCAUGCUGAAAUUUUCUAUGAAAUUUAGCAUGACUUUGCUAAAAAUAGGACAUAUGGGGUACUUGCGACUAAUGCAUGGGCCGGGGUAUCUUAGUACUUAGUUAAGUAGGAUCAACUGCCCCUUUAUUCUUGCUGCAUUAAACCAUAGGUGGCAAUAGAGCCAAGUGAUUAGGCCCAACUUAGAAUUCUCCUUAGCCUCGAUAAACCCUAGAUGAUAAACCCAACAUAGGUGGCAAUAGAGCCAAGUGAUUAGUGCCAAGUGAUUAGUGCCAAGUGAUUAGGCCCAACCUAGGGUGCCUCGGCAUCGAUAAACCCUAAAUGAUGAAAAAUUAACUUAGCAUUUAGGGUGAAUCGUCGUCGACAAACCCUAAAUGAUGAAACCUUGGCUUCUAUAGGGUGCCUCGGUGUCGAUGAGAACCUAAAUGAUGUACGCUUAGGCUUUUAGGGUGCCUCGGCAUCGACAAACCCAAAAUGAUAAAAGCUUAGAUUUUAGGAUGCCUCGGUGUCGACAAACCCUAAUGAUGAGACCAUGAUCUUGUUGCUUGACAAUAGCCAACUUUUUGACCAAACUUUUUUCCUAUUUAGAGUGAAACAUGGCCCAUAACGAUGAGGCCGGCGGUUCUGGCGGCAAGCAAUUCCGGGAGCUGUCCUAGGAGUUGGAGGAAGAACCUCACCGCUAUGAGGACGCCGCGGAAGACACCGAUCCUGACUACACAACCCCUAGUGGCGUCAGGGAUGACACCACUGAUGGUGCCGCCGAGGAUGCCACCACUGAUGGUGCCACCGAGGAUGGCACCACUGAUGAUGGCGGCGCACGCACAGAUGGCGCCAACCGAAGAGGCAACGGAAGGACCGGUGCCCGAACACACUCCGCACCAUCAAGGAGUAAUUUACUCAAGUGGACUCCGACGGGCAUCCAACGGAGCCCAAACAUAUAGUCAAGGGGUACUCGGUUCAGCUCGGGUGCAUUCUCCGGAGCAGUGUCUCGAUCAACACCGAGAACCUUAGGCAUAAGGACCGAGGGAAUUUGCGCAACCUCCUCUUCACGAAGCUGCACGAACGAUACAAGUUGCCCACUGAAUUAGAAAACACACGCCUCUUAGGGAAUAAAGUGAACAGUGCCACCCUCACGAGGAUGAGCACGGCCCUGUCUACUUGGAGAAGUGCGGUGAAGAGAAUGAUUGAGAAAGGUGAUAGUUAUGAGAAGAUCAAGGUGAAAAAUCCUUCGAUCAGCGAAGAUGACUACAAAGAGUUCAAGAUCAAGUUCGAGAGCAGCACAACCUCCGAAUCAAGUCAGUGGGGGAAAGAAAUGCGGGAGUUGAACUUAGGGGAACAAAAACUCGGUUCCAGCGGUUAUAGAGUGGCGGAGCCUAUAUGGGACAAGGAGAACGUGGAGCGUGCCGAGCAAGGCCUACCGCCCUGCUUCGAGAAAUACAGUGAUAAGUAGACCAGGAACUAUGUCAGGGCCCGAUACAAGGAGGACCUGAUAAGAAAGGAGCUUACCACGGAUCCAAAGACCAGGGCGCUUGAGCUUGUUCUGGUGAAGGAGACUGAAAGCAGUAGCGCGGGGUCGUCUCAGAGCACCCCUGCUUGGGACAUCACUCUAAAUAGGGCGUUGAACGUAAUGAAAAACAAGGAUAAGCUCAGUAAGCCGUCGUCAGCUGGUCGUGUGGCCGACAAAGGCUUGUCCACAAAAUGGUCGUCAUACUAUACCGCUGGUGGGCGAAAGACGAAAAAGACCAGCUCGGAAAGCCAAUCGUGCGAGGUUCAAGAACUCAAGGCACAAGUGGCGCGGAUUCUAGAGAUUGUCCAAGAGCAAGUGCAACAACAACUGGGCUCGACGCUCACCGGCAUUAUGCCUACCUUGAUUCAUGGGCUGACGACGUGGAUUGCGGGUGGCCAACAGGGGCCGCCCCCGAUUCCUAGCUUCACGGCCAGCAACUCGCACAAUGCUCAGGCGGCACCAUUGGUGUCUCCGGUGGCGGCGGUAUUGGUGUCUCUGGCGCUGGCACGGGCAUUGGAGCUUAAUGCACCCGGGUGUACGCCGGCCGGCAGUUCGGCAGCAAGCGGCCCCUCCGUCAGUUGCACGCCCGCCGUUGGCGGUGCCUAGACAUUAGCCGAGCUCGACGCCAUCAUCAUGGUAACUAAUUAAGCCUCUCGGCCGAGGACUUCAUCUCCUUGCCUUUGUCUAGGCAUCCCUGACGCCCUACAUGUUUUCACAGGGCGCCGCCGACUUUCCGUGCACUCUCCUGCACUUCGUGAGCGACAAGUUGGUCGAUGUCACCAAGGGCAAAAUCGUUCAACCGGGCAACCCUGUGUUCCACGGUAAACCGAUGCCACCCACCGUGUAUAGGGUUCAACAGGUUCGGGUGCUGCCAGGCUGCGACGAGUUGUUACCUCCGAUUCGACCCACCGGGGCCGACGAAGAUGAUCUGAUGACCCUCAGUGCCUGCCUAAGCUGGCCCCUGCUUUGGCUAAAGAGCCAGAUUCGUUUGGGGGUGGGGGACACCACCCCAAAGACAACACCGCCAGUCGUGCCAGUGCCAAGCCAUGGCAAGACCGCCGCAACGCUACCGGACAUGCCGGACAUCCCUAUGGCACAAGAUCCGAACAUGCAUAUGGCAUAGGAUCUGGACGACGACGACAACAACGAUGGCCGUACAUUUAGCAACGUCGAUAAGUACUUUGCCGAACAUGGGUACGAUGACGAAUUGUUGGGGCCUCCUUCUCAAGAACCCAACCCUAGAAAAUACAAUCGCGAUCUAGCUGGUACCGCGGAGAAACCCAAUUGCAACAGGCGUCGUCUGGCGUUUAGUUCUCAGGAGACGCCUCCAGCUGCCGACUUCACCGAGCCUCAGAUAGCCGAGGUGCCAAAUAUUAUCAGCCCCAACACACUCAAGAAGGCGGUCUGUGAGCAGAACUCGGUCCCAUUACAACAGAAGAAGAAGGGACGGAAAAGAAAGUGUAACAAGGGUGCGAGCCAGCCGGCACCGAGUACGAUCCAUGCUCAGGACGGGCCACCUUCACCUAAGGAUAUCUCGAGGAGGGUGCAUGUGGCGGGUAGGGCGAUGCUACCGACAAAUAUGCUCAAUGCUGCAACCGGUGCUAUGCAGAGUCUUCAUGACAGUGUUCUUUCUUUGGAGAAGCGGCGUCUCAGAGAGAAUGAUGUGGCAUACCCGGUUUUCGUGGCCAAGGUGCCAGAGGGCAAGGGCUUUGUGGAUGGCGCCAUCGGGGGUACGAUCGUCCUGCGAAUUGAUGACAUGUUUGCUAUGUUUAACGUUCAUCCGCUGCACUACACCUUCGUUCGGCUGUUUUCACUGAGUAUGGAGAUGCGGAUCAUUAGAGACAAGACCCUGGACAUCGUGAUAGUCGACCCCUUCUACAUGCGUGCCAAGAUCUUGGGCAGCGCUGGGGACCGGCAUGUCGCGAGUUCUUACCUCGAAGGCGUCAUUCUGGCAAACCCAGAUAAGGAUAACUUCCUUGUGCCUUACUUUCCCGAGUAAGUCAUCCGCCUAACUGCCCCGUAACAUAUGAUUUCUUAGAUUUUGAUCGUUCUUUUUUUCUAACAUUCCGUGUUCUGUGCAGUGACACACAUUGCACACUCAUCCUCUUAAGCCCGAAAUAUUCCAUGGCCACGUAUUUCGACCCGGACCGUGACUCCAAGAUAGACUACACAAAUAUCAAGAAAGUUCUUCAUGAUGUUCUCCCCAGCUACGCCAAAUCUUGAGGCACCUUCACCAAGCAGUUCGUAGGUACGGCAGGCACGUGUUCACCCACAAUACAAAGUUCUCCUGCGUCAAGCAGCCGCCUGGCAGUCAGAAGGAUGCCUACUACACCCUCCAUCACAUGCGGGUGAUCGUACGGGACCAUCAUCACCUUCUGCUACCAGAUAAUCUCAAAGGUUGGGCCACGAGCUUGUCGGCAAUCCAGGACGCGGACAUCAGACAAGAAUUAUUUCGCAUCCAGCCGGAGUUUGCGGAAAUUAUCCAUCAAGAUGUCCUUCAUACGUCGGGGCAGUUCUACCUCAGAUAUCAACCGUCCAACAGUGAGAUAGACACAACGCUACAAACGCAGGCUGACAACGCCCAUGAUUUCAUGACCAUCACGACAGAUGGCAGCUUCAUCCACGCUCCGGUCCCAUGAGUCGAGUCGAAAGUAGUGAUGCUAUGUGUAGUUCUGAAACAUUGAUUGGCUCAUGUUGUAAUUAAACUUUAAUGAACUCGUAUGUCUCUUUGGGUUGGACAGUUGUUCAACUUAGAUGUAAUCGAUGCUAUUUAUUAGUAGGACCAUGAAUCGUGCUAUUAAUGUCUUGCUUUUCUCUUCCGAUCCUUUUGUUGCAUACUUAUAUAUUGCUUAUGUAUUGUCUGUUGUUUGGCUUGUGCAUAGAGAUGCCGUCGUAUGUCAUGUACAAGGGUAAGGUUCCCGGAGUCUACGACGACUGGGAGGAGUGUCGGAGACAGGUUCACCAUUGCAGCGGUAAUAGUUACAAAGGGUACACCACUAGGGCGGAGGCGGAAUCUAGAUACGCCCGCUAUCUAGCGGGAGAGAGGAGGGAGCGUUGGAGGAACCAGAUGAAGACCAGUUUCAUCGCGAUGAUGCUCAUCGUGAUGACCGCAGCUCUCUUCUAUGUGAUGGUAGUUUAGAUGAUCGAUAUCGACUUGUAAUGUGAAGACAAACUCGCUACUCGCGGUCUCGACACUUGUAAUGUUCUAUCUUUGUUCGGUCUUUUGAAUUCAGAGACUAAUAUGAUGAAUUGUAUUUAGAGACUAAUCUUCUAUUGUAUUCGAUGAAUCUGCUGUUGCUGUGUGGUGUUGUCUAAAUUCUGUCCAAUAAUAUAUUUUGUAACCUGUGAAAAUAUCAGAAAAGAAAAAAAAUCCCUAAUAUUCAUACUAGUGGCGCACCACUCAAGACACUAAUGGCGCACUGUGAUAAUCACACUAAUGGCGCAUCACCCACUGGUGCGCCAUUAGUGUGCCAAAGCACAUGGGUACAUAUGGCUCCCUGGGAGGCAUACUAAUGGCGCACUGUGGGCUAUACUAAUGGCGCACUACGUGGUGUGCCAUUAGUACACCAGAUACUAAUGGCGCACAGUAUUUAAUUCUAAUGGCGUGGUGCUAGUGGCGCACCAGUAGUGCGCCAUUAGUAGGCAAAACUGGUGCGCCACUAGCAUGCCUUUUCCUAGUAGUGAGGAGGUUGAGCAUGGGACUAUCCCUUCAACCAUGGCGGUGAUAGGAGUUGAGCAUGAAGACAUUUGCACCUAAACCUAUUCGACACCCACAUAUGACGAGAUGCCCCAAUUGCCAUGUGAGGAGAGCCACCACCACAUGAGUGACAUGAGUGACUCCACCACAUGUGACAUUGAGUGUAUUUCCUAUGAGAGGAUGAGCGUGACCACCACUAGCCCCACACAUGACAGCAUGCCACACAACCUAUGUGAGGUUGAGAGCCAUUUGAGUGACUCCACCAAUCAUAUGAGAGAGAGCAUCUUACCGGGAGUGACUGAGGUAGUUGAGAGGGCAUGUGAGGCCACUAUGAUUUCUAACGACUUACCCUCUACUCCGAGUGUGUUUUCCUUUUUGGUGUUAGAUCUCCAAUAAGACGAAACACCAAUCCUGGAUAAGUCCACACCUCCAAUGGGAAAACCGAUGGGCAUGGUGGAAGAAGAUGCACCCCCCACAUGGUACCAUCAAGUUCCAACCUCACCUACAACACAAGAGCGGAGCUCCAAAGGUAACAUAGAUGAUGGUACCUCACUUAUCCCACUAGUGGACUAUCUUGUAAAUGAUUGCUUGCAUGAUGUUGAUCACCAUAUGGAUUCAUCACAUACCAUGUCCUGUUUCGAUAUGCCACCCAUUUAUGGUGAAUAUGGCGAUGAGAAUGUUGAAUUGCCUAGUUGUGAUGCUAUGCUCCAUAGGAUAUCUUGUGAAAAUUCUAUUGGUCACGUCAUGUUUGACAAUCCAUUGAACUUGUUAUAUGUUAUGAGUGAGGUCUCCCAUGUUGCAUCAUUACAAUCUCAACAUAGUAACUAUGCAUGGCCCAUUAAAAUAAAUCCCAUUUGCACUUAUGGCAUAGUUGACAAGAUGAUGGUCAUUGGCUUUUGUUUUUCAUGUGAUGAUAUUUCCAUGCUUCCUUUACAUGAUUUGUGCAAUUCAUCUACUAUGCCAUGAUCACAUUGUUUCGAAUAUGCUUUGCUUUCGAUGUUGUCAAUAUUCUCCAUGUGAUGUUUCCACUAAUGCUCAUGAGGAGACCCCCAUAGUUUCCUCAUACAUAUUAGGAGAUUUUGAUACAUCCCAUCCUUUGCAUGCUUGCCAUAAUUUCUUGCACCAUAUGCAUUCCAUGAAUUAGACUGUUCUACAUAUUUCUCGUGAUGCAUUACACAAUUUGAGUCUCCAUUAUGCUAUACAUAGAAACAAACCUAUCAUGAUGGAUGACAUGUUUCUAUAUCACGCAUCUCAUUUAUUUGAGAAUUGGAUAUUUAGUGCUAACCAACACAUACAUGUGCACAUCAUGAUGGAUGAUGUGUACAUAUACCAUACACACACAAUUUUCCUUUUGACUUUGUUUUGUGUAGGUACUCACAUAUACUCAUCAACCUCUCAAUCCCAAGAGUUGACGAAACGAGCUCUUGAGAGCAACAACGAUUUGGGAUCACGUGAAUUGUCCUUACCACCGUUCUCUUCGCGCGACGACUACGCGCAUCUCUUUUACUUCACUCUCACAUGGCUAUGGACUAUUUACCACUUGUCACCUUAUGCCCAUCCUAUCGUGUUCAAUUUGCAUGUUAUGCCUCUUGACAUGAUUUUGCCAUGCAAUUGUGACCCUUUCUUGCAUUUACCCAUGUUUCACCAUUAUGCUACUCCUAUGUGUAUCUGCAUGCUUGGUGGUGAUACUAGUUGCUAUUGCCAUGUUCUAUAAAUGCUCCAUUCUAUUUUUGGUCCUUGCGUUGGGAGACUCAUGAUGUUCAAUUGCUAUUUACAUAGGACUUCUUGCCAAUACAAUGAUGGUACUUUCCUCAUAUCUUGCUUUCAUGCUUAUGCUAUGUCAUGUGCAUUAUGUAUGCCCACUAUUAGCACACAUGAAAUGAUUACCAUGAUUACUGCUAGUAUGUUGCAUCUUUGUGCUACUGGCUUUCUCACUACAUGGAUCAACUAUUUCACCAACAUGAAGCCUCUUUGCCGUCAGCUAAUCGUCGGGGCAGACAGCGAAGAUUAUUUUGCCGUCAUGAACCUGACAGCAAAUGAUGACUAACGGCAAAGAUUAGGAUUGACUGACAACAAAGAAUGACUAACGACAAAUACAUAUUUUACCGUCUGUAAAAAAACUGAUGACGACAAAGACAUAUUUUGCCGUCUGUUAAAAAAACUGAUGACGACAAAGAUAUUUUGCCGUCUGUAAAAGAAACUGAUGAUGGCAAAGAUAUUUUGCCAUCUGUAAAUAAAAACCACACACGGCAAAACAAGAAACACACCUCGUGGAUCGAUCUCUCGGAUUGAUGACGUGCCAGGAUCCUAGACGCACAUCUCACCCACUCAAGCUGUCGGGCGCACGCCCCCACUCACGCACUGACCCACACGCCCCCCAGGACUCCACACGCCGCACCCAUGAGCGAACCAGCCUGGCUGCCCCCACCCACCCCGUCUCCUCUCUCCUUAUCUCCCCGUGCGAGCUCCUUUCUCUCUCUCGAACGCAUCUAGCGCCCCCAGCGUCUCCCUCUCUCUGCCUCGUCUCACUUCACCCCUGCGCUGGUGGCCCCGCCCGCAAUGUCGGCAGCCCCGCCCCUAUGCACCAGCAUCCCUGCAAGCCUCCGGCGGCCCCGCCCCCACCGGCGGCGUCCCGUGUCCCUGCCCCCAUGGUGCCGCUGGCCUGGGCCCUCCCCCACCGCCCCGAGCAGCCGCACGCGAGCAGCCAGGGCACAACCGGCGCUCCCCCGUCGCCUUGAGCCACCGCACUUGGUCGGCCCUACUCCCCAGCACCACUGACCCCGACCACUUCCCCCUCUUCACUCUAGCCCCUGUCGACCCGAGAAGACGUCGGCGUCCGCAGCACGAUACCGGAUUCGACGCGCCGCUCGCUGUCGACCACCAGCAGGCACCCGCCUCUGCCUCCGUUGCUCUCAUGCGCCGCCACCUUCCCGUGCCGCAGGAUUCUGCCUCCUCUAUUCUCCCCUGUCGACGGUGGGGCUUGGCAUUGAUGGAGUUGGCGGGGUCCAAUGGAUCCAAUGCCUAGAUGUGGUUGGCGAGCUCCGGCGCGGCGGCGGACGGCUUGAGCUCCUCAUGCAUCGGUGGUGCGUCGGUGUACUCCGGAUCAAACUAUGUACCCUAGAGUGUAAUCCGUUCGUGUGUAAUUUGGUCAUCUUGUUAAACGCAGCAGUUUUUUGGAUUAGCUAGUGAUGAUGAAUAGUUAUGUAUAGUGAAAUUAUUUCCUGCGUCGUCAAUUCUUGGAACAACAGUUUGUAUGGAUAUUGUGGUGUUCUUCGUUAGUUCGGUCCCCUCUGGACAAAUUAGAUAUAUUUUUUAUAAAAAAAUCUUUGCCGUCUAUGAUAUUUGAGAAUGAUGACAAAGAUGGAUUCUGGCUAACAGCAAAGGCACUGACGCCGUCCGUCGGUCGGGUCGUUCUGUUAAACGCUUUUUUUGCCAUCUGGCAAUUUUUAAUGACAACAAAAUCGGUUGAAUGACAGCAAAUUCUUUGACAUCUACCCGAUAAAAUGGUGACGGCAAAAUCCCCCUUUCCCGACAUGGUUUGCCGUCAUGGACUGACGGAAAAUCUUCGUCGUUUGUUAUCCUGCCUUUGCCGUCUGUAGGAGCCUGACGUAUUUACUAUGAUUUCUUGCUAUGUUGCAUCACCCAUGAUCCAUUCUUGCUCGUUUCAUUGGGUUGAUAGAAUAUAUGUUCAUGCCUCUCACUUGAUUUGUCUUGAUCAUUGUCUCUUGUAUCCAUUAGUUUCUCCUCUCAUAUGCCAUUGUAGUGAGCGCACCCAUGCUAUGCUUAUUGAUCUUGGAGACUUGGACAUAUUACUUGUGAUGCUUUGUUUGAUUGAGCUUUUGUCUUUGGUUCUACUCGCAUCAUACACUUCCAUACCAUGCCACCUUCCCGUGUACCUUCUAAUGAUAAGAAUGAUGAAAACACUUGUUGGGUAUCCCACCGCUCGAAUGAUAGGUGUUGCAUUUGCACUAACCUCAUUUGCUUUUCCGAGUGUUUGUCAUGUUCUUUUAGUUUUGAAGGAUUCACAAGGCGGUACCAUCAAGAGACACAUUAGUUAUGUGAAGGCGUACACGAUGUGAGACACGAACAUUUUUGAGAAACUACUAAAGGUGAACUCUUUCCCUUUGAGCUAUCUUCAAUUAUGCAUAUUGGAUGGGCCAUACUUUCAUUGUUGUCUCCUUCUUCUUGUCUACAUGAUACAUCUAUUGGAUGGAGCACCGACAUUGGGAUGGACCCUAUGGACCUUCAAGUUGAGGAGUGCUCGAACUUAGUGGAUUCACCUACUUUGGAAGCACCACCGGACCACCACUUCUAUCACGACACUGAGCCAUGGUACAACACCACCCAUAACAACUUUGCAUCUUAUGCAGGGAUUGACUCACAUUUUGAUUGUCUUGUUGCAUCUUGUAUUUCUAUGUCAUCCAUGAUAUAUGAGCUUAUGCACCUCCUUAGCAAAUUUUUUGUGAUCUUUCUUGAUGGCAUAUUCAUACAUAAUGAUCACAUUGCCCAUAAUCAAUUGCAUGAUCACAUAAUCACACUGAGCACAAAUUACCAUGUUCAUGCUUUUGAUACAUCGUCCCAUUAUGACAUCAUUUUGCACGAUGGUGAAAUUAAUCACAUUCGCAACACCUUUGUGCGUACUACAAAUGCUUUUGCUCCCAUGAAUGCUUUGCAUAUCAUUCUAUAUCAUCUUGAUAAGCUUCAUGCGCUUUGUCACGAACAAUCUUGCCGAAAUGGACUCAUACUUACUUGAUGGACGCCUUGGGUGUGCUAACCAUUGUAUUUCCGAGUGUUGCUUGUCUUUGCUCUUUUUGCAUGAAUACCACUCCGGAGACACCUUGGAGUACUUGGAUGGCGCCAUGUCUUCAACUUCAUCCAACUACAAGUUCGUCCACGAUAACCGUUUCCAUGGUGAUGAGGAUCACGAUCCGAGGUUCGAUCUUUCCCAAGGGGGGGAGAUGAUGCGGAGCAUCCUACGAUCAUCCUCAUGUACACUACGACUACUCCCCAAGCCCCAAGAGGACAUACAAAUGAGACCUCGACUAUACGCCAUUGGACACAAGGUGAACUCGCUCCUAUCCGAACUGUCACUUUCGACAUGUGAGACGUGGCUACUACCUCAAACAUAUGUGACAUGCAUGAUCAGGAACCAAGAGGAAGACCCUGGAAGAGCUAGGAGCAUUGGACAAGACAGCGAGGACACAAAGCGUGAGGAGCAAGAGAAAGGGCUGAUAGAAAGUCAUAGCCUCCGGAUAACCGGUCCAUAUCGGACGUCCGACGACUGGAGAUUCAGCCGGCCAGGUCAACUAUAGCCAAAGGCCAAGUCUACAGCGACCGGACGACCGACCAAGGCCGGACGUCCGACAUCCAUCGGCCAUCGAAUGACCGACAACGUCCGGAUAGCCGAUGCCACAUGUCAAGAGAAUAAACAUCGGAAGUCCGAAGACUUCCGGACGUCUGGACGCCCGCGAGCCACCGGAGGAUCGUUACCCACCGGACAUCCGGUACUUCUCUGGGCAUAGAGAUCGGGCCCGAGGCCCAUGUAUCUAUUUCUCCCCUCACUUACCCCUUCGUGGCCCUAGACUAUAUAUACUCCUCCACCUCCUCCAUUUUAGGGUUAGCAUUGGUUUAGCUCAUUUGAGAGAUAGAGCUUUGCUCAUCCAUCUGGAUCUACUCCACCGAGAGAGAUCGCGGCCUCUACGGAGAAGAUUCAUCUUGGAUUCAAGACCCUUCAUGGGAAGACCUUUGAGACCUCCUCACAGAGAAGAACUUGCUACUUGUAUCGUCCUUUGUUGAUCGUGGAUCGCGUAUCUCUUCGUGUUCUGAGGAUCUAGCACAUGUGUAAUCGAAUCUUGUUGGUUUGAGUGUUUUCUCUCGUGUUUCCUCUCGUGUUUUCCCUCAUGUUCUUAUUAGGAUCCGCUCCAAUCAUGAAAGGUUGGCCCUAGGGUUUCCACCCUACAUCACUUGCUAAAAACCUGGGUGCUACCUAAGCUUAGUUAUGUAAACAAGAGCAAGAUAGUUCGUAAAACUUUUUCUUUUUCACUUUCAGUUUAUCAACUGAAUUUCUUGAGGAUAAGCAAAUGUUUAAAGUUGGGGGAGUUGAUACGUCUCCGUGGUAUAUACUUUUCCUAACACUUAUACUCUUGUUUUGGACUCUAAUUUACUUGAUUUGAAUGAAACUAACCCGGACUAACGUUGUUUUCAGCAUAACUACCGUGGUGUUGUCUUUGUGUGCAGAUAUAAAAGUUCUCAGAAUGGAAUGAAACUUUUUGGAGAUUAUUUAUGGAAUAAAAGAAAAAUACUGGAGCGAAGAACCACCGGAGGGGGGAGGGGGGUGAGCACAACCCACCAGGGCGCGCCCCCUCCUGGCGCGCCCAGGUGAGUUGUGCCAAACUGUGGCCCCGCCGACCCUAUCUCCGACACUAUAAAAUCCUAUUUUUUGAGAAAAAAAUCAGGAAGAAAGAAUUAUUGUGUUUUACGAGAUGGAGACGCCGCCGCCUCCUGUUCUUCAUCUAGAGGCCAGAUCUGGAGUCCGUUUGGGGCUCCGGAGAUGGGAAUCUUCGAUCUUCAUCAUCACCAACCCUUCUCCAUCGCCAAUUCCAUGAUGCUCCCCACCGGGAGUGAGUAAUUCCUUCGUAGGCUUGCUGGUCGGUGAGGGAGUUUGAUGAGAUUCAUAUGUAAUCGAGUUAGUUUUGUUAGGGCCUGAUCCCUAGUAUCCAUUAUGUUCUGAGAUUGAUGUUGUUAUGACUUUGCCAUGCUUAACGCUUGUCACUUUGGGCCCGGGUGCCAUGAUUUCAGAUCUAAAAUGUUUAUCUUAUCACCAUUAUAUCUAUGUUCUAUAACCGAUCUUGCAAGUUAUAGUCACCUAUUACGUGUUAUGAUCCGCAAACCCCGGAGUGACAAUAGUCGACAUACUUUCCGGUGAUGACCAUAAUUUGAGGAGUUCAUGUAUUCACUGUGUGCCAAUGCUUUGUUCCGGUUCUCUAUUCAAAGGAGGCCUUAAUAUCCCUUAGUUUCCUUAUGGACCCUACUGCCACGGGAGGGUAGGACAAAAGAUGUCGAGCAAGUAUGACUAUUUACGAAAUACAUGCCUACAAUAUAUAUAUAUAUAUAUGAACUGGAGCUAGUGCCGUAUCGCCCUAGGUUAUGACUGUUAUAUGAUGAAUAUCAUCCAGCGAAUUCACCGAUCCAAUGCCUACGAGUUUUUCACAUAUUGUUCUUGCUAAGUUACUAUUGCUAUUGUUACUAUUUCACUUGCUACAAAAUCAUUGCUAUCACUGGUACCGUUACUACUACUAUUGCUACUACCAUCGAAAUUAUCAUACUAAUGUGCUACUAAUUAUAUUUCUGCAGAUAAUUAAUCUCCAGGUGUGGUUGAAUUGACAACUCAUCUACUAAUACUUGCAAAUACUCUUUGGCUUCCCUUGUGUCGAAUCUAUAAAUUUGGGUUGAAUACUUUACCCUCGAAAACUAUUGCGAUCCCCUAUACUUGUAGGUUAUCAGUCACGAUCCCUUCCCCCCUUCUCGGCCUCGCACUAAUGCGCUUGGUUAAUAGGCGCAGUGUGGCUAUUCUAUUUCCAACUCCAACCACGCAACCCCGGAGCCACACCCCUAAGAUAGAUAUUGGGAUGACGGGUGUCGGUGUCAAAAACCGGCGGAUCUCCGGUAGGGGGUCCCGAACUGUGCGUCUAAGGAUAAUGGUAACAUGAGGCAGGGGACAUGAUGUUUUACCCAGGUUUGGGCCCUCUCGGUGGAGGUAAUACCCUACUUCCUUCUUGAUUGAUCUUGAUGAUAUGAGUAUUACAAAAGUUGAUCUACCACGAGAUCGUAGAGGCUAAACCCUAGAAGCUAGCCUAUGAUUAUGAUUGUUGUUGUCCUACGGACUAAACCCUCAAGUUUAUAUAGACACCGGAGGAGGCUAGGGUUACACAGAGUUGGUUACAAAGAAGAACAUGUAACAUCUGAAUCGCCAAGCUUGUCUUCCACGCAAAGGAGAGUCCCAUCCAGACACAGGACAAAGUCUUGAGUCUUGUAUCUUCAUAGUGCAACAGUCCGGCCAAAGUAUAUAGUCCGGCUGUCCGGAUACCCCCUAAUCCAGGACUCCCUCAGUAGCCCCUGAACCAGGCUUCAAUGACGAUGAGUCCGGCGUGCAGAUUGUCUUCGGCAUUGCAAGGCGGGUUCCAUCUCCGAAUACUCCAAAGUAAGUCUCGAACACUUAAACCGUGUCUGGCUCUGCAAGAUAAUUUCCACACACCACCGUAGAGAGCAUAACACUUUACAAAUCUAAUCUGCUGACAAUUUUUUCAUGGUGUGCCCUUACGCCGCGGCCUGGUUUGAUACGAACCGGUUUUUCUCGGCCUGCCAUGACACGCACUACAAGGCGGUUUUAUUGGCACGCCUCGUCGAAGCAGAGAUCGUGUCCCCUUAUUGCGGGAUUCCCAUCAAUACGGGUGCGGGCAACCCCACUAUGCCUGUUGGUAUAACUCCAUGUUUUUAGGCAAGUCCCAAGCGAUUACACUGGGGAUGCUCGAUAUUCACCCCCUUUAUAGAGGGGCCGAGGCCUAUCCCUCUCUCUUACCACGCUUGCGCCUUUCUGCAUCUCGAGUUCCAACACCCGAAGCUCAAGCUUAGGCACUUCGAAUCUUCAAUCAUGUCCAGAUCUAACCUUCAAGGCCAAUGGAUGGCCUCCUCUGUCACAGAGGAGGACAUUGCAAAGCUUAGGGAGGCCAGAUAUCUGACCGCCGACAUCAAGCACAGGCUUCCUGCUCCAGGGAAGGUCAUCCCUACUCCCGAGCCCAACGAGAGCGUUGUAUUUGUUUCUCACUUCCUCCGUGGCUUAGGCUUCACCCUCGAUCCCUUCGUGAGAGGGCUCUUGUUCUAUUACGGGCUAGUUUUCAUGAUCUAGCUCCGGACUCCAUCCUUCACAUCUCGUCAUUUAUCAUCGUGUGUGAAGCCUUCCUCCACAUCACCCCGCACUUCGGCUUAUGGCUCAAGACCUUUAAUGUAAAUCGAAGGCAAUCGAGGGGCGACACGUGGAGUGCGGAGGUGCUGCAAUAAGCAGAAACGCCGAUGCCCCAUGGCCAGAGGGCUUCUUCCCGGAGGUGUCCGAUCUAUGGCAGCAGAGGUGGUUCUAUGUCACGGCUCCUAGAGGCACAAAGUGGGUGGCUGCCCCCGACUUCCGCUCGGCCCCCCCGCCUCAACUGGCGUCGUGGGCCAACAUGGGACUGGAUUGGGGGCCUACUAAUGACGUACCGACAUUUCAAAGCCGCAUUCGGGAGCUUCUUGAGAGGGACAUCAGUUUGUCAGUGUAAUUCAGGUAAUGCUAGUCCGACGGAUCUUGCCGUGCAAACGUCGGCCCCUCCAGAUGUGGGAGUCCAACCCAGAAGGUCCACGAACUAUUCAGCACUUCUUCGGCCUGUCGCUCGAAGGGAUGUAUAGGUUAUUCUUCGGACCACAAGUAAAGUAUCCGGACACCACCAAGGAUGCGGAUCUGAGCUGCAACCGCCCAGAUACCCCAGUAAGUAACCCUGAAACCGAACACUUCGUUUAUAUUUAUCACAACAUUAUUCUAAAAACUGUCCAUGGCCAGGAUUGGCUCAGCAAGGCGGAGAGAAUCAGGUGUCCGGCACCACUUCCCUAAGGCUCGCCUAGUCCUGCAAUAGCCAGGAUGCUUAGAUGUGUGCUAAGUCAAGUGCCCUCGGGGAAAGAUGAAGGGAAGAAUGGAGAAGCCGAGCUUCACACAUUGCACAUCCAAACCGGGGGAAUUACUGUCUCCACGAUGGAGGAUAGUCGAGGAGGGGAAUCUAAGGUCUCCUCCCCCCGUGGGAAGAAGAGGGCCGCCUCCGAGGACUUUGAAACAGAGGUGCCUAGACAAGGGAAAAAAACUUCACCAGGGGGCCCUGUCCCGGAGGGCAUCCUCACCGCGCCACGCCCGCAAACGGGGCAGCCCUCCACCGAGUUGUCAGUUAAUCGUAAGUACAACACUACUGCUUCUUCCUCCGAGACCAAUAACCAGGAUCCAUCCUUUGAAGUCCGGCCAGUAGCUCUUCUCGAUAGAGUUCGUCUUCGGGGGAUCUUCUUCCGGAGAUGAUGGAGAGUGAAACCCCACCUACCUCUCCGCCCCAUGGGGCGGGCGACCCUGAGGUGCAUGGAGGAGUCCAGAUUCGCCGAGGCCAGAAGCUAACACUUCGGCUGCCCUGAUCCCGGAGCGUUCGGCUCCCACGGGGGGCAAUAAGGAGGGUCCGGUACAGUCCGGCGGCCGGCCGGACAAGCUGACGGGCCUUCUGGAGCAAGCUGCUCUCUCAGAGGAUCACCGUGCGUUAAUGGGCACGGUGCUUGACAAAAUUUCAUCCGCUACAAGCGGGUUGAAUGAAGCUUUUACGAGCCUGCUCAAAGGCUUUGAGGUACAUACAUAAUUUUUGGCUGUACCACACGCGCUAGGUGUGCUCCAUAUAGAUAGUAGCCCCUGAGAAUCUGAUUGCCAGCCCUGGGCGGAAAAAGCAGGAUCACACUCUCAAGUAAUGAUUGCACUGCAUUCAUGCGCAGGUGGCUAAGGGUCCGGCGAUAGACCAGACCGCUGAAUUCACCGAACUGAAGCGAUAGAUUGAAGUUGUGGACGCCGACAUAACGCUUGUGAACGAGCGGCUUGACUAGUCAUAGAGUAUGUGCUCUAUUUUCCUCAUUCGUUAUAGGAAAUAUUAAGAGGAGCAUAAUAUUAAUGUGAUAUGCUUUGGCUGUAGGCCAAGCUGCUGCCGUGGAGGCCCUGAGGGCGGAACUUGCCCUAGCCAAGGAACAAGCCUGGGCUAGCAAUGCGGCUGCCCUAAAGGCGGCCGAAGAUUUGAGAGCCAAACAGGCUGCUCAUCGCCGAAGCGAAGAUAAAAUAGCCGAGAUGGCUGUGGAGCUGAGAGACGCCGCCGGCCGGUAUGAGCUCCUUGAAAAGGAGAAUCAGGCGAAGUCGGCUGACCUGAAGAAGGCCCUUGAUGCGUCCAAGGAGACGCGUUCCAAAAUUAGGGAUGCGCGGGAGGAUCUUCGACAAGCCAGAGAAAUUGCGGCUGGAAACCCCUACUUGUUGCGGAUGAAGUUCUUAGAUCCAAAGUACACUCCUCUGGAUCGGCUCUGGAGCGCUGCAGACAUGUAUGCGGAUCUGGCAAAAAGUACGGCUGAUGCAACCAAGUUUUUUGAGGAUCAAAAAGAUAGUGAAGUAGAAAGGCUGUUUUGGUCGCAAUUCUGUGCUCCAACACGCCCGUUGCCAUUGAGUGAAAGGAUGGCCACUGUGGACGAGCUCCAUAGGUUGUCCAGUCUUGCAAUGAGGUGUGUAAUAGACCAUCUAUGGCCGAAGGGACCGAAGCCGGACAAUUAUUUUGGUUUAGUGCAACAAUUCCUUGGCGUCGUAUCACGAAUCGACGCCAUGAAGAGUUCGGCGUGCAUAGAGGGUGCACAGAUGGCUCUUGCCCAUGUUAAAACAUAUUGGGCAGAUAUCGAGGCCACCAUCAUUGCAACCCAGAAUCCGGCGGGAGGCCAGGAUCCAGCCGAGCACUAUUUCAAGCAGGUAACAGAAGGUGCUCAUUUAAUAGAGGCUUAGUGCUCGAAGAGUGUCAUGUUAGAGUGACAAAUCGUUCUGUUGUAAAACAAUUGUAUUUUAAUUAUAGAGGCUAUGUUUAUACUUUCGCCCGCAAGUGUUAUUGUGCCUCCUGUGCGGCCGUUUGAUGUAUAUAUAACCUGAAAGUUAGAAGUCGUUGGCUUCAGCCCCCACGCAUACAAUGUGGGGGUGUUCGCAAAAAUGUGCGUAAUCACACUUGAUCCAACGUCUUGGUCCAUUAAGGAGGUGAUCGCACGUCGAACUAGGCAACCGGACUAUAUAACUUUAAUACUUUCACUUAGCCAUAGGAUUUUGACGGUGGGGCUACUAUGUAGCCCCUGGUACCUUCGCGUGCAUCCGGAUAUGGGUGCGUGUGUACAUGACCGGGAAACAGACCUUCGUUAAUGCGGAGGAAUCCUAAAGAUUCCGAUGAGUCCUCGAGUGGUUGACCAGUCUCUCGCUAUAUCAUGACAGUUAGUUUUCGGCUUUCUCUACUGAGGUGCUCAUCCGGAAUAACCAGGGCACAAUCGCAGUAGUUCUCCUUUGGCCGCCUCAGCCGAUAGAAGCGGAACGUAAGGCAGCAAACCCAGGAGCCGGGCAAACCCAACAUUUGACUAAAGACAUGAUUCGGAGCUGAUGCAUAUAAGGCCAAACUCGCGACGCCAAACACUCCCGAAGGUAUUCGGACUUUAUAACAUAUAUUGGGCUGAGUAGCGCCCUUGAUUAUGAACCUUGUAUUUCCAGGUACGUGCAUUAGUCUGUCGUGGCGAAAUGCCAAUAACGCCAGUAUCCCCUGUGGGUGUAUUGAGUGCCCAUGGGAUGUCAAGCAACAAGAGACAAUAAAGAAGGUUUAUACAUGGGCUUAAUCUAAAGAGAAACCUUUGAGCAGGGCCCUGCUGCACGUCUGCGUCUUUGUCUCCGUUGUGCCGUGUCCUUUUAGGGUGUCACACGAAUGGUGUCUGUAAAAAGGAAAACUAAUGUAAAAGAGUAUGGCGUAAGCGUGCGAAGAGUUGGUUAUUAUAAAUGGAUAGUAGAAGUGUAAGACAUUUGCCUGUUAAUAAGGUCAAGCCAAAAGGUGGGCUUUAUUGCAUGUUUGCAGCCCCUGAUGCCCUCUGUGGGAUUACGUGUAUAGAACCCAGCUCAGGUUUAUCUAGGCUGUUACCGACGGUGGUGCGCCGGACUCGUCUAACCAUGUCCGUGGUCUUAACGACCGAUCAUGCGUUCUGAUAGGAGAGGCCGCUUAGUGUCAGGCUGCUAUAGCCGCCGCAUACUCUUCCGCACGUAAGGAACACUCUGUGUUUCCGCUAACUGUGAUGACGCCAUGUGUAUCAGGCAUCUUGAGUUUAAGGUAGGCAUAGUGUGGCACUGCAUUGAAGCGAGCAAAGGCCGUUCUUCCGAGCAAUGCAUGAUAACCGCUUCGGAAGGGAGCGAUGUCGAAGAGUAAAUCUUCGCUUCUGAAGUUGCCGGGAGAACCGAAUGUCACCUCUAAUAUGAGGGAGCCCCUGCAGCACGCCUCAACGCCUAGUAUCACUCCUUUAAAGGUGGUGUUACUUUGGCUGAUUCUGGAUGGUUCUAUCCCCAUCUUGCGGAUAGUGUCCUGAUAUAUUAGAUUGAUACUACUGCCGCCGCCAAUGAGGACAUGAAUGAGAUGGUAUCCAUCAAUUAUUGGGUCGAUCACCAAGGCAGCCGAUCCUCCAUGUCGGAUACUAAUCGGGUGGUCCCUGUGAUCAAAGGUGAUCGGGCAGGCCGACUGGGGGUUGAGUUUGGGGGCAACGGGCUCUACAGCGUAUACGUCUCUGAGCGCGCGCUUGCGCCUUCUCUUUGGUAUAUGAGUCGCGUAGAUCAUGUUUACUGUUUUUGCCUCUGGCGGGAAUUUUUUCUGUCCCCCAGUGUUCGGCUGGCGAGGCUCAUCCUCGUCUUCUCUUCGUGUUUCCCUUCCCUUGUGUUCGGCAUUUAACUUGCUGGCCUGCUUAAAGCCCCAGCAUUCUCUGUGAGUGUGGUUCGCAGCUUUUUCGGGGGUGCCAUGAAUUUGGCACAAUCUAUCUAGGACUUUGUUCAGGCCGGACGGUCCCUCUUUGCUGCCUUUAAAUGGCUUCUUUUGUUGACCGGGUCGAGAGCCCCUGAAUCCAACGUUGAUCGUUGUGUUGUUGGGACUUUCUUCCUUGUUUUGACGCUUGUUUUUAUUGCGCCGUGGCUUCCCGUUGCCAUCCCUAAUUUCGGAUGUGCCCGGGUCGCUGGUGCCUCUAUGGGCCAACCAGCUGUCUUCACCCGCGCAGAAGCGGGUCAUAAGGCUUGUUAAGGCUGGCAUUGUCCUCGGCUUUUCCUGGCCGAGGUCUCUGGCGAGCCACUCGUCUCGGAUGCUGUGCUUGAAGGCCUCUAGGGCUUCGGCAUCCGGACAAUCAACAAUUUGAUUCUUCUUAGUGAGAAAUCUGUUCCAAAGCUUACGAGCGGACUCUCCGGGCUGUUGUAUGAUACGUCUCCAACUUAUCUACUUUUCCAAACACUUUUGCCCUUGUUUUGGACUCUAACUUGCAUGAUUUGAAUGAAACUAACCCGGACUGACGCUGUUUUCAGCAAAACUGCCAUGAUGUUGUUUUAUGUGUAGAAAAGAAAAGUUCUCGGAAUGUCCUGGAAAUCCAUGGAGGCACUUUUUGGAUUUAAUAAGAAUUUUUGGCGAAAGAAUUAAUGCCAGGGGGCCCACGGCCUGUCCACGAGACAGGGGGAGCCCCCCUAUCUCGUGGGCCCCCCUGGACCUCCUCUGACCUCAACUCCAACUCCAUAUAUUUCGUCUCGGGGAGAAAAAAAUCAGAGAGAAAGUUUCAUCGCGUUUCACGACACGGAGCCACCGCCAAGUCCUAAUCUCUCUCGGGAGGGCUGAUCUGGAGUCCGUUCGGGGCUCUCGGGAGGGGGAUUCAUCGCCGUCGUCAUCAUCAACCAUCCUCCAUCACCAAUUUCAUGAUGCUCACUGCCGUGCGUGAGUAAUUCAAUCGUAGGCUUGCUGGACAGUGAUGGGUUGGAUGAGAUUUACCAUGUAAUCAAGUUAGUUUUGUUAGGGUUUGAUCCCUAGUAUCCACUAUGUUCUGAGAUUGAUGUCGCUAUGACUUUGCUAUGCUUACUGCUUGUCACUAGGGCCCGAGUGCCAUGAUUUCAGAUCUGAACCUAUUAUGUUUUCAUGAAUAUAUGUGUGUUUUUUAUCCUAUCUUGCAAGUCUAUAGUCACCUAUUAUGUGUUAUGAUCCGACAACCUCGAAGUGACAAUAAUCGGGAUACUUCUCGGUGAUGACCGUAGUUUGAGGAGUUCAUGUAUUCACUAUGUGUUAAUGCUUUGGUCCGGUUCUCUAUUAAAAGGAGGGCUUAAUAUCCCUUAGUUUCCGCUAGGACCCCGCUUCAAUGGGAGGGUAGGACAAAAGACAUCAUGCAAGUUCUUUUCCAUAAGCACGUAUGACUAUUUACGGAAUACAUGCCUACAUUAUAUUGAUGAAUUGGAGCUCGUUCUAUAUCACCCUAUGUUAUAACUAUUGCAUGAGGAAUCGCAUCCGGCAUAAUUAUCCAUCACUGAUCCAUUGCCUACGAGCUUUUCAUAUAUUGUUCUUCGCUUAUUUACUUUUCUGUUGCUACUGUUACAACUACUACAAAAACCCAAAAACAUUUAUAUUUACUUUUGUACCACUUUUGCUACUAAACACUUUGCUGCAGAUACUAAGUUAUCCAGGUGUGGUUGAAUUUACAACUCAACUGCUAAUAGUCAAGAAUAUUCUUUGGCUCCCCUUGUGUCGAAUCAAUAAAUUUGGGUUGAAUACUCUACCUUCAAAUGCUGUUGCGAUCCCCUAUACUUGUGGGUUAUCAAGACUAAUUUCUGGCGCCAUUGCCGGGGAGCAUAGCUCUAUUCUCUGAGUCACUUGGGAUUUAUAUCUGUUGAUCACUAUGAAGAACUUGAAAGAUGAUCGAACUACUAUUUUUCCCUCAACUACGAGGGGAGGUAAGGAACUGCCAUCUAGCCUUGCACUAGAUUCUCCUUCUGUUAUCAGUAGGCUUGCUACAACUAGAUCUGCUACUGCUAUGAAUUCUGAUAUGUCGCAUAUUAUUGAUGAUGCCACUUCUGCUAGGCAUGAUGAAACUACUUCUGUGCUUGAUACUACUGUGCCAUUAGGUGAAUUCCUAGAUGAACAACUUGCUAGAGUUAGGGGGAAUGAAAAUAUUGAAGAACCUAUUAUUGAUGAUAGUGAUGAUGAAGGUUCCCCCAAUGAUUAUGUAUUACCUGUUGUUCCUAAGGAUUAUGUUAUGAAUGAAAAAGAUGCUAUGGAAAUUCUUGCUUGCAAUGAUAGAAAUGAUCUUCAGAAGUUAUUAGCUAAAUGGAAGCAGCAGUCUCUUAAUGCUAGAAUGAAACCCGAUCCUGCUUUUGCUACUUCACCUAUCUGUGUUACUGAUAAGGAUUAUGAAUUCUCUGUUGAUCCUGAUAUUAUUACUUUAGUUGAAUCUGAUCCUUUUUAUGCCCUUGAAUCUGAAAUUGUUGUGGCACAUCUUACCAAGUUGAAUGAUAUAGCCACCCUGUUUACUAAUGAUGAGAAGUCUCGCUAUUUAUACAUCCUUAAGAUAUUUCCGUUCUCAUUAAAGGGUGAUGCUAAGACUUGGUAUAAUUCUCUUGCUCCUGGUUGUGUGCGUAGUCCCCAGGAUAUGAUUUAUUACUUCUCUGCUAAAUAUUUCCCUGCUCAUAAGAAACAAGCUGCCUUGCGGGGAAUAUAUAAUUUUGUGCAAAUCAAAGAAGAGAGUCUCCCACAAGCUUGGGGGAGGCUUCUCCGGUUACUUAAUGCUUUGCCUGAUCAUCCUCUUAAGAAAAAUGAAAUACUUGAUAUCUUUUAUAAUGGACUAACCGAUGCUUCCAAGGACUACUUGGAUAGUUGUGCUGGUUAUGUUUUCAGGGAAAGAACAGUCGACGAAGCUAAAAUACUAUUGAAUAAUAUGUUGACCAAUGAAAAUAAUUGGACUCUUCCUGAGCCAGUUCCUAAAGUAAUUCCUGAACCAAUUGAGCCAACUCCUAAGCCUAUUCCUAAAACCACUCCGAAGAAGAGAGGUGUUUUAUUUCUCAGUCCUGAAGAUAUGUAAGAGGCAAAGAAAUCAAUGAAAGAAAAAGGUAUUAAAGCUGAAGAUGUUAAGAAUUUACCUCCUAUUGAAGAAAUACAUGGUCUUAAUAUACCGCAUGUUGAAGAACCACAUUGUCUUGAUAACUCGACACAGGUAGUAAAGGUAAAUUCUCUCUAUAGAUAUGACAAAGUUGAAGUCCCCUCUACUAAAUUUCAUAGCCCAUGCUUAGAUGAAUUUGAUGACUUUAUGGCUAGACAAGAAAGUUUCAAUGUUUAUGUUGGUAGAGAGUUAAAGAAUAAUGCUUUCGAGAUAGGACGCGUAGGUGAUAAUCUGGCUAGAGUUAAAGAUGAACUUCACCGCGUUAGCAAAUAUGCUUCUAUGGUUGCUACUCAAGCUGAGCAAGUACUAAAAGCUCAAAAUGAUUUGCUUGAUGAAUUAAAUAAUAAAAAUGACUUUGCUGUUAGAGUGGCUACUAGAACUGGUAGAAUGACUCAGGAACCUUUGUAUCCUGAAGGCCACCCUAAGAGAAUCGAGCAAGAUUCUCAGAGAAAUAAUUUAGGGGCACCUAGUUCUUCUAAAAAGAAGAAGAAGAAAAACGAUAGAACUUUGCAUGCUUCUAGUGAACCUACUGUAGACACACUUGAGAAUCCUAAUGAUAUUUCUACCUCUGAUGCUGAAACACAAUCAGGUGAUGAACAUGAACCUAGUGAUAAUGUUAAUGAUAAUGUUCAUGUUCAUGCUCAACCUAGCAAAGACAAUGAUGUAGAAAUUGAACCUGCUGUUGAUCUUGAUAACCCACAAUCAAAGAAUCAACGUUAUGAUAAGAGAGAUUUUGUUGCUAGGAAGCACUGUAAAGAAAGAGAACCAUGGGUUCAGAAACCCAUGCCCUUUCCUCCUAAACUAUCCAAGUCAAAGGAUGAUGAGGAUUUUGAGCGCAUUGCUGAAAUGAUUAGAUCUAUUUUCUUACGUAUGCGCUUAACUGAUAUGCUUAAAGUAAAUCCUUAUGCUAAGUAUAUGAAGGAUAUCAUCACAAAUAAAAGAAAGAUACCGAAAGCUGAAAUUUCCACCAUGCUUGCUAAUUACACUUUUAAGGGUGGAAUACCAAAGAAACUUGGAGAUCCGGGUGUACCAACUAUACUAUGCUCUAUUAAAAGAAAUUAUGUCAGAACUGCUUUAUGUCAUCUUGGAGCUGGUGUUAGUGUUAUGCCUCUCUCUUUAUAUCAUAGACUUGAAUUAAAUAAGUUGACACCUACUGAAAUAUCUUUGCAAAUGGCUGAUAAAUCAACUGCUAUACCUGUCGGUAUUUGUGAGGAUGUGCCUGUUGUGGUUGCAAAUGUCACUAUCUUAAUGGACUUUUUUAUUCUUGAUAUCCCCGAGGACGAUAGUAUGUCUAUUAUCCUUGGUAGACCUUUUCUUAAUAAUGCAGGGGCUGUUAUUGAUUGCAACAAAGGCAAUGUCACUUUUCAUGUUAAUGGUAAUGAGAAUAUUGUACACUUUCCGAGGAAACAAUCUCAAGUUCAUAGCAUCAAUUCAAUUGAAAAAGUUCCAACUAUCAUUUUUGGAUAUUUUGAAUUUCCUCUCCCUACUGUCAAGAAAAAGUAUGAUAUUCUUAUUGUUGGGGAUUUUCAUAUCCCCGUUGAGUUAACUUAGUGUUAUUCAAAAUUUCUCCGGUUCCGUCUUAUUCGAAAUGAGUUUGUUAACAAGACUUGAUCAACCUUGUUAGUGGAUUCAUUUUGAUGAUCACGAGAUGGGUGAAACUAGAAGGCACAACCCUCUGUACCCUCUUUUUACUUUCUGUUAUUUAGAAUAAAUAAAGCAAAAAUAGUAUUAUCCAUCUGUUUUCUGAAUUAUCAAUGCAUUAAAAAAUAGUCCGAAAAUAAAAGUGCUCCAAAUGCCCUGCAAAUUUAGUAUGAUUUUUUCUGGAAUAUUUGAGGAUUUUAGGCACUGAAAACACUGCAGGAGGGGCAAGCACCAGGCCACGAGAGAGGAGGGUGCGCCCCCCUGUAGGGCGCGCCCCCUGUCUCGUGGGCCCCAGGUGGCUCCCCUCCACUUAUGCCAGCACCCACACACUUCAUCUUCUACCCAAAAAAUUCCCCAUCCAGCUCAAACACAAGUUCUGGCUCGUUUUGCUGCGAUUUUCGAUCUCUUAGCUCAAAGCUCCAUUCGCAAAACUACUUUGGGAGAUUGUUGCUUGGUAUGUGACUCCUCCAUUGGUCCAAUUAGUUUUUGUUCUAGUGCUUUAUUUAUUGCAAAUUUUUGUUGCAAAGGUGACCAUGUUCUUGAGCUUGCAUGUUAAAUUUUUGAGGUCCCAAGCAAUUCAAAUGCAUGAUAUAGGCUCUAGGCACUUGUAGGAGUAGUUGCUAUCAAUCGUGUUUAGUUUUAUUCACUUUUAUUUUGAAGUUACUAAAAUUUCAGAAAUUUUCAAAAAAAGAUAUAUGCUUAGAAGGAUGUACCAAGGUGGUUCCUCGGCAAAGAAAGGGCCAAGUAUUGCUAUACAUGAACAAGAUGUUAAUUUGCCAAGGGUCGCAAAUGUACGGGCUUGUGAGUGGCCAUCCGAUGAUUUUAUGGUCGAAGCAGGCUUCAAGGAGGGAUUUGACGCGUAUGUGCGUAAUGCCGAGCUGGACGACUUCUUACAAGAUAAGUGUCCCCAAUAUUAUCAGUUGAUUGAUUCCUUUGUGCGGAGGUUCGAAUAUAUUUCUGCGUGCAAUUUCCUAGUGUCAUGUUUGAUAUUUAUGAUACAUGUUAUACCAUGGAUUUAGAGGAUUUCACAACUGCUUGCAAACUCCCGUAGUGGGGUAAUAUUAAUGAUCCUCCCAAAUCUGAAUUUAGAGAUUUUCUUGCUAGUAUUACUGUGGGAGAAUCAAGGAACGUAGCACAAGCUACCAUAGGGAGCAUUCACUUUCCUGCUAUACAUUACUUUGCUCUCUUUAUUGGUAGAUGCAUUAACGGCAAGGACGAGGUAUUUCACAUGUGUGCCCCUGAUCUUAGUGUCCUCAAGAGUGCUAUGUCAGGUUAUAAAGGUUAUAACUUGGGGGCAAUAGUUGCACGUAGGUUGCAGAACAAUAAUAGAAGGGGAGAUUUCUUUGGAGUAAUUUAUGCAACCCGUGUGGCUAAUUUUCUUAAUAUAGCUCCUCGAGAGGGGGAUAUGAUUGUACCUCCUGUUUAUUUGGAUAAAGAAGCUAUGUUUGAUCAUCAUUUUCUUGAGAGGAAUGAACAAUUCCUCCAUUAUCGACUAAUCUAUGACAGACGCAACGUUGUCCCUGUUACUCUUCCUGCUCCCUACCUUUUUGGUUAUCUGGCAAAAGGAAGAUAUGUUGUCACUAGGGAAGAAGCAACUGAAUAUGAGAGAGGAAUGGAGGCACCUCGCCAACACGCUACUGCUCAAGAGGCGGUCGCCUCUGCAUCUCAGUACUACCCCAGUUACUCUUAUGGAUAUCAGUCAUGCGGUCAUUGGUAUUAGACCAACUUAGGCCAAAAGCCUAAGCUUGGGGGAGUAUGUAUUUCUCACCGACUUUACAUUCAUGUUCACACACUAGUCGUUGGUGCUCAUACUCUUUCAUUGUAUUAUCCAUGCUAGUUUAAAUUUCUUUUUCUAGUUUUCUUCUUGUGUGUUCGAUAAACUUUAAGAAAAACCAAAAAAAUAGUUAGUUUAAUUUCCUUGCCUGUAGUAGAAAUUAAAAUGAAAACCCAAAAAGAUUUAUCGUUCUUCUUUUACUUGUUGGGAGCUUUCCCGUGUAAAUAGUUUUAUUUUCUUUUCUUUCUUUUGGGGGUCGAGAAGAUCAUAUUGAAAAUGCUUAGUGGCUCUUAUAUGCAUGAUUGUUUAUUUAACUUAGAGCCCAUAUUACUUGUCUUCUCUCUUGAGUUGAAUGCUUGCAGAUUCCAGCUUAGUCCAAUGCACGUACACUCUUAUUAUUAUACACAUCGUUUGGACGUGCAAGUGAAAUGCAAUAAUGACGAUAUAUGAUGGACUUAUUGGGAUGAGAAAAGCUGGUAUGAACUCGACCUCUCUUGUUUUUGUAAAUAUGAUGAGUUCAUCGUUCCUGAGUCAGCUAUUAUGAAGUAAACAUAUUUGGAAUGACAUUUAGAGAUUAUAGUUGCUUGUGCCAUGCUUAAUUAGCUAUGAGUUAUAAUGGUUUACCUUGCGUGCCAACAUGCUAUUAGAAUGAUUAUGAUGUGAUAUGAUCGGAUGGUAUCCUCCUUUGAAUGAAUUGAGUGACUCGACUUGGCACAUGUUCACGCAUGUAGUUGAAUCAAAUCAACAUAGCCUUCACGAUAUUUAUGUUCAUGGUGGAUUAUAUCCUACUCAUGCUUGUACUCGGUGUGAAUUAAUUUUAAUGCAUGUUUACGACUGUUUUCGCUCUCUCAGUUGGUCGCUUCCCAGUCUUUUGCUAGCCUUCACUUGUACUAAGCGGGAAUACUGCUUGUGCAUCCAAACUCCUUAAACCCCAAAGUUGUUCCACAUGAGUCCACUAUACCUACAUAUAUGCGGUAUUUACCUACCGUUCCAAGUAAAUUUGUAUGUGCCAAACUCCAAACCUUCAAAUGAAAUUCUGUUUUGUAUGCUCGAGCAACUCAUGUUUCAACUAGGGCUGCCUAUAUCUUCCAUGCUAGGUGGGUUAUUCUCACGAGGAGUGGACUCCGCUCCUCAUUCACGAGAAAGGGCCGGUAACCGGGAUGCCCAGUCCCAUGAUCCAAAAAGAUCAAAGCAAAUCAAAAUAAUUAAACAAAACUCCCCCAGGGUUGUUGUAUGUUGGAGGCACUCGUUGUUUCGAGCAAGCCAUGGAUUGAUGCUUGUUGGUGGUUGGGGGAGUAUAAACCUUUACUAUUCUGUUUGGGAACUGCCUAUAAUGCAUGUAGUAUGGAAGAUACAGCCAUCUCAUAGUUGUUGUGUUGACAGCGAAAGUAUGCCACUCAAAAUGUUAUUCAAUCUCUAUUUUAAAAUCAAGCUCUGGCACCUCUACAAGUCCCUGCUUCCCUCUGCGAAGGGCCUAUCUAUUUACUUUUAUGUUGAGUCAUCAUCCCUUCUUAUUAAAAGCACUCGCUGGAGAGCACACUGUCAUUUGCAUUCAUUAUUAUUGGUUUAUAUUGGGUAUGACUUGACUGGAUCUCUUUUACCAUGAAUUACAAUGUUUAGUCAGUCCUUGAUCUUUAAAGGUGCUCUGCAUUUAUGUUUUGCAGUCUCAGAAAGGGCUAGCGAGAUACCAUUUUGUUAUAUCAUGUUAUGAUUAUUUUGAGAAAGUGUUGUCAUCCGAGUUUUAUUAUUAUGGCUCGCUAGCUGAUUAUGCUAUUGAUAUGAGUAAUUGUGAGACCUAUGUGUUAUUGUGAGUAUGGUUAGUUCAUAAUAUUUGCUGAAACUUGAAUGCUGCCUUUUCAUGUUACAACAACAAGAUCAAACAGAGUUUGUAAAAGUUUUUCUUUAUCACUUUCAGUUUAUCAACUGAAUUGCUUGAGGACAAGCAAAGGUUUAAGCUUGGGGGAGUUGAUACGUCUCCAACGUAUCUACUUUUCCGAACACUUUUGCCCUUGUUUUGGACUAUAACUUGCAUGAUUUGAAUGAAACUAACCCGGACUAACGCUGUUUUCAGCAGAACUGCCAUGAUGUUGUUUUAUGUGUAGAAAAGAAAAGUUCUCGGAAUGUCAUGGAAAUCCACGGAGGCACUUUUUGGAUUUAAUAAGAAUUUUUGGCGAAAGAAUUAAUGCCAGGGGGCCCACGGCAUGUCCACGAGACAGGGGGGCGCCCCCCUAGGGCGCGGCCCCCUAUCUCAUGGCCCCCCUGGACCUCCUCCGACCUCAACUCCAACUCCAUAUAUUCCGUCUCGGGGAGAAAAAAAAUCAGAGAGAAGGUUUCAUCGCGUUUCACGACACGGAGCCGCCGCCAAGCCCUAAUCUCUCUCGGGAGGGCUGAUCUGGAGUCCGUUCGGGGCUCCGGAGAGGGGGAUUCGUCGCCGUCGUCAUCAUCAACCAUCCUCCAUCUGUUGGGGAACGUAGCAAAAAUUGAAGAUUUUCCUACGUGUCACCAAGAUCUAUCUAUGGAGAGACUAGCAACGAGGGGAUGGAGAGUGCAUCUACAUACCCUUGUAGAUCGCUAAGCGGAAGCGUUCAAGAGAACGGGGUUGAAGGAGUCGUACUCGUCGUGAUCCAAAUCACUGGAGAUCCUAGUGCCGAACGGACGGCACCUCCGCGUUCAACACACGUACAGCCCGGUGACGUCUCCCAUGCCUUGACCCAGCAAGGAGAGAGGGAGAGGUUGAGGAAGAAUCCAUCCAGCAGCAGCAUGACGGCGUGGUGGUCGUUGAGGAGCAUGGCAAUCCUGCAGGGCUUCGCCAAGCACCGCGGGAGAGGAGGAGGACUUGGGAGAGGGGGAAGGCUGCGCCAGAACUUUGGUAAAGCUCCCAUGCGCCUCCCCACUAUAUAUAGGGGUGGAGGGGGCUGGUUCCUUGCCCUCCAAGUCCAUUGGGGCGUUGGCAAAGGUGGGAGGAAAGAAAUCCUAUCAUUUCCUUCCCCACCGAUUGUUAUCCCCCCUUUUUAGGGAUCUUGAUCUUAUCCCUUCGGGAUAUGAUCUUAUUCCUUCUAAGGGGGAAUCUUGGUGUGCCUUGACCAGGGGUGUGGGGCCUUUCCCCCACUACCCACGUUCAUGUGGGUCCCCCCAUGCAGGUGGGCCCCACUCCGGAACCUUCGAGAACCUUCCCGGUACAAUACCGAAUAUUCCCGAACAUUUUCCGGUGGCCAAAAUAGGACUUCCCAUAUAUAAAUCUUUACCUCCGGACCAUUCCGGAACUCCUCGUGACGUCCGGGAUCUCAUCUGGGACUCUGAAUAACAUUCGGCAACCACAUACAAACUUCCUUUAUAACCCUAGCAUCAUCGAACCUUAAGUGUGUAGACCCUACGGGUUCGGGAACCAUGCAGACAUGACCGAGACGUUCUACGGUCAAUAACCAACAGCGGGAUCUGGAUACCCAUGUUGGCUCCCACAUGUUCCAUGAUGAUCUCAUCGGAUGAACCACGAUGUCAAGGACUCAAUCGAUCUCGUAUACAAUUCCCUUUGUCUAACGGUAUUGUACUUGCCCGAGAUUCGAUCGUCGGUAUACCGAUACCUUGUUCAAUCUCGUUACCGGCAAGUCUCUUUACUCGUUCCGUAACACAUCAUCCCGCGAUCAACUCUUUGAUCACAUUGUGCACAUUAUUAUGAUGUCCUACCGAGUGGGCCCAGAGAUACCUCUCCGUCAUACGGAGUGACAAAUACCAGUCUCGAUUCGUGCCAACCCAACAGACACUUUCAGAGAUACCUGUAGUGCACCUUUAUAGCCACCCAGUUACGUUGUGACGUUUGGUACACCCAAAGCAUUCCUACGGUAUCCAGGAGUUGCAUAAUCUCAUGGUCUAAGGAAAAGAUACUUGACAUUAGAAAAGCUUUAGCAUACGAACUACACGAUCUCUGUGCUAGGCUUAGGAUUGGGUCUUGUCCAUCACAUCAUUCUCCUAAUGAUGUGAUCCCGUUAUCAACGACAUCCAAUGUCCAUGGUUAGGAAACCGUAACCAUCUAUUGAUCAACGAGCUAGUCAACUAGAGGCUUACUAGGGACAUGGUGUUGUCUAUGUACCCACACAUGUAUCUGAGUUUCCUGUCAAUACAAUUAUAGCAUGGAUAAUAAACGAUUAUCAUGAACAAGGCAAUAUAAUAAUAAAUAAUUUAUUAUUGCCUCUAGGGCAUAUUUCCAAUAGUCUCCCACUUGCACUAGAGUCAAUAAUCUAGUUCACAUCGCCAUGUGAUUAACACUCAUAGGUCACAUCGGCAUGUGACCAACAUCCAAAGAGUUUACUAGUGUCACUAAACUAGUUCUCAUCACCAUGUGAUUAAGACUCAAUGAGUUCUGGGGUUUGAUCAUGUUUUUCUUGUGAGAGAGGUUUUAGUCAACGGGUCUGCAACAUUCAGAUCCGUAUGUACUUCGCAAAUCUCUAGGUCAUAUUGUAAAUGUUGCUUCCACGCUCCACUUGGAGCUAUUCCAAAUGGUUGCUCCACUACACGUAUCCGGUUUGCUACUCAGAGUCAUUCGAAUAGGUGUUAAAGCUUGCAUCGACAUAACCCUUUAUGUCGAACUCUUUAUCACCUCCAUAAUCGAGAAACAUAUCCUUAUUCCUCUAAGGAUAAUUUUGACCGCUAUCUGGUGAUCCACUCCUUGAUCACCUUUGUACCCUCUUGCCAGAUAUGUAGCAAGGCACACAUCAGGUGCGGUACACAGCAUAGCAUACUAUAGAGCCUACGUCUAAAGCAUAGGGGAUGACCUUCGUCCUUUCUCUCUAUUCUGCCGUGGUCGAGCUUUAAGUCUUAACUUCAUACCUUACAACUCAGGCAAGAACUCCUUUGACUGAUCCAUCUUGAACACCUUCAAGAUCACGUCAAGGUAUGUGCUCAUUUGAAAGUAUUAUUAAGCAUUUUCAUCUAUCUUAUAGAUCUUGACGCUUAUUGUUCAAGUAGCCUAAUCCAGGUUUUCCAUUGAAAAACACUUUUCAAAUAACCCUAUAUGCUUUCUAGAAAGUCUACAUCAUUUCUGAUCAACAAUAUGUUUACAACAUAUACUUAUCAGAAAUUCUAUAGUGCUCCCACUCACUUCUUUGGAAAUACAAGUUUCUCAUAAACUUUGUAUAAACCCAAAAUCUUUGAUCAUCUCAUCAAAGCGCACAUUCCAACUCCGACAUGCUUACUCCAGUCCUUAGAAGGAUCGCUGGAGCCAGCAUACCUUUUAGCAUCCUUAGGAUCAACACAACUUUUCUGAUUGUAUCACAUACAACCUUUCCUUACGAAAACUGGUCAGGAAACUCGUCUUGACAUCCAUCUGCCAGAUUUCAUAAAUGCAGCUAAUUCUAACAUGAUUCCGAUGGACUUAAGCAUCGCUACGGAUGAGAAAAUCUCAUCGUAGUCAACUCCUUGAACUUGUGAAAAACUCUUCGCCACAAGUCGAGCUUCAUAGAUGGUGACGUUACCAUCCACGUCUGUCUUCUUCUUAAAGAUCCAUUUAUCUCAAUGGCUUGCCGAUCAUCGGGCAAGUCCACCAAAGUCCAUGCUUUGUUCUGAUACAUGGAUCCUAUCUCGGAUUUCAUGGCUUCUAACCAUUUGUCGGAAUUUGGGCCCACCAUCGCUUCUCCAUAGCUCGUAGGUUCAUUGUUGUCUAGCAACAUGACCUUCAAGACAGGAUUACUGUACCACUCUAAAGUAGUACGGAUCCUUGUCACCCUACGAGGUACGGUAGUGACUUGAUCCAAAAACUUCAUGAUCCCUAUCAUAAGCUUCUACUUUAAUUGGUGUAGGCGCCACAGGAACAACUUCAUGUGCCCUGCUACAUACUUGUUGAAGUGACGGUUCAAUAACCUCAUCAAGUCUCCACCAUCCUCCCACUCAAUUUUCGAGACAAACUUUUCCUCGAGAAAGGACCCGAUUCAAGAAACAAUCCCUAUUGCUUUCGGAUAUGAAUUAGGAGGUAUACCCAACUGUUUUGGGUGUCCUAUGAAGAUGCAUUUUAUCUGCUUUGGGUUCGAGCUUAUCAACCUGAAACUUUUUCACAUAAGCGUCGCAGCCCCAAACUUUUAAGAAACGACAACUUAGGUUUCUUCAAACCAUAGUUCAAACGGUGUCGUCUCAACAGAAUUACGUGGUUCCCUAUAAAGUGAGUGUGGUUGUCUCUAAUGCCUAACCCAUGAACGAUAGUGGUAAUUCGAUAAGAGACAUCAUGGUACGCACCAUAUCCAAUAGGGUGCAACUAUGAUGUUCGGACACACCAUCACACUAUGGUGUUCCAGGCGGUAUUAAUUGUGGAACAAUUUCCACAAUGUCUUAAUUGCGUGCCAAAGCUCGUAACUCAGAUACUCAUCUCUAUGAUCAUAUCAUAGACAUUUUAUCCUCUUGUCACGAUGAUCUUCAACUUCAUUCUGAAAUUACUUGAACCAUUCAAUAAUUCAGACUUGUGUUUCAUCAAGUAAAUAUACUCAGUAUCUACUCAAAUCAUCCGUGAAGUAAGAACAUAACGAUAUCCACUGCAUGCCUGAGCACUCAUUUGACUGCACACAUCAAAAUGUAUUACUUCCAACAAGGUGCUUUCUUGUUCCAUCUUACUGAAAACGAGGCUUUUCCAGUCAUCUUGCCCAUGUGGUAUGAUUUUCAUGUCUCAAGUGAUUCAAAAUCAAGUGAGUCCAAAACGGUCCAUUUGCAUGGAGUUUCUUCAUGCAUAUACACCAAUAGACAUGGUUCGCAUGUCUCAAACUUUUCAAAAACGAGUGAGUCCAAAGAUCCAUCAACAUGGAGCUUCUUCAUGCGUUUUACACCAAUAUGACUUACAUGUCAGUGCCACAAGUAAGUGGUACUAUCAUUACUAUCUUAUAUCUUUUGGCAUGAAAAUGUGUAUCACUACGACCGAGAUUCAAUAAACCAUUCCUAUUAGGUGCAAUACCAUUGAAGGUAUUAUUCAAAUAAACAGAGUAACCAUUAUUCUCCUUAAAUGAAUAACCAUAUUGCGAUAGACAUAAUCCAAUCAUGUCUAUGCUCAAUGCAAACACCAAAUGACAAUUAUUCAGGUUUAAUACUAAUCUUGAUGGUAGAGGGAGCGUGCGAUGUUUGAUCACAUCAAAAUUAGAAACACUUUCAACACAUAUCGUCAGCUCUCCUUUAGAUAGUCUCUGUUUAUUCCAUAGCUCUUUUAUUUCGAGUUACUAACACUUGGCAACCGAACCGGUAUCUUAAUACCCUGGUGCUACUAGGAGUACUAGUAAAGUACACCUUAACAUAAUGUAUAUCCAAUAUACUUCUAUCGACCUUGCCAGCCUUCUCAUCUACCAAGUAUCUAGGGUAAUGCUACUCUAGUGGUUGUUCCCCUUAUUACAGAAGCACUUAGUCUCGGGUUUGGGUUCAACCUUGGGUUUCUUCACUAGAGCAGCAGCUGAUUUGCCGUUUCAUGAAGUAUCCCUUCUUGCCCUUGCCCUUCUUGAAACUAGUGGUUUCACCAACCAUCAACAAUUGAUGCUCCUUCUUGAUUUCUACUUUCGCGGUGUCAAACAUCGCGAAUACCUCAAGGAUCAUCAUAUCUAUCCCUGAUAUGUUAUAGUUCAUCAUGAAGCUCUAGCAGCUUGGUGGCAUUGACUUUGGAGAAACAUCACUAUCUCAUCUAGAAGAUCAACUCCCACUCGAUUCAAGUGAUUGUUGCACUUAGACAAUAUGAGCACAAGCUCAACGAUUGAGCUUUUCUCCCUUAGUUUGCAGGUUAAGAAACUCGUCGGAGGCCUCAUACCUCUUGACAUGGGCACGAGCCUGAAAUCCCAAUUUCAGCCCUCGAAACAUCUCAUAUGUUCCGCGACGUUUCGAAAAACGUCUUUUGUGCCUCUACUCUAAACCAUAUAACUGAACUAUCACGUAGUUAUCAAAACGUGUAUGUCCGAUGUUCGAAACAUCCACAUACGACGUUUGGGGUUCAGCACACUGAGCGGUGCAUUAAGGACAUAAUCUUUCUACUAUCCGCAUAAUCGCUACUGUCAACUUUCAACUAUAUUUUUCUCUAGGAACAUAUCUAAGCAGUGGAACUAAAGCGCGAGCUUACGACAUGAUUUGCAAAGAUCUUUUGACUAUGUUCAGGAUAAUUAAGUUCAUCUUAUGAACUCCCACUCAGAUAGACAUCCCUCUAGUCAUCUAAGUGAUUACAUGAUCUGAGUCAACUAGGUCGUGUCCGAUCAUCACGUGAGACGGACUAGCCAUCAUCGGUGAACAUCUUCAUGUUGAUCGUAUCUACUAUACGACUCAUGCUCGACCUUUCGGUCUCUUGUGUUCCGAGGCCAUGUCUGUACAUGCUAGGCUCGUCAAGUUAACCUAAGUGUUUCGCGUGUGUAAAUCUGGCUUACACCCGUUGUAUGUGAACGUAAGAAUCUAUCACACCCGAUCAUCACGUGGUGCUUCGAAACGACGAACUUUCGCAACGGUGCACAGUUAGGGGGAACACUUUCUUGAAAUUUUAAUGAGGGAUCAUCUUAUUUACUACCGUCGUCCUAAGCAAAUAAGAUGCAUAAACAUGAUAAACAUCACAUGCAAUCAAAUAGUGACAUGAUAUGGCCAAUAUCAUUUUGCUCCUUUUGAUCUCCAUCUUUGGGGCUCCAUGAUCAUCGUCGUCACCGGCAUGACACCAUGAUCUCCAUCAUCAUGAUCUCCAUCAUCGUGUCUCCAUGAAGUUGUCUCGCCAACUUAUUACUUCUACUACUAUGGCUACCGGUUAGCAAUAAAGUAAAGUAAUUACAUGGCGCCGUUCAAUGACACGCAGGUCAUACAAUAAAUAAAGACAACUCCUAUGGCUCCUGCCGGUUGUCAUACUCAUCGACAUGCAAGUCGUGAUUCCUAUUACAAGAACAUGAUCAAUCUCAUACAUCACAUAUCAUUCAUCACAUUCUUCAUGGCCAUAUCACAUCACAUAGCAUACCCUGCAAAAAUAAGUUAGACGUCCUCUAAUUGUUGUUUGCAUGUUUUACGUGGCUGCUAUGGGUUUCUAGCAAGAACGUUUCUUACCUACGCAAAACCACAACGUGAUAUACCAAUUGAUAUUUACCCUUCAUAAGGACCCUUUUCAUCGAAUCCGUUCCGACUAAAGUGGGAGAGACUGGCACCCGCUAGCCACCUUAUGCACCAAGUGCAUGUCAGUCGGUGGAACCUGUCUCACGUAAGUGUACGUGUAAGGUCAGUCCGGGCCGCUUCAUCCCAUAAUACCAUCGAAACAAGAUUGGACUAGUAACGGUAAGCAUAUUAAACAAAAUCAACGCCCACAACAACUUGUGUUCUACUCGUGCAUAGAAACUACGCAUAGACCUAGCUCAUGAUGCCACUGUUGGGGAACAUAGCAAAAAUUUAAAAUUUUCCUACGUGUCACCAAGAUCUAUCUAUGGAGAGACUAGCAACGAGGGGAAGGAGAGUGCAUCUACAUACCAUUGUAGAUCGCUAAGCGGAAGCGUUCAAGAGAACGGGGUUGAAGGAGUCGUACUCGUCGUGAUCCAAAUCACCGGAGAUCCUAGUGCCGAACGGACGGCACCUCCGCGUUCAACACACGUACAGCCUGGUGACAUCUCCCAUGCCUUGAUCCAGCAAGGAGAGAGGGAGAGGUUGAGGAAGAAUCCAUCCAGCAGCAGCACGACGGCGUGGUGGUGGUGGAGGAGCAUGGCAAUCCUGCAGGGCUUCGCCAAGCACCACGGGAGAGGAGGAGGACUUGGGAGAGGGGGAGGGCUGCGCCAGAACUUUGGUAAAGCUCCCAUGUGCCUCCCCACUAUAUAUAGGGGUGGAGGGGGCUGGUUCCUUGCCCUCCAAGUCCAUUGGGGCGUUGGCAAAGGUGGGAGGAAAGAAAUCCCAUCAUUUCCUUCCCCACCGAUUGUUAUCCCCCCUUUUUAGGGAUCUUGAUCUUAUCCCUUCGGGAUAUGAUCUUAUUCCUUCUAAGGGGGAAUCUUGGUGUGCCUUGACCAGGGGUGUGGGGCCUUGCCCGCACUACCCACGUUCAUGUGGGUCCCCCCAUGCAGGUGGGCCCCACUCCGGAACCUUCUAGAACCUUCCCAGUACAAUACCGAAUAUUCCCGAACAUUUUCCGGUGGCCAAAAUAGGACUUCCCAUAUAUAAAUCUUUACCUCCGGACCAUUCCGGAACUCCUCGUGACGUCCGGGAUCUCAUCCGGGACUCCAAACAACAUUCGGCAACCACAUACAAACUUCCUUUAUAACCCUAACGUCAUCGAACCUUAAGUGUGUAGACCCUACGGGUUCGGGAACCAUGCAGACAUGACCGAGACGUUCUACGGUCAAUAACCAACAGCGGGAUCUGGAUACCCAUGUUGGCUCCCAACUGUUCCACGAUGAUCUCAUCGGAUGAACCACGAUGUCAAGGACUCAAUCGAUCCCGUAUACAAUUCCCUUUGUCUAACGGUAUUGUACUUGCCCGAGAUUCGAUCGUCGGUAUACCGAUACCUUGUUCAAUCUCGUUACCGGCAAGUCUCUUUACUCAUUCCGUAACACAUCAUCCCGCGGUCAUCUCUUUGAUCACAUUGUGCACAUUAUUAUGAUGUCCUACCAAGUGGGCCCAGAGAUACCUCUCCGUCACACGGAGUGACAAAUCCCAGUCUCGAGUCGUGCCAACCCAACAGACACUUUCAGAGAUACCUGUAGUGCACCUUUAUAGCCACCCAGUUACGUUGUGACGUUUGGUACACCCAAAGCAUUCCUACUGUAUCCGGGAGUUGCACAAUCUCAUGGUCUAAGGAAAAGAUACUUGACAUUAGAAAAGCUUUAGCAUACGAACUACACGAUCUCUGUGCUAGGCUUAGGAUUGGGUCUUGUCCAUCACAUCAUUCUCCUAAUGAUGUGAUCCCGUUAUCAACGACAUCCAAUGUCCAUGGUCAGGAAACCGUAACCAUCUAUUGAUCAACGAGCUAGUCAACUAGAGGCUUACUAGGGACAUGGUGUUGUCUAUGUACCCACACAUGUAUCUGAGUUUCCUGUCAAUACAAUUAUAGCAUGGAUAAUAAACGAUUAUCAUGAACAAGGAAAUAUAAUAAUAACUAAUUUAUUAUUGCCUCUAGGGCAUAUUUCCAACACCAUCACCAAUUUCAUGACGCUCACCGCCGUGCCUGAGUAAUUCCAUCGUAGGCUUGCUGGACGGUGAUGGGUUGGAUGAGAUUUACCAUGUAAUCAAGUUAGUUUUCUUAGGGUUUGAUCCCUAGUAUCCACUAUGUUCUGAGAUUGAUGUUGCUACGACUUUGCUAUGCUUAAUGCUUGUCAGUAGGGCCCAAGUGCCAUGAUUUCAGAUCUGAACCUAUUAUGUUUUCAUGAAUAUAUGUGUGUUCUUGAUCCUAUCUUGCAAGUCUAUAGUCACCUAUUAUGUGUUAUGAUCCGACAACCCCGAAGUGACAAUAAUCGGGAUACUUCUCGGUGAUGACCGUAGUUUGAGGAGUUCAUGCAUUCACUAUGUGUUAAUGCUUUGGUCCGGUUCUCUAUUAAAAGGAGGCCUUAAUAUCCCUUAGUUUCUGCUAGGACCCCCCUUCAACGGGAGGGUAGGACAAAAGACGUCAUGCAAGUUCUUUUCCAUAAGCACAUAUGACUAUUUACGGAAUACAUGCCUACAUUACAUUGAUGAAUUGGAGCUAGUUCUAUAUCACCCUAUGUUAUAACUAUUGCAUGAGGAAUCGCAUCCGGCAUAAUUAUCCAUCACUGAUCCAUUGCCUACGAGCUUUUCAUAUAUUGUUCUUCGCUUAUUUACUUUUCUGUUGCUACUAUUACAACUACUACAAAAGCCCAAAAAAAUUAUCUUUACUUUUGCUACAGUUACCUUUAUUAUCAUACCACUUUUUCUACUAAACACUUUGUUGCAGAUACUAAGUUAUCCAGGUGUGGUUGAAUUGACAACUCAACUGCUAAUACUCAAGAAUAUUCUUUGCUCCCCUUGUGUCGAAUCAAUAAAUUUGGGUUGAAUACUCUACCCUCGAAAGCUGUUGCGAUCCCCUAUACUUGUGGGUUAUCAUUGUAUUAUGUGACUUAAAUCGUCAGCGUCCGGAGGUCGGACAUAGGUCCCUUGAAAAUUUGCCCUGAAAGCGUCCUCAAGUUCCUCCCACCUUCCGAUUAAAUUUUCGGGAAGGCUUUUCAACCAGUGCCGAGCUGGGCCCUUCAACUUGAGGGGAAGGUAUUUGAUGGCGUGGAGGUCGUCCCCAUGAGCCAUGUUGAUAUGAAGGAUAAAAUCCUCAAUCCAGACCCCAGGGUCUGUCAUUCCAUCAUAUGCCUCUAUGUUCACGGGUUUGAAUCCCUGUGGAAAUUCGUGAUCCAGUACCUCUUCGGUGAAGCAUAGAGGGUGCACAGCCCCUCUGUAUCUGAACAUGUUGUGGCAUGUUGUCGACUGUUGUUGUGUCCGGUGUUGAUUCCGAACUGGUAUUUGAUCAGUCUGAUCGUUUUGGUGACUGUAGUCCUUCGCCGGAGCAUGUCCUCUAGAUCCAUAGAUGGACCUGGUCACGUCGGCCUUUUUGUCCAAGAGCUCACGUAAAUCGUGUGCGGCGUUAGUAGCUGCUCUAUCGCGGUCAUAAAGUGGUUGGUCCGGCCUAUUGUCCAUAUUGUUCUUCGGCAGAAUGGCCUCAUCGUCGAAUUCUAGGAGCAGCUUGCACUUGGGGCAGCUCUUUGUGUGGCGAUCGUCGCUGUAUUUUUCUUCAGUUUCUAGCACUUUAUUCCAUCUGCGGUUGAGCGUUUCCUGCGCGGUCUGAAGCCCUUGCUUCUGCUUCUUUAGGCUUCUCGUAGUGGCCAUAAGCCUUAUGUGGAGGUUAUCUCGUUCCAAAUGUUUUUCCAGGAUGAUGAAUGCAUCGUCGUCCGGACUGUACUCUUCUCCGGAGGCAGGUUGAUGAGCUCGGCCCUCGGGAUCGCUGUGAUCGAGCGUCUGUUCUGGGUUGUGUUCGGUGUGACCUGGCUCAUCCUGCUCCAUCGCUGGGUCCAUAUGGUCGUCGUUACCUUUGGAGUUGACUGGGGUGUCGACUUUUCUACUGCUAUGAUCGCUAUUUUUACUAUGGUUGGACUUAGAGCGGCGUCUGCAGCGUCGUUUUGGCUUUUGCCCGAGGGUUUUAUCCUCCGUUGUGUCCUUUUUGUCGCCAUUUUCCUCCUUAGGCGUGUCCACCAUGUAUACAUCAUAUGAUGAGGUGGCAGUCCAGUGCCGCAUGGGCGGUGGUUCCAAAUCGUCCCUACGCCGACGUCCAUACCGUCGGUGUCGUCGGAGUCGAAGUCAAGCAUGUCUGUUACGUCGUUGACAGUAGCUAUUAAGUGGGUGGUGGGUAGGCGGAGAUUUUCUUCGUCGUCCGAAUCCCCCUCGAGCCAGACAUAGUUCGGCCAAGAGUCCUCUGACAAAGAGAGAGACCUUAAAGAGUUUAGCACGUCGCCAAAGGGUGGGUGCUAAAAGAUAUCCGCAGCGGUGAACUCCAUUACCGGAGCCCAAUCGGAUUCGAUGGGCCUGGGUGCGUACUGCCUGGAACCUACAGCCGGACACAAGUCUGGGGGUCCGGGGACACAGACUUCCUUAAGAGGUGGAGCCUGUGUUCGGCUUUACCACUGAUGAGUAUGCGGCCUCCGGGGCGGGGUCCAUCCACCCGUCCUCGGACGACGCGAUCUGCCCCGAAUUUAGGUCCGGAGCUACUGCAGGUGUGAUAUCCCGAAUAUUGCCCGAUAACAGAUCUAAGCCGUGCUCGUCGUGAUUGUUCGGCGCUCCUGGCGUAGGCCUGAAUCCGUCGAAGAUCAAGUCUCCGCGGAUAUCGGCCGUGUAGUUCAAGUUUCCGAACCUGAUCUGAUGGCCAGGGGCGUAGUUGUCGAUCUACUCCAGAUGGCCAAGCAAAUUGGCCCGUAGUGCGAAGCCGCCGAACACGAAGAUCUGUCCGGGGAGAAAACUCUCGCCCUAGACCACAUUGUUGUUGAUGAUUGAAGGAGCCAUCAAGCCUUGCUACGAUGACACAGAGGAACUCUCUAUGAAAGCACCAAUGUCGGUGUCAAAACCGGCGGAUCUCGGGUAGGGGGUCCCGAACUAUGCGUCUAAGGCUAAUGGUAACAGGAGGCAGGGGACACGAUGUUUUACCCAGGUUCGGGCCCUCUCGAUGGAGGUUAUACCCUACUUCCUGCUUGAUUGAUCUUGAUGAUAUGAGUAUUACAAGAGUUGAUCUACCACGAGAUCAUAGAGGCUAAACCCUAGAAGCUAGCCUAUGAUUAUGAUUGGUGUCGUCCUACGGACUAAACCCUCCGAUUUAUAUAGACACCGGAGGAGGCUAGGGUUACACAGAGUCGGUUACAAAGAAGGAGAUCUAACAUCCGAAUCGCCAAGCUUGUAUUCCAUGCAAAGGAGAGUCCCAUCCAGACACGGGACGAAGUCUUGAGUCUUGUAUCUUCAUAGUCCAACAGUCCGGCCAAAGUAUAUAGUCCGGCUAUCCGGAUACCCCCUAAUCCAGGACUCCCUCAACGGGGUGUGACAGACUCACCUCCGCAUGCGACGCCGUGGCACGCGCAUCUAUGCCUGCUCCGACUCGUUCCAGGCUCGGCCUCGCAGGGUGGAUGGAAGGGGGGUCACGACCCCCUCCUCCUGCUCGCCCUUGUGCUAAUGCAUGCAGUGCACUUGGUUGACAGGUGCAGUGAGGCUAUUCUAUUUUCAACCCCACGCAUGCACGCAACCCUGGAGCCACACCCCUAAGAUAGAUAGUUGGGUGAUGGGGUGUGACGGACAUGCAUCCGCAUGUGAUGCCAUGGCAUGUCGCGUCCUCGCCCGCUCCAGCUCAUUCCAGGCUCGACCUCGCAUGGUGGAGGGGAGGGGGGUAACGACACCCCCUUCCAGGCCUCGUGCUAACGCAUGUAGUGCGCUUGGUUGACAUGCGCAGUGUGGCUAUUCUGUUUCCAACCCCAAACACGCACGCAACCCCGGAGCCACAUCCCUAUGAUAGAUCGUGGGGUGGCGGGGUGUGACGGACUCGCCUCUGCAUCCGACGCAGCGGCAUGCCGCGUCGUCAUCUGCUCUGGCUCAUUCCAGGCUCGGCCUCAUAGGAGGGAGGGGAGGGGGGUCACGAAUCCCCUCCCCUCUACCCGGCCUAGCGCUAACGCACGCAGUGCACUUGGUUGACAGGUGUAGUGUCGCUAUUCUGUUUCCAACCCCAAACACGCACGCAACCCUAUAGCUACAACACCACCCAUAACGCAAAACGCUCGAUAAAAAAGGAAAUGAAAAGAAAAAAGUUGUGUUGAAAAAGAACUUAUCCAUGCCGCAGUUCAGUUAUACACAUGAAUGCAGUGCCAUUCUGCAAAAGUUUUGCACAGAUAAAAGGGUGAAAAAAGAAAUACCUACAACAGCACGGGUGCAAAAAGUAAAAACACAUGUAAAUAAAAACUAGGGUUCACACACACACGCACAAACAUAUAUAUAUAUAUAUAUAUAUAUAUAUAUAUAUAUAUAUAUAGGGUGGGUCUAUUCUAAUAACACCCCUUAAGACCUUAUUCUCAUAACACUAAAACCUUAUUCUGCUAACACUUAAGCAUUGUCCCGCACACCUAAAGUGAACUACAGCAAAAUAACCCUACACCCGCACCCACCGGUCAACGACCACCCGGACAGACCCCAUCCCCUUCCCUGAUCCACUACAUCUCAUCCCUCCUGCCUCCUUCCUCGCCGCGCCAGAGCGACCCCAGCCUCCUUCCUCCCAGCGCGCCACCUUCGACCACCGUCGCCGUCCCCUCCCCUCCGAGCGCCCGCUCCGCCCCGCACCUCUGCCGCCGCACCCCGCGUCCCCUCCGCCGAAUCAUGCCACCUCGCAUCCCACCACACCAUCCACUCCUCCCCUACCUCCAGCACACCGGCGCCCGAUGCGCCUUGGCCCUGGCCCCGGCCACCCACCCCUCCCUCCGCCAUUCGGGCCACUCGCCGGCGCGCUCCCUCCCACCUCCGUCCCCUUUUUCUUCUUCCCCAAACACGCAGAGCUGACGCCACCCCUACCGCAACUGCACGCCGCCCCGGUGCCGAUCCAGGCGCGCCCGCGCAGCUACCGGCGUGGAUCUAGCCCGGGACCACGGGAUCUGGCCCUCCAACUGACGCUGCGGCAAGCUCCCCAUCGUGGAAUCCCCUUCCCCGAGCUCCCCCAUUGUCCCCCUACUUUGCGCUCGCGCACUACUCCAAAUCAGGCGCGUGGCUGCCGUCGUUGAACCGCGUCGGUGCCCCACCUCCCCAUCCUCCCAAUAUCACAUUGAUCUAGCCGAGGGAGGAGAGCAGCCGACGCUCUUCCUCCUCUCCGGCGAGGCCUGGGUGCCAUCCUCCUUCGGCGCGGACUAGCCACCCCACGAGCAACCACAACGAUGCGGGAUCCGGCGGCCAUGGGCACCCAGCGAGGCUGCCGGUAGUGGAUCCAUCCACCGGAGGCGACGCUGCUACCGGUAUGCAUCGACUCCUGCGGCCAAGUCUGUCCACUUCUUUCCCAAUCUGUUCUCCUCGACGACCACGGAGGCGCACCUGGCAUGCAUCGUCGGCCGACCACACCACCCCCACACCGAUAACUCCCUCAGGCAUCCAGUUCGUCGGAGUUUCAUUUGUGCUCGGCGUGCAGUGCUUCGAGAUCCCUCGAGCAGUUUGGCGAGCGCUGAGGUGCAGCUUCGGCAUUGUGAGAUGCGGUUCCGUUCACAUCUCCAUGCAGUAUGGGGGCUAUGGCUUGGAAUCCAGCAAACUCCCACCUCGCAUCUCUAUAUUCCAGCAAGCAUCACACUUUGCAUUCCCAGGUUCUGCUAGAGAGGUUCAGUUGUGUUUGUUGUGUUGUUUUCACUUACUUUGUUGUCUUGUGCAGUUCGCAGAUUCUGCUAGAGAGGUUCACUGUCUUCUACGCAUUCCCAAUAUGGACUAUCAUGCAGUACGCCGGUCCAUGGUGUGAGAUUCACUGGGUGCAUGACUGGAGUGCAGUUGACCCUCGUGUGGUGCAGUGCAGUUUGUAGUUUUUUUGUGUCUUUAGAAUUGUAGUGAAUUGCAAUUUGACUGAAUUUAUCCAGUGCAAAAAAAUUGUUAAAUUUGGUAUAGUGGACGACAGUGUGUGUGUGUGUGUGUCAGUGUAGUGCAGUUUGGCUCCAGUCUGGGGCGCUCCUCUGGUGCGGCGUCGGCCAGUUCGGGAGGCAACGGGAAAAAAAACUCGGGUGGUGUAGUUCGCGAGUCUCCCAUCUGCAGUACCCAUGUCUUCAGUAAAUUUGUUUGAAGAGAGACAAAAGAAUGUAGUCCACUCCAUUUGUGUAGCAGCUCGUUACCCCACUGUAUGAAGUGCAAUUUGUUUCGUGUGUCUUAGAAUUCAGUCGACUAUGUCAACACUUGCAGUGCGUUUGACCCUCGAAUGUGGAUUACCUUUACCAGUGAUGCUGUUCACUUGCGCCAAAUAUGAAGUGUGCGAUUUUUUUAAAACAAAACAAGAAGAUAGCAAUGAGGUUCAUUUGCCCUCGUCUCUAUGGUCCACUCUCGUUCAUAAAAAUUGUUGAAAAAAGACAACAAAAACUCGUAUGGGAAAAUUUAUGUCCCACAAAAAAAAUCAUGCAGUGCACUUGUCGGUCUGAUGAAGUGUGGCUUUUAGUCUAAAGAAGUGCACUCCACCUCGUUUGGUAAAAUUUAUGUCCCAUAAAAAAAUCAUGCAAUGCACUUGUCUGUCCAAUGAAGUGCGAUUUUUAGUCAAAAUAAGUGACGUUUUCUGUCUGAUGCAAUACGGCCCGUUUACGGUAUAGUCUCGAGGUUCACUUUUCAUAGUCUUGGGGUUCACCAACACUUGACAUGAAGUGCACUCCACCUUUUGUUUAGGAAAAUUUACGUUCCACAAAAAAGAAAUCAUGAAGUGCACUUGUCGGUCGGAUGAAGUGCGGUUUUUAGUCUGAAAGCAGUGCUGUUUUCUGUCUCAUGCAGUACAUACGACGAUUUUGGGUCGCGAAAAAAUAGAGUGUCCGCAUUUCGUUAAAAUCAAAAUUGCGCUUCAGCCGUAAGGAAUCAGAGAGAGUGUUCUACAUGAAAAAGUUGCGCCUCAUUGAUAUCUUUCUAAUGGCGUAUAAUUCGAAUCAUUUUGACCAUCGGUUUGCAAAAAUUUCGCGAAAAACGGCCGAUGCCUCCCGUCGUCAGCCGCACGAUUUUCAAAAUUAACUAAAAACCAUAAGGAAUCUGAAACAUAUUCCAACAUACGAAAGUUGCGCCUUGUCCAUAGCUUUCCAACGGCGUAUCAUAAUCCUCGUUUCGGCAAAUGGUUCAAAAACUGGAGCUAAAACAGUACCGAAAAUUUGAAAAAAUUCAAAAAAACGUAAUUCCACGAUUUAGUAAAUUUGUAACUGCUCUUAAACUAUAAUGAAUUAGAAAAAAAUAAUAGAUAUGAAAAAGAUGUGCCUCGAUGAUAUCUUUCCAACUGUGUAUCAUUUGCUUUAUUCCGAUGAGCGGUUUAGACAAAAUUGCGAAAAUACGCUUGCUGCCACUCAUCAUUCGCCGCACCAUUUUUGAAACUACUCUUAAACCGCGAGGAAUCUCGAAAAGUGUUCAACAUGAAGAAGUUGCGACUAAUCCAUAGCUUUCCAAUCGUAUAUUAUACGUCUCGUUCCGAUGAACGGUUAGAAAACUAGAGCAAAAACAGUACCGAAAAAACACUGCAUGCAGUUUUUUACGACACGAAGUUCACUAGUGUGUAUUGCAGUGCCCUUGCUACAGAAUGUGCAGUGCACUUGCGUUGAGCGUGCAGUGCGGAAGUAUUAUCAGAAUAGUUGUUAUGCUAAUAUUAGCAGAAUAGACCGGUUGUAUAUAUNNNNNNNNNNNNNNNNNNNNNNNNNNNNNNNNNNNNNNNNNNNNNNNNNNNNNNNNNNNNNNNNNNNNNNNNNNNNNNNNNNNNNNNNNNNNNNNNNNNNNNNNNNNNNNNNNNNNNNNNNNNNNNNNNNNNNNNNNNNNNNNNNNNNNNNNNNNNNNNNNNNNNNNNNNNNNNNNNNNNNNNNNNNNNNNNNNNNNNNNNNNNNNNNNNNNNNNNNNNNNNNNNNNNNNNNNNNNNNNNNNNNNNNNNNNNNNNNNNNNNNNNNNNNNNNNNNNNNNNNNNNNNNNNNNNNNNNNNNNNNNNNNNNNNNNNNNNNNNNNNNNNNNNNNNNNNNNNNNNNNNNNNNNNNNNNNNNNNNNNNNNNNNNNNNUAUAUACGCAUAACAAAAUAUUAUUCUGUUACCCUACUUGAACUGAUAAAUUCAACUGGUUGAACUGAUGAAAUUUGAGCGGUUGAACUGAUGCUUUCUGUUUGUGUUAAAAAUCGUCUUCUUUAGUUCAAUUUUUUUGCAAUUUUUUUGUCGAAACGGGGCAUGUAAUAUAUCGUUGAAAAGCUCUUGACAUCUACAUUACAAUCUUAUAAUUUGUUUUUGCAAAAAAUUAUGGUUUAAGAGCAGUUUUGAAAAAAAUCAUUUUUUUCAAAACCGAAAUCACGAAUCGUAUUUUAGACUUAAUUUUCAAACGGUUUAUCAGAAUUGAGAAAAUGAGACGGCGUUGGAAAGCUUGUGAAAAUCCGCAUCUUCCAUAUAUCUACUAUUUUUUUCAAAUUCUGUAUGAUUUAAAAGUAAUUUGAAAAAUGGUGAAAUCCUGGGCAAAACGUAUUUUCGCUGUCUUUUGCAAACGCUUCGUCGGAUUGACGCAAAUGAUACAUCGUUGGAAAGCUAUGGAAAAUGCGCAACUUUUUUGUAUUGAAAUGUUUAUCUAAUUCCUUAUGGUUUAAAAACAAAUUCGAAUACGGUCAAAUUUGAUUUCGAACGCGAUUUUUUAAAAAAGUUUGUCGAAAUUGGGCAAAUAAUAUACCAUUGGAAAGAUAUUGGAAAUGCGAAACUUAGUCAUGUUGAAUAUUUUCUCAAAUUCGCAAUCGUUGAAGAGUAAUUGUGAGUAUGGUGAGACUCAUCAUGUUGUUUUUUCCGGUCGGAAAACAGAGUACUCGUACUGAUCUAUUUGUGUGUUUGUACUGAGGUAUUUUUCACAGUAGUUUUGAAUGGUUCCGAAAAAAGAGUACUUGAACGGAUACCAGUAUGUUUUUGUACUGAGCGUGUUUUCACGUAGUAGACUUUACUCUGUAUUUUCCGGUAUGAUUUUCCUCGUAACUUCUCAAUGGUUUACGAUAUCAUCGUCCCUGAACUUGCAUGGUUUUAUAUCGUUGAACUGAAUGACAUUUUAUUUAAAGAAAAAUAUUGUGUGUUUCUUUUUUUCAACUCUAACGUUUUUUUCAACAUUGUUUUGGACUUCUCUCAUUCCGUGACUUGAACUUUCACCAUUUGAAUUUCCAUAGGGUUUCUUUUUGUUUGAGCUUUUUCCUAAAACUUAUCUCGGCUUCGUGUUGAACUUAAAACUUUUUAAAUUGUGAACUUAUUGUGUUUUUACAAUUCCAAAGCUAGCAAGUAGUAGGAGAUUUACCCAACAAAGGGGUUAAUUACAUGGAGCAGCCGCAGUAGUACCACAAUCUGAUCGAUAGCUAGCAGCAAUACCAGUGCUCACUAAUACACAUACACAUGAACUGAUAACCAACUUGCGCACGACCUGACAAACAAGAAAAUGCAUUAACUGACAAAAAGAACACAAUACACAUGAACUGAUAAUCCCCACGGCUGAUGACAGAGCUUUGUAGCAUCUAGGUUCACCCAUUUACUAAAAGUAGAACUUCUGAGUUUUAUCAAUUCAGGUGAUGUUUAAAUGCUCACCAUUUUGGCCUACAUCAGAAUACUCACAACACAACAAUAUGUGCUAAAGGUCCUGCAAUUAUAGAGUUACAGAACAAAUUCUUUGUCCAACGACAAUGUAAGAGUCAUGACCAGUAAUCACAAACAACACUAGCUCGACCGCCCAGCAUCUGCGUGCGGCGAGGGGAGGAGAUACUAUGAUGCUAGAUGUGUAGAGACAACAAGCUCACGCAUAGAAGACGAUGGACGACUCAUGCAGGAGGCCUCAAACUGCUCUCCUGUUGCCACCGAUGGCUAUGGAUCAUGCAAAAUCCUGACCAAAAGAUCACAUUUAUUUUCACGAAACUAAUCUCUUGUACUUGCUCUAAGAUAAUCUUCGAACCUCCUACAAGAACAAUCAUCAUUUUAAAGUCCACAUGAAUACCUACAAGAAAUGAUCACAAACAUUUACAGGACAUUCUUUUAAAGAGCUAUGCAAGAAUAAUUAAAAUAGGGUGAAACAAAUAUCAUCUAGAUUCUAGCAACAGCCGUUUUGCAUGAUCAUUGACAUUUGGAAUAGCAUCCAACAACUAUCAGAGUUCCGUAAGACCACAUUUGUACUUACUAUGACGAUGUACUUGUGCUGCGCAAAAACAUACAUGUAAGCACAAAAUAAACAUUUAAAUACAUUGGUGCUCACAUGAAUAGUCACAAACACCUAAAGAGCAUGUUUUUUUCACAUCUUCCCAACUACUCAGUUAGCAGAAUACCACAUCUAUGCAUUUUAAUAGCAGGAGCAAAGAAAGAGAGAGAGAUUGUUGUGAGAGAGUGCCAUUGACGCACACAUAGGACUACCAUCAGCGCUCAACUUGGACGGCUGCCAUCAACCAUGGUGGACGGCUGCCACCAAAAAAACAAAUUGCAAACUACACAACUACGAAUAGGCCAAACCGGUAAGCACAUCAGAAUCAUAAGAAAUCCCACCAGGUACAGGCACACCCUCCUAUUCACAACUCUGAAGUAUUGAUGAACCCUGUUCUCAAAGAUAAUGCCAUAUUGUGGGAUCAUUUAAGUGCACAACUAAGAGCACUAUGAGACAGAAAUAUUGUACAACUACAGCGACAACUGCAAAAAAGUACAACAUUGGUAAAAAAAUAGAUUAUUUGUGACAGCAGGGCAGAUGGCAACUUGGUUAUUCAAGUUCCAAUUGCUUAAAUCAGACCGUUCUAGCUUAGAAUCUAGCUAACACAAAACAAAUCUGAAGCAGUCGGCCUAGCCACACCCCCAACAUAACUAAUUCCACCAGAAGAGCCAUUUGCAACCUACAUGGCCUUCGCUCGACCAAGAUCUUAGCAUUCCUCACACGGGAUCCAGGCACUGGAGCAAGAAGUGACAGCUUGCCAAAGUGUGAGGAGGGGAUCGUCCGGCGGCGUAUCAAGGAGAGAUUGCGGUGGCACGCUGAGACCGUGAUGCGGGUGCCCCUAAACUGAUGUGAAUUUUCUUGCGAAACUGCUAUGCAAUCAUGCAAUGAGUGAGAUACCAUAUAAUAUAAAGUCGAGCUCUCUCUAACACACAUCAAAAUAUAUUUUUACGGUUGUUCUGUAUGAACUAAUGAGAAAAUACACAUUGAACUGAUAAUAAUAUAUUAUUUUCUCAUAUAGGAAACAUGUUCUUCGCCACAAGAACUGAUACUCUAACACACAGAGAAUUGUUUCCAUGCUAAGAACGGAGGAUAAAAUAAAUAGUGAUUUUCUAGGGUCUCAUUGCAACCUUGCUUCCUAUUCAAUUAAGGAUUCAUGUGACACUUGCUUACCCUUUCAUCAGUACUAGUACGACUCAACAAUAAGUUCGGAAUUGUAGACGACAUCCUUGUCAGUACGACUCAUCAAUACUAUAUGGAUGUUAGUCUUAACACUAAGAAUAGUACUGAUCAGUACUAAUAUUUUGUGUAAGUUGUACUGAUCAGUACUGCUACUUGUCGUACUAAUGAGCAGUACUGAUCUAGCUAACACAAAGAUUUUUUUCAUCUAGUGGAUUUUUAACAUUAUAUUAGAAAAAGAAAUCUAGAGCAAUUAUCUUGUAUAACCAACAAACAAAUAUAGCGGAGAAGCUGCAAACACAACCCGCAAUCAUCAACUGAAGUUGUGUUCUUACUCUGACCAAGUUCAGUUUUCUUCAGAAAAAUGGAUGAAAAAUAGCAUUGGCUUUGCCAUCAAUUUUUAGCAUGUAUGGGGACGGACAGGUGAUGAGAGGAUGGACCUUCUAAUGGUGGAGAAGAACUACAAUCUGAGGGGUGGCAGGAGACGUACUAGUGUAGGACGCUGUCGAUGGUGCAGCGUUGUCCAUGGAGAGUCCUUCCAGGUGGCACUCACUAUCUCAAAUCAGAAAAAGACCGAUGACAAUGGUGCGUGAACCAGUACGACGGACGUUGGGCACGAACCAGGACGCCGGCUACCGGAUCGUUAAACGGAUCGAGGGUGCCAUGCACGCAGCCCUUUUGGUGAUCGACGACGGAGCAUGUAGUUGUACUGCCGAGAGGAACAAUCUCGACCCCGCGGCUCCCUCCUGCAGCCGUGGGUGGCGUGUGGGAGGGAGGCGACAAAUGGUGGUGCGGGGAUCUGGAUAUGGCCGGCGGUGCGUGAUUUCGGGGAUGGCCGGCGACGCGUGGACCUGGGGGUGGGCAGCGGCGCGCGGACCCGAGUGUGGGUGGGGCAAGCUGGAGGAAGGAGGACGCCGACAAUGUGGAAGGAGAAGGCUGGUUGGGCGGCGCAGGACGACAACAAACGCAGUGGCGGUGGUGCGUGGGUAGGGAGGGGCGAGCGGCCGGUGGCGAGAGCGCGUGGGGAGGGAGGGGCAGCCGUCCGGCACCGGUAGCGCGCUGGUAGGGAGGGGCGGCCGGCCGGCGGCGGAAGCGCGCGGGUAGGGAGGGGCGAGCGGCCGGCGGCGGCAUCGCGUGGGUAGGGACUAGGAGGGAGUGGUUCGGGGUAGGCUUUGUUUUGUUCUUUUAGUUUUUCCAUUCGGGUGGGGCGGCCGGUCUAUCGAGAUUCAACCGGGCCUAUAUAGGGGCCAAGGGUAACAGCAUAAUAUUCUGUUACCUGUAACAGAAUAGCCCUGUCCUAUAUAUAUAUAUAUAUAUAUAUAUAUAUAUAUAUAUAUAUAUAUAUAUAUAUACUUCUGCACUGCACGCUCAACGCAAGUGCACACCAUUGCUUGAACCAAGUGUGCUGCAGUACUCACGCGAGUGAACUUCCCGUCGCAAAAAACUGCAUGCCGUAUUUUUUGGGUACCCUUUUUGCUCUAGUGUUUUAACCGUUUAUCGGAACGAGGCGUGUAAUAUACCGCUCAAAAGCUAUGGAUUAGGCACAACUUCGCCAUGUUGAAUACUUUUUGAGAAUCCUCACGGUUAAGAGCAGUUUUGAAAAUGGUGCGGCCCACAACGAGUGGCAGCGAACGUUUUUCGUGUUUUUUUCUAAACCGCUCGUCGGAAUGAAGCAAAUGAUACACUGUUGGAUAGAUAUCACCGAGGCGCAUCUUUUUCAUAUACAGUUUUUUCUCUAAGUCAUUACGGUUUAAGAGUAGUUUCAAAUUUACUAAGUCGCGGAAUUCUGUUUUUCAAUUUUUUUUCAAAUUUUCGGUACUGUCCAGUUUUUUAACCGUUUGUCGAAACAAGGUGAUGCGGAGCAUCCCACGCUCAUCCCCAUGUACACUCCGACUACUCCCCAAGCCCCAAGUGGACAUAUGACGAGACCUCGAGCUUACACCAUUGGACCUAAGGUGAACCCGUUCCUAAAUGCUUCCCCUUUCCACUUGUGCGAGACAUGGUUGCUACCUAAUGCAAAGACACUAUGUAUGCUCAGGAACCGAGGACCCCCGGACAUCCGGUGCCCCGCGACGGGCCAAACAUCCGACGCCUGCCCGGAAAUCCGGCGCCCGUUAUCCAGAGAGCAGAAGAAUUGGCCACUCCAGCCCGGACAUCCGGCGUCUAGGGAAGGCCCGGACAUCCGGCCCGACGCCCGGACAUCCGGCCCUCCUGCCUGCGUGCAGCGCAUCUGGGCCGAGUCCCAUGUACCCCUUCGCCCCUUAGACUAUAUAUACUCCCCCACCUCCUCCUAAUUAGGGUUAGCAUUGGUUUAGCUCAUAUUUUGUGUGAGAGCCUUGCUCAUCCACUUGGUUACUUCUCCUCAAAGCUCACGACCUCUUCGGAGAAGAUCCCCCAAGCAAAUUCAAGACCCCUUCAAGGGAAGACAAUCAAGACCUCCUCACGGAGAAGAACGGCUACCUUUGUAUCUUUCCUUUGUUGUUUUUGAAUCAUGUGCUACCUCAUGUGUUCGUGAUCUAGCCCUUGUGUGAUCGAUACUUGUCGGUUGAGUGAUUCUCUCGUUCCUCCCCAUGUUUUCCCCUUUGUGUUUUCCGCGCGUUCUUCUUGUUUCCCCAUAGGAUCCACUCCAAAUGUGAAAGAUCGGUCCCUAGGGUUCCGCCCUACAUCAUCUUGGUAUCAUGAGCCACGUUGAUCACGUUUCUGGAGCCCCUACCCCUCUUUUUCUAGCUUGAUUUUGUUGAUUUCGUCCUAAAACCGAAAAUCCCCACCAAAAAUAGCCCCCAAUUUUGAUUUGUUGGUUUGAUGAUGUUUUGUUGAUUUCGAUCCGUGGAUUUGCUUGGUUUCAAGUGGAUCUAGCUUUCAACCAAGUUUCCCCACAUUCCAUCCACGAAAUCUCUCCAAUUUUGCCCCCGAAAUCAUCAAUUUCCGCCCCAAAAUGGAGUUCCUCGAGUUCAUCCUAGGAUUUGGAGCCCAGACAUCCGGCCCGACCACCGGACAUCCACCCAUUAGCCCGGACAUCCAGCUCCUGGAGUGCAUUUUCGCACAAGUUUCUGGACAUCAGGUCCCGGAAAUCCGGCCCGACCCCCGGAUGUCCGGCCCUGGGAUUUGAACCUUUUCUAUUUCACCGUUUUGACCAUAACUAAUUCAUCCGGAGUCCGUUUUUGACGUUCUUUAGCUUGUUUUGAAGCUAUUGACAUCCCCCAUCCCAAAAAAUACCACCAUCAUCAUUUGACUCCAUCAAAUUUUUGAAAAUUUGGCAAGUUUGCCUAGGGCUUCCACCACAUCAUCCGCAUAGCCACCACCGACUUCCGCAACCUAACCCAUUUUGGUUGCCAUAGCAUUAGUGAUUGCUUGAGUAGUGAUUAGAGUCUCCUAAGGUGUUUUGGCUACUUAGGGACAAUUACUUCUUCAUCAACAACCACCACCACUUUCGCAUAGGCUUGCCCACCAUACACUUCCGCCACCGCAACUUAACCCAUUUUGUUUGUGUUAUGAGUUGUGUCUCCUAAGGUGUUUCGGAUACUUAGGGACGGCAACUUCUACUUUGACACGUGUAUAGCCCGUCAUCCCACUUCCGCAUUGCCAAGUGCAAACCACCACCGCUUUCCGCUACCACCAUUUUGACAUUUGACGUGUGAGAUUUUGAGUUCGCGGUUUUUCCGGUUCCUAAGGUGUUUCGGCUACUUAGGGACGAGUCUCCAUCAUCUUGGUUUCUACAUCAAGAACACCGCUACUCAUCAUCGCCGGACGGUAACCUCCAUAUCAUCUUGGUAUUGUGGUACCCCUCCAUUGUAUAUUCCCCUUGCCAUUGCAUUGUUAACCCCUAGCCCAUUUUGCAUUAUUUGCCUAUCGAGACUAGCCAUUUGAGUAUUGCCGGCGACGUUACUUGUGCACAUUAGUGAUCCAUACUUCCCAUAGAAUACAUACCAUAUCAUCGUGGUGCAUAUAUUGGUAUCAUAUCAUGUGUCACGAGUUUGUUCCCGCAUAUACACAAUUGCUAUCUUGGUUUGUGCAUUGUGCAAAAGUGGCCAUACAAAAAAAGAGAGAAAUAAAGCUUUUAAGCAAAAGAAAGAGAGCAAAGAAGCUUGUAAGCAAGUGCCAUAGCAUCAUACGACAUUGCAUAUAAGAUUGUCAUAUCCGGUCAUCUUGGAUCAUCUUGAGAGAAACACCGGGAACCAUACAUACAUAGCACACUUGGGAUAGAAGUUUAUCCAUUUUGCAUAUCAUAGGUUGUGCACAAGUGUCGUAUCCGCCUAUAGAGCAAUCAUGCUAGCGUCUCUCUUGAAUUGUGCAACACGAGCAUUCUCCGUGGAUUCCACAUUUUGUGCUCAUUCCUUGGUUGCACGACCCCAUUUAUCUAUCCAUGUGUGUGUUUCCGUGAGCCAUUCAUUGCUAUUGGUCUACUUGUUUCGCUUGCGAAUUUGUGAAUCUCUUUCAACAUUAUUGACUCUUGCUAACAUUUUGCAUCAAAUUUUUGUGCCACUAUCCUCACCGAGCUCCACCAUAAGCUUUACUUGUGUAGGUGUGAGAACCGACAAGGAUUGGUACCAAUAGUGCUAUUUCAUUGUCCGCAUUUGAGUGAACUUGAUUCAUCGUCAACAUCGGUGAAGGUACAUUGGUAUAAGUUCUUCUCUUUCUCCCACUCAUAUAUGCUCGAGUCUUGUGAUGGAUAGGCAAGGCAUUUCAUCUCCGAUCUACGACAACAAUGAUGGCAUGGACAACUACAUCAAAAAAGCAUCCAUCUUCGAUCUACAACGACAAAUGCAAGGCGCACAAUCAAGAUUGCGAGAGCGCAUCAAGACCAUCUCCAUCGACAUUUGUCACUCCGAAGCAAGGAAAAGGGACUACAUUGAUAAGAAGCUUUCCGCACAUAAAUAGGAGCAAGAUGCAAGGAUGGAGGAGAUUAGAGCCUUGAUCAAGUCUUCUUCCCCUUCGUCAUCUUCAAGGCGGCGACAUUCAAGCCACAAGUCUUUGGAGUGCGAAAAAGAUGCAAGUGCAAUUCGUCCACGUCCACAUCUUCAUGAUGACCACCGUCACAAUCGUGAUCCACAUCGUCAUGAAGGGCAAGUCACCUCCAAGAAACAUGUGCAUGACGACAACGAACGCCUACGAGCUCAAGCACGACAACGACAUCAUCAUCAUGAAGAUGCUCCACCAGCGCAAAUGCACAAGUCCCAACAAGACCUACUUCACGCCAAGUCAACGCUUCAUGAGCACAAAAGAGACCGCGAGAAGACCACCACCAAGACGGUGCUACAGCUACAACAACCACUUCGGCAUCUUCGCCAAGUGCUAUCAAGGCUUCUUCGCCUUUGGACGUACGACAUCUUCGCCUACUUCCCAUGAGUACGCCUACAACGACUUCAUCAAGUCCAAGGCGACCACCUACGAGCGAGGGCGACACUUCCAUCUUCGGAAGCCCCUCAAGGAAGAUGGCCGAGCAUGGGAAACUCCUUUCGGUCAUGGAGACGAGCUACGAGGUGCCACAUCAUAUGGGCCUCCAACAACAAGACAGCGACAAGAAGGUCGAGCAAGGGCCAUCCCCUUCGACCACGGCGAUAGGAGUUGAGCAUGGAGACAUUUGCACCAACAUCUCUCUGACACCCACAUAUGUUGAGAUGCCCCAUUUAUCAUGUGAGGAGAUCCACCACCACAUGAGUGACAUGAGUGACUCCACCAUAUGUGACAUUGAGAGCAUUCCCUAUGAGAGGAUGAGUGUGACCACCACUAGCCCCACAUAUGAGAGCAUGCCACACAUCCUAUGUGUGGUUGAGAGCCAUUUGAGUGAUUCCACCAACCAUAUGAGUGAGUGCAUUAUUGAGGGAGUGAGUGAGCCACAACACGUAGUGAGUGAGGUAGUUGAGACGGCAUGUGAGGCCACUAUGAUUUCUAACGACUUAACCUCUACUCCUAGUGUGUUUUCUACUUUGGUGAUAGGUCUCCUACAUGACGACAUGCCUAUCCUCGACGACUCCAUACCUCCAAUGGACAAACCGAUGGCGAUGGUGGACGAUGAUGCACCCCCACAUGGUUCCAUCAAGAUGUAGAUGACAACGAGUGGAUCUUCAACACCUCACCGACAACACAUGAGCGAUGCACCAAAGGUAACAUAGGUGAUGGUACUUCUCUUGUCCCACUAGUGGACUAUCUUGACAUCGAUUGCUCCCAUGAUGUUGACACACCUAUUGCCAUGCUUCAUGCUAAUGAGACUUCUUCAUGCCUUGACUUACCUAUUUAUGAUGAAUAUGAUGAUGAGCAUGUUGAGUUGCCUAGUUGUGAUGCUAUGCUCCAUAGGAUAUCAUGUGAAAAUUCUUUUGGUCACAUCAUGUUUGACAAUCCAUUGAACUUGUCAUAUGCUAUGAGUGAGAUCUCCCAUAUUGCAUCAUUUAAAUCUCAACAUAGUAACUAUGCAUGCCCCAUUAAAACAAAUCCCAUUUGCACUUAUGGCAUAGAUGACGAGAUGAUGGUCAGUGGCUUUUGUUUUUCAUGUGAUGAUAUUGCCAUGCUUCCUUUACAUGAUUUGCGCAAUUCAUCUACUAUGCCAUGCCAUGAUCACAUUGCACCAAAUAUGCUUUAUUUUGGAUGUUGUCAAUAUUCUCCAUGUGAUGUUGCUACUCAUGCUCAUGAGGAGACCCCCGUAGUUUCCUCAUACAUAUUAGGAGAUUUUGUUGCAUUCCAUACUUUGUAUGAUUCCCAUGAUAGUGUACACCAUAUGCAUUCCAUGAAUAACAAUGCUCUAGAUAUUUCUCAUGAUGCAUUACAUCCUUUGAGUCUCCAUUAUGACAUACAUAAUAACAAACCUCUCAUGAUGGAUGACAUGUUUCUAUAUCACGCAUCUCAUUUAUUUGAGCAUUGGAUAUUUUGUGCUAACCGACACAUGCCCGUGCGCAUCAUGACGGAUGAUGUGUACAUAUACCAUGCACACACAAUUUUCUCUUUGUCUUUGUUUUGUGUAGGUACUCAUGUAUACUCGUCAACCUCUCAAUCCCAAGAGUUGACAAAACGAGCUCUUGAGAGCAACGAUGCUUUGGGAUCCCGUGGACUAUCCUUACUACCAUUCCCUUCGCGCAAGGACUACGCACAUCUCUUUUACUUGGCUCUCACACGGCUAUGGGCUAUUUACCACUUGUCACCUUAUGCCCAUACUAUCGUGUUCACUUUGCAUGUUAUGCCUCUUUACAUGAUUUUGCCAUGCAACCGUGACCCUUGCUUGCAUAUACCCAUGAUUCACCAUUAUGCUACUUCCAUGUGCAUUUGCAUGCUUGGUGGAGAUCCUUCUUGAUAUUGCCAUGUUUAUCAUGUGCCCCAUGCUAUUGAUGCUUGUUGUGUUGGGAGAGUCAUGAUGCCCCAUUGCUAUUUACAUAUGGCCUCUCGCCAAUACAUUCGUGCCAUUCUACUCAUACAUUGCUUUCAUGCUUGUGAUAUGUCAUGUGCAUUAUUUAUGCCCACUAUUUGCACACAUGACAUGCUUGCCAUUAUUCCCUCUAGUAUGUUGCAUCUUUGCACUACUAGCUUGCUUGACUUGAUCGCUAUGAUUGCUUGCUAUGUUGCAUCACCCAUGUUCCACUACUACUCGCUUUCUUGGGUUGAUGACAUAUAUUUUCAUGCCUCUCACAUGAUAUAUCUUGUUCAUUGUCUCUUGUUUCCAUUAGUUGCCUCUCUCAUAUCCACUUGUAUUGAGUGCAACCAUACUAUGCUUAUUGAUCUUGGAGACUUUGACAACUUACUUGUGAUGCAUGCUUGUUUGAUUGAGCCUCUUGUAUUUGGUUGUUCUUACAUCAUAUGGCUCCAUACUAUGAAAUGCUCCUUUGUCCUUUAUUAUGAUGAGCAUUAUGCAUACACUUGUUGGGUAUAUUACCACCCGAAUGAUAGGUUUUUCAUGUCCGCUAACCUCAUUUGUUUUUCCGAGUGUUUGUCAUGUUAUUUUGUUUUGAAGGAUCCACAAGGCAUUACCGUCAUGAGACAUAUUGGCUAUGUGAAGGCAUACAUGAUGUGCGACACCAACAUUUUCGACAUCCUCAUAAAGGUAAACUCCUUCCCUAUGAGCCAUCCUCAAAUACGCAUAUUGGAUGGGUCAUUCUUUCAUUGUUGUUUCCUUCUUGUUGUCUACAUGAUACAUCUCACGAACGGAGGAGCGACAUUGGAGAUUGGCUCUAUGGACCUUCAAAUUGAGGAGCACUCACACUUAUUGGAUGCACCUUCGAAACUCCACUCAUGCCUAGACAUCGAGCUUUGGUACACCAACACCUCCAUAUUUGUUGAUUGUGCUCAUACAUGUCAUGCUCGAUGGACAUAUCAUAGUCACCACAAGUUUGCACCCCAUGCAUGGAUUGACUCUCAUUAUGCUUGUCUUGUUGCAUCUAUUUCCAUGUCAUCCAUGAUAUAUGAGCUUGUGCACUUCCUUAGAAAAUUUGUUGUGAUCUACCUUGAUGGCAUAUUCAUACAUCAUGAUCAUAUUGCCCACCAUCAAUUGCAUGAUAACAUACAGACGUUGAGCAUCCAUUGCCAUAUUCAUGCUAUUGAUAAACCGUCUCACUAUGACAUCAUUUUGCACCGUGGUUGCAUUGAUCAUAUUUACAACACAUUUGUGUGCACAAUGAUAGCAUUUCCUCCCAUGAAUGCUUUACAUCUCAUUCUACAUCUUUUGGAUAAGCAUCUUGUGCCUUGCCAUGCACUAUCUUGCCGCAUGGACUCAUUCUUACAUGAUGGACAUUUUAUGUGCGCUAACCAUUGUAUUUCUGAGUGUCGCUUGUGCUUGCUCUUUUUGCAUGUCUAUCACCCUGGUGACACCUUGGACUACUUGGAUUGUGCCAUGUCUUCAACUUCGUCUAACUACAAGUCUGUCCACGACAACCGUUUCCAUGGUGAUGAGGAUUACGAUCCGAGGUCAGAUCUUUCCCAAGGGGGGGGGAGAUGAUGCGGAGCAUCCCACGCUCAUCCCCAUGUACACUCCGACUACUCCCCAAGCCCCAAGUGGACAUAUGACGAGACCUCGAGCUUACACCAUUGGACCUAAGGUGAACCCGUUCCUAAAUGCUUCCCCUUUCCACUUGUGCGAAACAUGGUUGCUACCUAAUGCAAAGACACUAUGUAUGCUCAGGAACCGAGGAGACAACCUUGGAGAUACUCGAAGCAUAGGACAAGUCCACACGGAAGUGGAUCAAUAAGUGCCUCAAGUGGAGUUGCCGCGGAGCUACAGCGGCCGGACAUCCGGCAGGAGCCCGGACAUCCGGCGCCACCAACCAGAAGAAGACCAGAGAGAGGCAGAAAUCGGGCGACUCUACAGCGGCCGGACAUCCGGCCGACCCCCGGACAUCCGGCGCCCCGCGAUGGGCCGGACAUCUGGCGCCUGCCUGGAAAUCCGGCGCAUGUUAUCCAGAGAGCAGAAGAAUCGGCCACUCCAGCCCGGACAUCCGACGUAUCGGGAAGGCCCGGACAUUCGGCCCCCCUGCCUGCGUGCAGCGCAUCUGGGUCGAGUCCCAUGUACCCCUUUCGCCCCUUAGACUAUAUAUACUUCCGCACCUCCUCCUAGUUAGGGUUAGCAUUGGUUUAGCUCAUAUUUUGUGUGAGAGCCUUGCUCAUCCACUUGGUUACUUCUCCUCGGAGCUCACGACCUCUUCGGAGAAGAUCCCCCAAGUCGAUUCAAGACCCCUUCAAGGGAAGACAAUCAAGACCUCCUCACGGAGAAGAACGACUACCUUUGUAUCUUUCCUUUGUUGAUUUUGAAUCUUGUGCUACCUCAUGUGUUCGGUGAUCUUGCCCUUGUGUGAUCGAUACUUGUCGGUUGAGUGAUUCUCUCGUUCCUCCCCAUGUUUUCCCCUUUGUGUUUUCCACGCGUUCUUCGUGUUUCCCCGUAGGAUCCACUCCAAACAUGAAAGAUUGGCCCCUAGGGUUCCGCUCUACAUCACAAGGCAUGUAAUAUACCGUUGAAAAGCUAUGGACGAGGAGCAACUUUUAUAUGUUGAAAUGUUUUUGAGAUUCCUUAUGGUUUUUAAGUUAAUUUUGAAAAUCGUGCAGCGGACGACGAGUGGCAGCGGCCGUUUUUUUUUUGAAAUUCUUACAAUCCGCUUGUCGGAGCGAUUCAAACGAUAUGUCGUUGGAAAGAUAUCGACGAGGCGCAACUUUUUCAUGUAGAACACUCUCUCUAAUUCUUUACGGUUUAAGAGGAAUUUUGAAUUUACCAAAAUGCGGACACUCUUUUUUUCGCGACAUCAAAAUCGACGAAUGAGCCGCAUCAGACGAAAAUUGCACUCCUUCAGACUAAAUACCGAACUGCAUUAGACGGGCAAGUGCACUGCAUCGUUUCUUUUGUGAGAUGAAAAUUUUCUCAGACGAAAUUGAACUGCUUCAGACUAAAUACCGCACUGCAUCAGACAGGCAAGUGCACUGCAUAGUUUCUUUUGUCGGAUGAAAAUUUUCUCAGACGAAAAUUGAACUGCUUCACACUAAAUACUGCACUGCAUCAGACGCGCAAGUGCACUGCAUCGUUUCUUCUAUCGGAUGAAAAUUUUCUCACACAAAAAAGUGGACCGCUCUUCACGUGUAAGUAAACCACAACACUAUUGAGAAGUGAACAGCAUUACUAUCAAGAAUGAGCUGCCUUAUCAUCUUUCUUUUAUGGAGCAAACCACCAAACCAUAUAUAAUGAGCUGCAUCAUUAGUCAACAUUUUUUUGUCACACAGUCCUUUUCUCUUCUUCAAUACUUACAACCAACCACAUAGUUUGGCAGAACCAGCUAUAUUGUGUUUCCAACAAUUGCAAACAGAAUUUGCCAGAGCAGCCAGACUACAUGGACGAGACUAGCUAACUUCUUUUAUCCAGGGCAGGAAAAGAGAAGUCUGGAGUGAACCACCAAGUUUAUUAUCGAACUUCAUUUUAUAAAACUUACAAAACAUAGCCCUGCAAAUUUACAUAAAACCCACUCAAAACUAAAUGAAAAAAGAAAUCAAAGGGAGCUGCAUCGUACACCGGUGGAGGACUGCUUUUGCCUGCACAAACAAUUUUGCCCGCUGACGGAUAUAACCUGAAUUUACAACAAAAAAAGUCAUAUGAUAUAACCUGAAUGCUGCACACACUUCUUGAAUCUUUUGCUCAUAAAAUCAUUUAACUAAUUGUCCAUGUAUUCAUGUUAAACCAAAUUCUGUGCACAAGUUCAGAGUAAGCUCAAAAUGCACUGCUCAAACACCAAAUCUCUUGCCUGUCAUAAGCUGCAUGCUGCUGUGAGGAGGAAUCGAGAUGGGAAAGGAAAUACAGGGCACCUGGUCGCCGGGUGGCCGCCAUGCCACCGAGCAGCAGAGGGAGCCGUCGUACACCAAGAAGCAGCAUGAGCCGCCCGGGUGCAGAGGGUAGCGGGCAGCAGCAGGAACUGCCGGGCCUCCGACCAGCAGCAGUAGCCGUCGGGGUGCUGAGCUGCAGUGCCGCUUCGUGUUCCUAGCUGCAUCAGUGCCUCAGUAAGAAUAUUGUAGAUCGUAAAUAGCCCUGCAAAUUUACAAACUGCUUUUGCCCGCACAAACAAUUUUGUGCGCCGACGGACUGCACCGACAAUCGAGACGACCUGCAUCGGGGAGCGACUUGUACUGCAUCAGUGAAGAGCAACACGAGAGGAGCAUAGGUGAAAGAGAGACGGGGCUAUUGUGCAUGCCGGCGUCACUGAACUGCAGGAGGCGUCAAUGUGCACACGACACUAGAGGUUGCAAUGUACUGCACCAAGAGAGAAAAAAGGAUGAACACAAGGUUUGGAAUCCACUCACGAAUCCCGAGGACGCCCGCCUCACAGCACAAAAGUGUACUGCACGGGAGUCGACGAUGGUCGCGUGUGCCUGCUGUGUGGACUGCUCCAGCGGAGCGACAAAAGCUCCCAGAGAGGAAGACCCAGCCGACCUACAUUAGGGAGCAGCCUGGACUGCUUGCCGUCAGUGGAGAAUCGCAAGGAGAGGAGCAUAGGACCGGGGAGGAAAAGGAGGAGGCUAGGGCGUCCCCUCGAUUGAGGCAACACGGAGUCAGGGAGCCUGGAGCUGCAAUCCCGUCAUUCACCAACUACACAGUCUCGCUGGCCAAACUGCACGGGGUCGAAGUAGUGAGAAUGAAGGGAGCCUGGGCGCGUCGGAUUUGGCCGAGAGGUGGAAGCAGCAGUCGUCAGGGUCGCCGUCGAUGGAUCCAUGGCGCGCCGAUGGAUCCGAGGAGGGGACGAGGUAGGGAGGCGGAGGUGGAGGUCGGUCCUCGAAUCCUGUCGCUUGGCGGCGUGGCGGGGCAAGNNNNNNNNNNNNNNNNNNNNNNNNNNNNNNNNNNNNNNNNNNNNNNNNNNNNNNNNNNNNNNNNNNNNNNNNNNNNNNNNNNNNNNNNNNNNNNNNNNNNNNNNNNNNNNNNNNNNNNNNNNNNNNNNNNNNNNNNNNNNNNNNNNNNNNNNNNNNNNNNNNNNNNNNNNNNNNNNNNNNNNNNNNNNNNNNNNNNNNNNNNNNNNNNNNNNNNNNNNNNNNNNNNNNNNNNNNNNNUGUCGCCUGGCAAAGUUGUAGCCGCGGCGGGGUGGGGAGGCGUUGUGGCACGGAGCUGGGGCUGGGGCCGUCGACGUCGGCAGUGGGGGGGAGGCCCAGGUGAGGAUCUGUGCGGCAGUGAGGAAGUGGAUCGGGGCGUGGCCGGGAUGGCGAAGGCGGGGUGGCGUCGCGGUGACUAGUAGUGGAUGGAGGAGGGGAGGUGGGAGGAGCCGGUGGUGGAGGGAGAGAUCCUGCCUUUUUUUUUGAGGUUGUUCGUGUCGGGCUAUCUCGGUGCCGGUGUUAGCAGAAUAAGGUUUUUGUGUGCAGAAUAAGAGUCUUAAGGGUGUUAGCAGAAUAUAUAUAUAUAUAGGACAAUUUUUUCCUACUGCCAGGUGUAGUUACUACAACUUUUGUUUAUACGUUCUAGGUAGUAUCUAUCAUAUCGGAGAGUAUGUACGCAUAGUAUGUAGUAUAUAAGAAUGUUUAGGUAGUAUAUAUACUACUUUGUUGGUAGUAUGUAUCAUAUAUUUUGCAUACUCUAUUUCGCGUAUAAAUAUGUAUGUAUUUCAGAAAUACAAUAAAACUAUGAGCUCACUUGCAAUUUUUUCAUAUAACUCACUUUGGAGUAUCUUAUAUAUAGUAUAUUAACAUAUUAAAAAUAAUAAAAUAGAGUUUAUACUACCACAUGGUAGUAUAUGAGAAAUGGGUGUAGCUACAUUCGGUAGUAGGAUGCAUUUUCCCUAUAUAUAUAUAUAUAUAUAUAUAUAUAUAAUUUAUAUAAAAUAAAAACACACGCGGUUUCAACCAUGUACAAACUACAAAGCAGACGCUACACAAGACAGAAAAGUCGCCUUUUAUACAAAUUAUCUACCUUAGAUAACACACAGUACACACCAUAAACCUAGCUCUUGUCCAAACGCAGGGCUUUAACCAGAAUAUCCCAAUGACUGUUACUGCGUACACGGCUGCGACUGCGACAGGGAAGUAAGCCCAAGGCUUGCAAUCAGAUCUUGUAGCUCAAGUGGCAUGUCUUCAUAAUACAACAUGUUCAAUGGAUUGAACAGCGGCUAGAAAAUGUAUGCCGCCUUCCAAUCUUAAACAAUAGGCUGAAAAAAAUAAAAAAUGCAGAUAAGUGAUUAAAAAGGUUGUGAUAAGAACAACAAAAAGUGAAAACAUUAAAAAACAGUAACAACAAGGACAAACAGAGAAACUAUUACAUCAGAUUUCACCAUUCUAUCGACUAGAUGCAUGUCGUCAUACAACUGCGUCAACCUCAGAACAUAGAUUCCGCACUCGUUUGGCCCCUGCUUUGGCACGGCCGGGCAAUAGGGCUUCUCUGCCAAUUUAACCCAGUCAGGUGAUUCUUAGAGGUAUACAACUUUUCACCAUAAAUCCUCUUCAACAGCUAAGUCAUCCUGCUCAUGUGGCAAAAGGGGGAAAAGCAACACAAAGUAAAAAACACACGUCACAGACCAAUAACCAUCAAACGAUGCAAAUACAAGUUCUUCACAACGUCUAGAUAAUCCCUCUUUUAAUGCAUGUGAGGUCAUUUCGUUUUAUCACUCUCUUUACCCAGGUUUGGCGGUGGGAGAAAUGUAGUUCUGUGCCACAGAUGUUGCAGUAUUAAGAAGUGUGGUCCUAUGUGUACUAAUAAUGUAGUCACUGUGCAGUUUAAAAAUAUAUGCAGUAGGAGAAAUACAAAGCUUUGCAGUUGGCUAAAAACAUGAUAUAUCACUUCAGUGCAAUAAGAGUGGAAGUCGCUCCUGUGCCACUUUGUCGUGUAAUCAGCAUGGCCAGUGUACCUCCUGGUGUCAUGGAUAUCAAUGCUCUCGUGAUGCCAGUUCAUCGUGUAUAGGGCAUAAUGUUUAUGCUUGGAGCGGGGCAUCAAAAUUUGUCGCAUAAAGAAACAAAUGAAAUGAAGUUCAUUCGACACAUAGCAUUAGGACCACUGCUUUAAAUAACUACAAAAAGAAAAUGCAAAAAAGAAAAAAAGAAAUGAUGGAAACAAUGGCCUUACUAGUUUUGCGUCCAACAGGUUUUCAUCGCCAACAGAAACCUUGAACCGCUUAACCGCAUCUUCUAAAACAAAUGGGCUAUGCACAACUGGCAACACAGGGUAUCCUUCAUCAUUUCUCCACACAAUGACUUCGAUUUGAAGAACUUACUGCAUAGAAAAAGAACAAAUGGGACAUGAAGAAAGAAUAAAGAUGCAUGUAUGCAUGGACAUAAAAAAUUCAUAACAAGAGGAAAAAAUGCACCAAAGCAAAAAAUACAUGACAACAGACACAUUUACCGUGAUAAAUAAAGGUGAAAGUAGCACACGUUCCCCAGAAUGACAAACUAAACUCAUUUCAGGAUCUUGCUUCCAGUACUUAAUGAUAUGAUCCAUGAGAUACGAGUCUAUGCAAGCUCCUUUGCCAAAUGUAUUAUAGAUAUAGUCAACUUUGACUAUUUGGACAUCACCAAAAGCAUUAUUCACCCUCAAGAAUGCGUUGCUGCAGUAAAGAUACACAAAUGGGAUCAGAAUAAAGAUUGAAACAAAACACACAAAAAGGAUCAAGGACAGACACAUAAACUUGUUGUAUUUGGUUAUAAAAUCUUGGCUGAGAACGAGAUCCUUUAUUUUCCUCACCUCAUCAAUAUAUUUGAACCUCGGAGGCCUCAAUUUCUCUAAAGUGUCUGUCAACUUAAAAGCCCUCUCACCUGCCCUCUUGUUAGAAAAUACUUGAGCCUCAUCAACGGGGGACGAUUGAUUGCUGCACUCCUAGUCCUAGUGACGCGUGGCACUGGCGUAAUAGAAUCAUCAUCAACAUCAACUACCUCAUGUAGAGCCAGGUCGAGCGACCUUUCCACCAUCAGGUCCAGAUGCCACAUCCAUGUUCAAACCAUCUCCAGCCAAAGAACCAUAAUUCUCUAGAGAGAUUUCAAUGGCACAAUCCUCCGUAACUACCUCUGAACCCUGGGACUCUAAACAGUGAUAUACAAUCUCCAUGAAGACCCCCAUCAAAACCUGAUAACGAGGAGAAAAAACAUGGGAGCACUCAGCCCAAAUACAAAACCAAAAACAUUAAAUGCAGCCCACUAAAAUAAAAAAAUGCAGUUCACUAAAGAACAGAGUGCAUCCCACUUGACUAGAACAAUGUAGCCACUUGCAUAAAACAAUGCAGCUUACUUGCACCGAAUAAUGCAACUCACUGGUCUACAACAAUGAAGCUCACUUACACAACAAUACGUAGCCCUCCACUGUCAAACACACAUUUCACUAGCACACUAAUAAAAUAAAACAUUAAGAAGCGGAAGCAGGCAGUAGACAAAAAUAAAUAAGGCAAAUAAAGCACUUCAUUAACACAACCUUUAUCUGCAAAUAUUAAAAGUGAUGAUAACUCAAGGGAACACUUUGUCGAUGUGAGCCAUCUAUGUAGCAUCGCCUUUCUGAUGUAGCCAAUGUGCUCCACCCCAAACCGAGCAACUCAAACACCAUCCCAAGUUUGCAAGAAUUGAAACACAUAGGUUCCACAAUCAUGCCUGUGAAAAAAGAACCAAAACAUCAGUUUCACAUAAAUAUAAAAGAACAGUUGAGGAGUAUGGUCGAGAGGGGCUACAAGGAACAUACCCAUUUUGUUGAAUUGGGACAACCACAUGUUUCAACGCAAAGCCAUCAAGUGUAGGAGGAUUUAGUGGCUCAUCUGAACUUGAGCUACCUUCUUUCCAUGCAUGCUUGAUAUUUUUAACCAUCCCCCUAAAAACCCUGUUUGCUUUAGAGUUGCCAGGUUUACUGAGCGAGUCAAGAAACUCAAACCGCAUUUCCUUCACAUUCAAGGCAACUACACAAUAAUGGCCAACGCCAUCCCUCGUGUCUGGUGGAUAAGCAAAUAGGACCCAUUGGAAGUAAACGUAAAUAAAAGUAUUACGAGAACAAGAAACAAAACACUGUAAAACCAACACAGAAAAAUGGUUUUAGACACAUAAAACAUUACUUAUCAUAUCUAUUUUAUCGACACAUUCCUCAGCUUUUGAAGAGAACAUCAAUUUCACACCCCUGCCUACACUAGCACCAUUCCAAAUACUUGUCAGCCAAAACAAACCAAAACAAGAAACAGUGUUGAAGCAAACAUGUCAUCACACGAAAACAGAAAAGACAAUCAAAUAACAAAUGAAAAGAUUUGCAUGCUUACAAAAAUAUGGUACAGGACAAACAUCGUCGGAGAUCCCUUAAACUUAUCUACUAGCAAAGAAACCCCUAGAUCUACAAGGCCUGUAGUGAGCAUCCAUUUAUCCCAAAAAGAUUGACCAACUUCAUCAAUGGUAAUAUCGGCCAACUCAGUUUUAAAAGCAAUCAUGUCCCUGAAUAUUUUUGAAAAACUGAAACAUAAGAUACUACAAAAAUAACAAGAACAAAAAGGGAAAAGACUCCGAUUAGAAAAUACAUGUUAACAAAACAAUUUAUAAAAAGCCAUACUUCACCUUUUUGUCCCUUAGAGCCCUAGUAAUAGCAGUGUACAACUCAUUGUAUGUUUUGAGAAGAGCUGGAUUAAUGCUCAACCGUGUCAGAACAAGAAGUUCGUCAUCUGCAAUCAAAAAAUAAGGAACAAAUAAAAUAUGAAGUUCACUUAUGUAAAAUAUGAAGUUCAAUUGUAAGAUAAGAAAAUGUGCUAGCUAGCAACUAUUUUGAAAAUCAUCAACAAAGAAGAAGUUCACUUAUCAUAAAAAAUCUGAUGCAGCUACCAUAGUAAUUAAAAAAUGAAUGAGAAAAACUUCAAUCACUGUUCAAAACUAAACACUUGCCUUCAGUGUUAGAGUCUUCAUGUUGUUUUUCUUCAGAGCUAACCAAAACAUUUUCUCGGCUAGGUUGCGACGAGACCAUGUGACGUCCCCGAUUUAAUUGUACACUAAUCAUACACAGAAAUGUGUACGAUCAAGAUUAGGGACUCACGGGAAGAUAUCACAACACAACUCUAGACACAAAUUAAAAUAAUACAAGCUUUAUAUUACAAGCCAGGGGCCUUGAGGGUUCGAAUACAUCAUCUCGAAUACAAACGAGUCAGGGAAGCAACAAUAUCUUAGUACAGACAUGAGUUAAACAAGUUUGCCUUAAGAAGGCUAGCACAAAAGCAACAUCGAUCGAGAAGGCAAGGCCUCCUGCUUGGGAGCCUCCUAUCUACUCCUGGUCGUCAGCGUCCGUCACGUGGUAGUAGGCACCCUCGGGGUAGUAGCAUCGUCAAAGGUGUCAUCUGGCUCCUGGACUUCGUCAUCUGGCUGUGUCAUCCGAGAAGAAUGGAAAAGGGGGGAAAGAGGAAGCAAAUCAACCGUGAGUAAUCAUCCAAAGUACUUGCAAGCAAGGAUCUACACUAAAUAUGCAUUGGUGUCAAUUGAAAUGGGUUGUAUCUGUGGACUGAACUGUAGAAUGCCAGAAGAUAAGGGGAAAAGCUAGUCCUAUCGAAGACUAGCAUCUUCUGGAAACCACCAUCUUGCAGCAACAUGAGGGAGUAGAGUAGUAUAACAUAAGUCAUAUUUAUGUUGUUGUAUCAACGCUCCGGGAUCCUUUCUCGACUCCCAAAGCAACCUAUCCAAAUCAUGCCUCGGCAUAUAGUUCUAGUUGUAUCGAUCGGGAUACAACUCCAAGUGUCCGUUACCGUAGGACAGGCUAUCGAUAGAUGUUUUCUUCCCUGCAGGGGUGCACCAACUUACCCACCACGCUCGAUUAACUCCGGCCGGAUACACUUUCCUGGGUCAUGCCCGGCCUCGGUCAAACAAUACGCUGCAACCCGACCUAGGCUUAAUAGAGAGGCCAAGCACGCCGGACUAAACAUAUGCCCCCAGGGGUCAUGGGCCAUCGCCCCGGGAACUCCUGCACGUUGCGAACGCGGCCGGUGAGCAGACCUAGCUACCUCCUUCAAAAAGGCAGGUGCUUACCAGUCCAACCCGGCGUGCACCACUAAGUCGCUGACAUCUAUUAAGCUUCGCCUGAUGCAUACGACGCAGAACACCCAUACUAUGCCCACGUGAUGGUUAGUGCUAUCAGGCCAGGGGCCCCUCGGAUCAAAUAUCCAAAUCAUAGUGGAUUAGGAAUGCGCGGUAACAAGGAAAGACUCAUGAAAGAUGUGACCCCGUUGCCCCGUCUCGAGGACUUGCGAUAAGGGCUAGGAAUGCCCGACCACACCUCAUAAUUAUCUUGCAGGCACCCUCCAGGUCAAGCCGUCUCCACAUCACUCGCGGGUACCCCUUAGGGUCGACCUGGCUUUUCAAGUAACAGUUGUAAUGUCCAAGUAUCCGUGUAUCCAAACAUCAAGGGGAAACCCCGAGGAAUCACCCCCGGUGAAUUCCACUCGAUGUAAUCAUCAAGGUGAACGUAAGAGGGACCACCCUCGAGGCACACACUUGAGGGGUUUUAUGACAGAGUCGUAUCGGAAGUGGUUAAAGAGGAAAUCACCCUCGAUGACCACGACCAAAUAGCUACACUACAGGGUUAACAUCAGAAGUGCUGAUGAGGCCUCACCCUCGGCACUCGAUAGUAACCCAGUAGUGUCAAGCAACUAAGGGGAACUGAUGUGCGGUGUUGGGGCCUGGUCUUUGAUCCCGUUGAUCGGGUCUUCGAUGAUGAAGCAGGGGCAACUAGGACAAGGUGGGGGGUCACUGAUGGAUCACUAACCAACCUAUACUAAGCAGUUUAGGAUAAGCAGGUAAGUAACAAUAAGCAUGUUACAAAAGCAGGCUAUGCAUCAGCAUAGGAGCAAACAAUAACAGUAGCAAAAUCUAAUGCAAGCAUGAGAGAAUGGAAUGGGCGAUAUCGAGAUGAUCAAAGGGGGGGGGCUUGCGUGGAAGCUCCGCCUAAAGGGAAGAAGUGUCAUCGUCGACGUAGUCGAUCACAGGGGCGGCAUCGGUCUCGGGGUCUACCGGAGAGAAGAGGGGGAAGAAACAGUAAAUACAGAGCAAACAAGGCAUCACAUGGAAAUACACAGAGCUAGGAGUGUUCUAAUGUAGUGCUGCACGAUACAGGUGAAGGGGGAAUUCAACCGGGAAUGUAUUCCCGGUUCCGGACCUGUGUCAGACAGAGGACCGGAGGGGGAAUGUUCCAUGUUCAAGUAGUUAGAGGCAUCUGACAGGUAAACGGACCGUGUAUUCGGAUUAGUCUCGUUUUUCUAAGUAACUUUCAUGUAGAAAACAUUUUCAUCCGAGUUACGGUUUAUUUUCUAUGAUUAUUCAAAGAUUGAAGGAUUUUCAGAAACUAUUUAAACUAACAAAAAUGGAAUUAUGACGUCAGCAGAGUGUCAGCAUGACAUCAGCAGGUCAACAGAUCAGCUGACCAGGUCAAACCUGACAUGUGGGUCCAGCAGGACCCACAUGUCAGCCUCUAUUAGAAAAACAGUGGAUUAAACUAAUCUUGUAGGAUUAAUUAGGGGUGUGGGCCCCGGGUGUUAGUGAGUGUUUAGGUUAAUCUAAUUAGUCUUAUUUAUAAAACGUUUAUUAGACUAAUUAACAGAAGGGGCCCACAUGUCAGUGACUGGGGGCUGCAUAGUAAACACAGUUGACCGGUCAACAGGCCGGCCGGGCCCCUGGGGCCCAUGGGUCAGAGAACCAGUGGGGUGGCCCCGGGCCGACGACGUCAGCGUGGGCAUCGACGUUUAACCGCCGGUGGCUAUAGCCACGGCGGAGGGUCGGGCGCGCGUCGGAAUCCAUCUAGGGGCGGCCGUUUCGUGAGCGGUUGGCACCAUUUGAACGCGUGGACGACGCCGAGUCGGGUGGUGGUGGUGGCUCACCCGAGGACGGCCGGAGAUGGCGCCGGCGUGGAGCACGGGCGGAGGUGGCCUUCUACGCUCGGCGGAGAUGGUGCUUGAGGACACGGUUCUUCGUGCGGAGUGGCUCUACGGGCGGCAGGUGCUCGCGCGCAUCCAUUGCCGCAGUCGGCAGUAGGCGGGAGGCGACGAGCUCGUCGGAGAAGAGCUCAUGGCAGCGGUCGGAUCACUAGCCCGUCGAGGACGGCGCCAGGAGGAGUGGGAGGGGUAGCGAGCGCGUGCAGCGAGUGCAGGCGGAGGUGCUGAGCAUGACGGGGUGGUCGGCGGCGAGCUCAGCGAGACGUGUCCAUGGCGGCGAGCACCACCGUGGCGACGAUCUCAGACAUGACGAUGGGAGCAGCUACAGGGGAAGAAGAGAAGCGUGAGGAGAGGGGAAAGACGCGUUGGCUCACCGGGAGCCAUAGGGAGGUGGUAGUGUGCUCGGGGAGGCGUGGAGUGUCCGGAAUUGACGGUGACAGACAGCGGCGAUCCGAGGAAGGAGAAGAAGAUGGCGGCGGCAUAGAGGCUUCCCGGCUCGUUCCGUUCGGUGUAGUCGAUGUAGUCGAUGUCGGGUAGGCGUUCAAGCACGUCGACGAGGCGAACAGGAGGCGGUGGCCGCGGAAUCAACGCAGCGAGGGCGGCGAGCCUGCUCGGAGGAGCUCGGGCAGAGGGGAAGAAAGAGCGAGGGAGUGGGAUGGCGAGGGGGGUCUGGGGGAGAGGGAGAGGCGGAGCGGGCGAGGGGAAGUGGGAGUGGCAGUGGAGGAGGGGACCAAGGCAUCGGGAGGCUUAUCCACCUCAACAACGGCGAGCGGGUGCGGUGGGGGCGCGCUCGGCGCGUGCACGGGGUCGAUGGAACAAUAGGGAGGGUAGAGCGACCGGGGAGGGGGCAUGGGCCGGCCUGCUAGGCCAGCUGGCUCGGGUGUCCGAAGCCCAAGUGGGGCAGGGGCUUUCUCUCCCACUCACGUCUUUUUUUUCUUUUAAUUUUUCUUUUGAAAACUUUUCUGUUUUCAUUUAACAAUAGCCUUUUACAUUUUCUUUUGCAAUAAUUACCUUUUGCAAAAAUGUGCCACUGGUGAAAACAAAUACUAGGGGAAGUGGUGCACUGCCACCAUAAGCUUGGGAUUUAUUUGAAUCCAUUUGGAAUUUUCCUAAUUGGAAAGGCAUUUAAAAUGUUGUUUUGCACUGUAAUAAUUGCUUCUGUCCACCUUAGCAUUGUGGUGAAGUUGUUUUCCCUUAACAAUAAAUUGUUUUGGAAUAUUUUCUAAAUGAUGAACAUUUUUCCAGUAACUUUGUGCAACUUGAAAUUUUCAAUUUGAAUUUGAACUAGAUUCAGAGAAGGAAUUUGAAAUGAGAAAUUAAUCCAAUGUGAUUAAGCUUUGUAAAUCAAGAUGACUUGGCAUUGAUCAUAAGGGAUUGCUGUAGUGUGAUGCUGGGGACGCUACGAACCACCACAACCUCACUUGACCGCCCUACUGUAGCAACUGGAUUUUCAAUAGUCCGAUCAACCACCAAUGUCCUCAUAUAAUUCAACUACAUGAGGCUCCACUCUGAAUACAUAAGGAACAUCAUUGGACGCCAGACAAACAGGAAAACCAGCAACACUACCAGCAGGAACGACAUUCUCCAGUGGCUUUUCAGUGUCAAUAUCAGAAUCUUCAUGCCAACUAGGGGCAGCAACAUGGUGGGAUUCCUAAGCUACAUAAAGUUCUGCACUAUCAACGGCAACCGAUAUAGAAGCAUUCACAUUGUCACCACCAACAACAACACAAUCCCCCUGGUUCAUAUCAACACGAACAAUGCCAACCGAUUGACGAACUUCUACGUUUACAUCUCCAGGCUGCAAAAAGUUCUAGAAAGCCACAACAACACAAAAGAGCGAGGGGAGAAUUAACCCAACAACACACAGUUCACUUAUGUCAAAGACUGUAGCCCACAUAUGCAAAAGAACUGCAAUUCACUUAUGUAAGAAGACUGCAACCCACAAAUGUAAAACAACUGCAGUUCACUUAUGUAAAAGACUACAACCCACAUAUGCAAAAAGAACUGCAGUUCACUUAUGUAAAAAGACUGAAGGUCACACAUGUAAAGCUAUGCUGCUCACAUAUGUAAAAAGACUACAACCCACAUAUGCAAAAAGAACCGCAGUUCACUUCUGUCAAGGACUGAAGCUCACACAUGUAAAACUGUGCAGCUCAGAUAUGUAAAAGAAAUGCAUAUGAGUGAACAGAACAGUGUACGUCAAGCUUAUAACAACAACAAAAAAUUAGAUUACAACCCACUAACAGAAAAAGUAACUACACCAAACCUUAUCAGCUACGGCAUCCAGAGGGGAUGACGCAUCAGCCAAGUCAACAUCCUUCUCAGAGCCGUCGUAGGGAUCUUUGUGCACAUCACAAGCAGCAACUCCAGUCUACGGGCAUAGAACAAAGCAAAACGAAAUAAGAUGGUAACGACCAAAAAAGGAAAAAAAAACUUCAACCAUGCACAAGCAGUACACAUUUUAUAAUCGUGAGGUACACAGAAAAUAAAAUAAAAUGGAAAGAAAAAAUGCAGGUUCAAGAAGAGAAGCACAUGGCAGAACAGGCAUGGGAGAAGUACUUAUACCUAACCAAUUCCAGCGUCUCUAGAUCCGUGAACACCAGAAGAUUCGACUCUAGCCUAUGACAAAAAACAAAGAGUGAGGAGCAGUUCACGUAAUACAUGAAAGAGGUUCAAAAGGACAAAAAGCGGACAAUGUACAUUAUCAGCACUGGCGCUAGCGUCCCAUCGGUUCAUUUCAUCCAAAAUGUGCUCCGCAUCCUUCUCAUACCGAGCGCAUUUCUCUUCGUGUGAAUGUUUCAACUGAGCAUGCGAAGACCGAAUAUUCAUCACUACAAUCUUCAAGCUUUCAACCAUGCCAGAAUCAAAAUUGUGAGCAGCAACAAUAUCUUCUUCUUGGGGGCCAUGGCUACCGGGGAAAAACCAGCAAGUAUCCUCAACCCGUCACCAUAGGUUGGCAAAUCUUUAGUUAACUUCAAAACCUUCAGAAGAAGCUCAUCAACCUCCUCGUGUUUUUGCCGCCAACAAAUGUCUGUUCAAAAAAGCUUCUAUUAUCAAACAUCUGACGAUCCAUGAAACCAUGAGUAGGCGGCGACACAUUAUCAUAAGCAGGAAGCUGGCUACAAGUAGGCUCAUAGAAUCUAGCAUGACUGCCAGGCCCUGCAUCAGAGCUGCCGCACAGUACUGCAUCAGGACGGAUGUACACAAUAUCGCCUCACGCCUUCCACUUCAAAAAAGAUAAAAAGGGGAAACAGGUACACAUGUGAAUACUAGAAAGUUUAGAUUUAUAAUAAAUGCAAUUUUUUUAAAAACCCUAUGAUCUUAAAAACUCUGAUGCACUAACCGGCAGCCUCCUGAAUUUGUAAGUGUCCAGAUAAAAUUUUCCCUUUACAAGCAUAUCCUCGUUGUAUAACUUGAUCAGGUCCUUGUUCGUCAGGAAUGAUGCGCGUGGCAUCACUGUGUGCAUAAAUGAAAAUUUGCGAAGCUUCAAGCAAUCAAGAUACAUAAUCAGGGGGACAAUGGCACAACCCUCUACACUAUUCUGCUUGCUGCCUUCUAUCUGCCACUUCACCAUAGCUGCCUGCAGCUCUUCAACAACAAACUGACAAUAGUCCAUCUAUGCCAUAGCCGCAUAAUCUAUGUUCUCAACCAUGGCAGCAACCCUGCCCAAAUGAACUACAGGCCCGAGACACAACAAAUUCUGAUAAAGUAUCAGGAAGAAUACCUUGACGACAAGAUCAACCGUCAUAGGAUCAUCACCCUGCACCAACACCGCCUGCUUUUGAACCAAGUGCUUGACACAUAUACUUCAUGAAGGUUCAAAGCCAAGCUCAUCCUUGAGGGCAGAUAAUGAGCCAUCAUGGCCACUGGUAGCAGGCAUGGGUGUAGUGUGAGCUCCCAUAGGAAAAUCAAAAAUGUGAUGAACUGCAUCACGAUUGAUUCGAACAACUCUGCCAUUCCCAAAGUCCAUUGUCAUUGUGGCAGGGUCAAUCAAUCCCAUCGAAUUGCACAUAAGAAUGCGCAACACAUUUUUCUUUACUGUGAAGUCAAAGACAACACCAAAGCCAGCAACUUGAACACAAUUACAGUGUGCUUCUUUUAAUAAAGCAGCAGCUUUGUUCUACUUCUUGAGCUUGCGUUGGUUUUUCCCUUGAAGAGGAAAGGGUCAUGCAGCAAAGUAGAGAUAAAUAUUUCCCUCUAUCAUAGAACCAAGAUAUGAAUCCAGUACAAGGUCAAGCUAGUCCCCAAUCAAUGCACUUGCACAAAUAAUCAAACACUUGCACCCAACGCGAUAACGGGGUUGUCAAUCCCUUCACAGUCAAUUGCAAAGGUGAGAUCUGAUAUAGAUAGGUAAAACUAAAAUGUAACUAUUUUUUUGCGUUUUUUUGGUUUAUAGAUCCGUAAAUAAAAGAUUGCAAAAUAGUAGAUCAGAAAGAAAAUAUGAUGGAAAAUACACCCAGGGGCCAUAGGUUUCACUAGACACUUCUCUCAUGAAGGCAAAUAAUAUGGUCGGUAAACAAAUUACUGUCAAGCAAUUGAUAGAAAAGUGCAAAGUUGUGAUGAUAUUGAAGGCAAUGAUUAUGCAUAUAGGCAUCAUGUCCGUGUCAACUAGACCGACUCCUGCCUGCAUCUACUACUAUUACUCCACACAUCGACCGCUAUCCAACAUGCAUCUAGAGUAUUAAGUUCAUAAAGAAUGAAGUAAUGCCUUAAGUAAGAUGACAUGAUGUAGAGGGAUAAACUCAAGCAAUAUGAUGAAAACCCAUCUUUUUAUCCUCGAUGGCAACAAUACAAUACGUGCCUCGCUACCUCUAGUUUUUCACUGGGUGAGGAGACCGCAAGAUUGAACCCAAAAUUAAGCAGUCUCCCAUUGCAAGAAAUACCAAUCUAAUUGGCCAAACCAAACCGAUAAUUCGAAGUGAAAUACAAAGAUAUGAAAUCAUGCAUAUAAGAAUUUAAAGAAAAUUCAAAUAAUAUUCGUAGAUAAUCUGAUCAUAAAUCCACAAUUCAUCGUAUCUUGACAAACACACCGUAAAACAAGAUUACAUCGGAUAGAUCUCCAAGAUCAUCGAGGAGAGCAGGGUAUUGAGAAUCAAAGAGAGACAAGAAGCCAUCUAGCUACUAGCUAUGGGCCCAUAGGUCUGAGGUAAACUACUCACACUUCAUCGGAAGGGUAAUAGGAUUGAUGUAGAAGCCCUCUAUGAUUGGAUCCCCCUCCGGCAGAGUACGAGAAAAGGCCUCCAGAUGGGAUCUCACGAGGUUAGACACCUGCAGUGGCGGAAAAGUAUUUUCGUGGAUGCUUCUGAGUGUUUUGGAAUAUAUUUGAAUUUAUAGGACAAAGUAGGUCGGUGGACUCCCGAGGAGACCACAAGAUAGGGGCGCGCCCCCCUAGGGCAUGCCCCCCACGGCUCGUCGUCGCCUCGUGGGUCUUCUGACUUCAUCUCCAAGUCUCGUAGGUGUCUUUUGGUCCAAUAAAAAUCAUCACGAAAGGAGAUUGCAAAAUAGUAGAUCGGAAAGAAAAUAUGAUGGAAAAUACACCCAGGGGCCAUAGGUUUCACUAGACGCUUCUCUCAUGAAGGCAAAUAAUACGGUGGGUGAACAAAUUACUGUCAAGCAAUUGAUAGAAAAGCGCAAAGUUGUGAUGAUAUCCAAGGCAAUGAUUAUGCAUAUAGGCAUCAUGUCCGUGUCAAGUAGACCAACUCCUGCCUGCAUCUACUACUAUUACUCCACACAUCGACUGCUAUCCAACAUGCAUCUAGAGUAUUAAGUUCGUAAAGAAUGAAGUAAUGCCUUAAGUAAGAUGACAUGAUGUAGAGGGAUAAACUCAAUCAAUAUGAUGAAAACCCAUCUUUUUAUCCUCGAUGGCAAUAAUACAAUACGUUCCUCACUAUCCCUACUUUGUCACUGGGUGAGGACACCGCAAGAUUGAACCCAAAACUAAGCAGUUUCCCAUUGCAAGAAAUAGCAAUCUAAUUGGCCAAACCAAACGGAUAAUUGGAAGAGAAAUACAAAGAUAUGAAAUCAUGCAUAUAAGAAUUCAGAGAAAAUUCAAAUAAUAUUCGUAGAUAAUAUGAUCAUAAAUCCACAAUUCCUCAGAUCUCGACAAACACACCGCAAAAGAAGAUUACAUCGGAUAGAUCUCCAAGAUCAUCGAGGAGAGCAUGGUAUUGAUAAUCAAAGAGAGAGAAGAAGCCAUCUAGCUACUAGCUAUGGACCCAUAGGUCUGAGGUAAACUACUCACACUUCAUUGGAAGAGUAAUAGGAUUGAUGUAGAAGCCCUCCGUGAUUGAAUUCCCCUCCGACAGAUUACCAGAAAAGGCCUCCAGAUGGGAUCACACAAGGUCAUAGACCUGCAGUGGUGGAAAAGUAUUUUUGUGGAUGCUUCUAAGGGUUUUGGAAUAUAUGUGAAUUUAUAGGACAAAGAAGUAGGUCGGUGGACUCCCGAGGGGACCACAAGCUAGGGGCGCUCCCCUAGGGCGUGCCCCCACGGCUUGUCGUCGCCUCGUGGGUCUUCUGACUUCAUCUCCAAGUCUCGUAGGUGUCUUUUGGUCCAAGAAAAAUCAUCGGGAAAGUUUUAUUCCGUUUGGAAUCUGUUUGAUAUUCCUUUUUUGUGAAACUCAAAAACAAGGAAAAAACAGAAACUGCACUGGGCUCUAGGUUAAUAAGUUAGUCCUAAAAAUAAUAUAAAGUAGCAUAUUAAUGCAUGUAAACAUCCAAAACGGAUAAUAUAAUAGCAUGGAACAAUAAAUAAUUAUAUAUACGUUGGCGACGUAUCAAGCAUCCCCAAGCUUAAUUCUUGCUCGUCCUCGAGUAGGUAAAUGAUAAAAACAGAAUUUUUGAUGUGGAAUGCUACCUAACAUAUUUAUCCAUGCAAUCUCUUUUAGCUGACAUGAAAAUUCAGAAUCGUAUGAUUCAAAAGAAAAGUUCAUUGACACAAAAACAAUAAUACUUCAAGCAUACUAAAAGCAAAUCAUUAAGCUUCAAAAAUAACAUGGCUAAAGAAAGUUAUCCCUACAAUAUGAUAUAUUCUUGUUAUGCUCCCUCUUCUCAGCACAAAGUAUAAAUCAUGCCCACCCUGGUGUCAGCCAAGCAAUUAUUUCAUACUUUUUAAUGCGCUUCAGCCUUUUCAGCUCUUCACGCAAUACAUGAGCAUGAGCCAUGGACAUAGCACUAUGGGUGGAGUAGAAGGUGGUAGUAGACAAAAUAAGGGAGAAAGUCUCACAUCAACUAGGAAAAUCAAUGGACUAUGGAGAUGUCCAUCAAUUGAUAUCAAUGUGAGUGUGUAGGGAUUGCCAUGUAACGGAUGGACUAGAUCUAUAAGUGUAUGAAACACUACAAAAAAAUACACUUCUGUGAUGAUACGUGUUUGUCACAGUAGGUCGCGUUUUUUGUCAUGCAUGUCCAUCCAUGACAAAUUUAUGACAGAAUCAAGAUAGUCAUACCUGUGCUGUCGUAGAAGUGUUCCAUGACAUUACCAAAAUUAUCAUCACGGAAGUGUCCACUUCCAUGACGAUAAAUCGCGCGUCACAGAACUGCUUUCGUCCAGGGUGACCGACACGUGGCAUCCACCGUAAGGGAACGUCGUUAAGCUAUCGGGUCGGGUUUUGGAUCCGAUAACCCGUUAACAGCCCCGACCAAUGGGGAUUUUCCAUGUGUAAAAUCAUCAUUGGCUGGAGCAAACACGUGUCGGCUCAUCGUUGGGAAAGAUGUCAUCCGCUCAUUGGACCGAAGGCGCCUAUGAUACGGCGACACGUGGCAUGGCCCAAUAGAGGCCCAUUCCGGUGAAAAGGCCAGCCCAUUUGAAUUGGUCAAAAGGUGGCGGGCCGGCCCAUGGAAAGCCUGUUAACGGCCUGUUCGCUUAUAGUCCAUUUACAGCCCGUUAACCGAGGGCCCGUUAUACCCUAUCCGAAUUAGGCCCAGUAGCGUCAUCUGGGCCAUCCAAUAUGAUUCAACCUGUUUUAACUUCCAGCCCAUGUGUGACCCAUGACUUCUUUCGGCCCAUAUGAGGACCUUUGUAACUCUUGGCCCAUUAACGGCCCGUGCUGAAACUGGCCCGUAAUGAACAGUGUAUCACUUUAUACCCAUUAACAGCCCGUUAUUCCAUCGGGCCGUUUCUAGCCCAAGUUAUCUUUCGGCCUUCUCAGGGCCCAUUGAUUCUUGGGCUCAUUUGCAGCAUUCGGUUACAUACGACCCGUUACUAUCAUUUUCUGCUUGUGGGCCAAAUUCAGCCUGUCGUUACAGUCAGCCCGUUUGCGGACCGUUAAUACGUUGGGCCGUUUUCAUGUCAAAAAAACCAUUGGGCUGUUUUCAUAGAGUUAUCAAAUACGGCCUAUUAACGGCCCAUUAUGGUCCACGAAUAGUACGGCCCGUGAUUGGCGAAAUGAUGAUACGCCCCGUGGAAGGCCCAUGGAUCCUACGGCCCGUAUGAGGCCCAUGGAUAGUACAGCCCGUAGAAGGCCCAUGGACCCUACGGCCUGUAGAAGGCCCAUUGAUCCCUAAGGCCCGUAUAGAAGGCCGAUGGAUCCUACGGCUCGUAUAGAAGGCCAAUGGUCCUACGGCCGAACGAAGGCCCAUGGAUCAUAUGGCCUGCAGGAGGCCCAUGGUUACAACAGUCCGUGUGUUGCCAUGAUUAUUUUGGCCUAGUUACAAAAAAUAGGCAAUUGUGGCCACUAGAAAAACACAGAAAAAGAACUGCAGUGACUACAAGAAAACAACUAAACAAGACAAUAAGGAAAUAAAUAAGCAAGCAAUUAAGGCUAGCCUAUUACCGCUAUUACACAUACUACAUCCACUGGGCAUCAAAGUUCGCCACCAGUGCAAAUAUAGGGAACAAAGCAGCAUAUUACAUACACUUGGCCAUCAAAAAUGGCCACCAGUGCAAAUAAACGCGAUAGCAAAACAAGAGCAUAACUGAAACAACUUCAGAAGAGCUCAAGAAACGUUAUCCUAGGCAUCCACCAUGCUGGCAAUAAGCUUAGCAAGUUGAUUAGCUUUGUCCUGUUUGGCGCUAAAAUCCUCCAACGCUUGCUGUUGCACCAGAAAGUAUGCAUCUGAAUGCUCCAGGGACUUCCGCAGUCCUUCCGCUUCUUGUCGCAGCACAGCUGAUCGAUGUCUUUCAACUUGUAGUUGAGACUCAAGAAACCGAACUGAUUCAGACAGUGAGUUUGAAUAGCUUGUGCAUGCGGUAGUGGCCAGUAACUCGAACACUAAACCAAGACAUGACUUUGGGGUUGUCUCGCUGUCUUCAAGAUAGUCUUCCGUAGCUGUUUUAUCAGCUUUGUUGGAGACCAACAAGGAUGUGUCACUAUCCUGAACCUUAUCUGCAUUACUUCCUUUACCAUUGCUUAAUAAGGCACUCUUCCCCAAUAUUCUGUCAGCAUUCUAAAAGAAGAAACAAGCAGACACAUAAGAAGUUUAGCAUGUACUAGUAUAUGAAACUCAUUUCGGUGAACUAGUUCAUUAGUAUGGUGGACAGGAUUAAACUACCAAGUCUUCUAUUGUCAAGUACUAGUACAUAAUAAAAGCAUCAAACAAACAUAUAUCUAUGUCCUAUGGUCACUGCAUUGUCUUGCCAAAUCAAAAUAGAGACACGGUUCAAAUCAUACCAGUUCAAGACAAAGCAGCAGUGAAAGAAUACAAAGCGUGGGAAACUACACGGCACAACAAGAUUUCAGAUGGGUACCACGGGUCUACAUGUACAACAACACUAUUGGCUCUGUUGUGAUGCUAGUAAUGUGCAUGAUUUGAAAGUCAACUGUAUACAUAAUUGAAAUUGAAAUCAACAGAGCUAUUGGUAAGAGCAAACCUGUUAAAGAAACAUGCGUGCACAUACUUGCUGUGCCAUUGGAGUUUCGAUUGGAUCCUUCAAUUUAAAAAUAAGUUCGUAUCAGUAAAUACAGUGAUACAAGAGCAAAGCAAUCAUAGUUAAAAAAAAGGCGCGCCUAAGCGAGCGCUUAAGCGCGCCUAGGCUCUAGGCGUUGGCAAUACACAUUGCGCAUAACUACACAUAAUCUGUGCAUAACUGCGCAUAAGCAUGCGCUUUGGUCAGUAAAGCGCAAGGCGGUGGCAAAACGCACAAUUAACGCCUAGCGCUUUUUUGAACUAUGAUAGCAAUGGAAUCUUAAAUUAGAACAGUUGUUCUUCAGGUUUAGGUACUUGUUCUACAUGAACAGUGUACAGUAAGACGCGAGAAUAAAAUACUUCAAAAUAGAAAAUGAUCUCAUAGACCUUACCACAUUCUUGGUUCGGGACCAGUACAGAACAAGGCGUUCCCAGUCAUUGUCCAGUAAAUGUGUCUCAGGAGAACGUAAGGGAAUUUGAUGAGUUUCUUUGCCUGUGAAGUACGUUUUCUUCAGGUAAUUCCGAUACUGCCACCAAGCAUUCUUGAAGAUAGCAGAGGUAUUAGCACAGGUUACCUCAUCCUGAGUUUCCAAAUCGGUCCUUCUCUAUAGAGAAAAAUGGGAAAAUUUGCUGUAUUAUAACCAUCAUGGAGGUAGGAUGUAUGGGACGAAGCAAAGUAAUUGCCAUGAAUAACAUUACUUACACAUAACUCCUGGACAAACACCUGCAACUGGCAUUUUCCUUCAUCUUCAGUAUAAUAUUUCCAAGAUGGGAAGAUACGCACAUACGAUUUAACAACAUCAAAUGCGAUAGAUGCUAAACGACGACUGGCUGGUUGUGCUUCCUCCACAGGAAUAGGCGUACUAACUGGUGGAGUUGGGGUUCACCGUGAUAGUACUGGCCCUUUGGGCACUGGAGCUGCCGUACUAACUGCUGUUGUUUGGGAGCUCUGUGGUGGAGAUGGUGUUGUGUCAACAGGAACUGGGUUACUAUCGGCUGGGGUUGGGGUUAGAUUGGGUGAACCUGGUUCUCUGUCCAUCGCAGUAGGGGUACAAUCUGCGAGAGUUUGGGUUAUGUGUGGUAGGGCUGGUUCUUGUGCAUGUACAACUGGGGUGCUAUCUCCACCAAGAGGUAGCACUGUUUUAUUUAAAGACCGUGUUUUUAUUUAAGUAAUCAGGAUUGCAUCAUUUAAUUCACAUAUGUGAUUUAUAUGCUAAACAGAGGGCAUUCAAUAUGAUGUCUGAACUAAGAACAUGGUGUUGAAUAUUGUGUAUAUGAUGUCUAAACUAUGCAAUGCAAGACACCAUAUGCAUGAUAUGAGCAGUAUAACCGUGCCAAGUUAGAGCAUACACCUCAGCGGGGGAAUAGGACUGGUCAUCUGUCUCUGAAUCCAUCUCUGAGGAGCUAUCGGGACCCAACAAGAGAUCUGCUUCGACAGGUAGCACUGUCUGCUCUGAAGGCCUUGUUUUCACUCCAGAUUUUUCCAUCUCCCACCCAAAUGGCUGAUUCACAGGAAGAGUAGUUUAAUGUACAAACAUUUUCGACAAAUGGAAAUGUAAUGAAGAAAAGGAUGGGCAAGAUAUCAUUCAAAUAUAUGAUGCCUGGUUAAACAGGAUGGCAUUGCACAUUUCACAUAUAUUAUGGCUGGCUAAAAGACAUGAGACUGCAUAAUUCCCAUAUAUGAUAUAGAAACUAAACAGGUGGCAUUACAGAACAUGUCUAAAUUAAGCAUAUGACAUAUAUGAUGUCAAAAGUAGGCACUGCAAGGCAACAUAUGCAUGAUAUGACUAACAUCAUCAUGCCAAGGUAGAGCAAACACCUUGGGGGUAAAGAGGAGUGGUUAGCGGCGUCUGAAUAUGCCUCAGAACAGAUAUCUUCCUCUGGAUUACAAUCUGGAGAGGGGUAGGGACGGUUUGCCAUUGAACCCACCAUGGAGCGAUGUCUGCAUGACAUUGUAUUGCCGCGCAAUACUCUUCUCUUUUUCUCUACAUGUUCAGCAUGACUGUGUGAAAUAUCUGACAUGCAUACAAAAAAAAUAUGAUGAGGUUAUGUAAGGAGAGCAUGCAGAAAUUUAGAGUGAUGGUAACAACCAGUGGAUCGACGUUUUUCCGUUGAACCAAAAUAGCCCUAAUGGAUCGACGUGAAUGUAUAGUAAUAAGUGACGCAACAAGUGUACAACCUCUUUGUCGUAGCCAUGUCGACCUCAGCAUCAUUGGGUUGGUCGCUAAAGCAGUUGAGGCAGAGGUGGCUGUCGGAGGUGUGGAGGAAGAUCUGAGGAAUCUGUAGACGGCGUCCAGGGCACUGCUCUGUUGUGAUGGAUCGUUCUGUUGUUGGAGCAGCUCCGGUGAGCCCUAAGACGUCAAGGAUGAAGCAGCACAAGACAUACAUCGUCAAUCUCAAGUGGGAUUCUAAUAGCAUCUCCAAUAGAUGAUGAAAAAUGGAUGUAAAAUUAACAUCACCAAAAACCACCUAACUACAACAGAUGAGGUAAAAACUGUUAACUCUGAACUUAACUGUCGAAACUGAAAUUAACUGUGGAAUCUGAAUGCUACUGUCGAAACUGAAUGCAAUGGUAGAAGAGAGACACUUGACAUGUAGUUUAGGGAGGGCUUGCAGUUCAUCUUCAACCUGCACACCCCUGAGCCGCCUGCCACCACCGGCCGAACCGCCGGACCCAGCACCGCCUCGCCGCCCCGAAACAACUCACCACCGCCGCCCCAGCCAGCCUUCUAGGCCCCCCGCCCCCCAUGCUGAACCCUAAGAUAGAUAGUGGGGUACCUCUCCGGCGAGCCCCCAUCCCCGCUGCGGGUGGUUCUUCCUUAACUCUGGCGAGCCCCUCCCCCCCAACCCUUGAAAAUCGACUGACCCAAAAGUCGAUUCACUUGACUGAAGUGUGGCUUAAUCAGAGCAGAGUAGCAGCACGAGUGAGGGGGAGAGCAGCAGCUGCAGCUAGGCGAUCGAGCGAUCGAGCGAGAGCCGGAGCAGCAGCAGCAGAUCCAGCUGGUAUGGACGCCACCGCUGAAGGGGCCUCGCACUGGGGGAGAGCCGCCGUGGAGAUGUUGCCCAUGGCGCCGGCUUCAAGGUAGCCACUCCAUGGGGUGCGGGAUGGAGCACCGUCGGCGCCGGGAGGUCGAGUUAAGGAGAAGGUGUGAUGCGAUGAGUGUACAACCUCUUUGGUGGUGCCGAGUAGGCCUCGGCUUCGUCCGAGGAGUCGGUGAGGAUGCUGCGGUUCCAGUGGAGCAGGUUAAGGCGGCGCUGUGGGGAUGGAGCAGCCGCGAUAGAUGAGGCAAUCGUUGGAGCAGCUCCUUGGAGGUGGAGGACGGGCUGGCUGAACCGGCGGGACGACAAGAUGGACGAGGAUCCUCAUCCGGGGAGGUGGACAAGGGACGUCGAGCUGUUGCGGUGGACGACGUUGUCGGGAAGAGGCUCCGGCUGGGCAGCGGUGACGUGACGGACGGAGGAGGGUGGGGUUUCGCGGCCAGAGCAGAGAGGUUAUGGCGGCCUGGGAUUUCGAAUGGUGAAAAGGGGGCGAUGGGAGGGGGUGAAGCAUGACUGAGGGACGCGCUUGUCCAAAAUGUAGGGUGUGUUACAAAAGUACCCCCCACCGAUUUGAACUAGCGGCCCUUUCGGCUCUGGGUUAGAAGGGGGAUUUCGCGUGUCGCGAUUUCGCAGCUGGAGGGAGUUUUCGCGCGCGUUGUAAUUUCGGGAUAGCAAGGCGCGGGUUGUGAAGGCGCCAGUUUUGGGAGCACGUUAUCUGAAUUUUCAGGAUAUAACAAGAUGCGGGUUGAAUUUUAGGGACAAGCCUAACGUGUAGUAAUAUUGUACUUUUUUUACUGCAUAGUAAUAUUGUACUUGUACGUACCAAAUCAAUUCGCACUUCCCUCAACCAAAAAUAAAACGAAAAAAUAAAACUAUUCACACCACACAAAGAGAGAGUCUUGCCCUGUUUUACUAUACAAAUGCUAUUCAAAACUACUCCCUCCUUCCAUCUAUAUAGGGCCUAAUGCGUUUUUUGAUGCUAACUUUGACCAAAUAUUAGAGCAAUGAUAUAUGACAUGCAACUUACACAAAGCACACCGUUAACUUCGUCUGUUAAAGGUUCUUUCAAUGAUAUAAUUUUCACAUUGUGCAUGUCAUGUACUAUUAAUCUUGUCAAUAGUCAAAGGCAGUCUUAAAAAUCUCAUUACGCCCUAUAUAGAUGGAAGGAGGGAGUAUGAAUCCAUUUUAUGUUCGAUUAAUUUUUUUUGCUUUGCUGUAUAAUGCAUGUAACCUACUUAUACCAACAUUUUAGUGCAUUCCAAAUGUCUAUACUACCGCUGCAAUUCGAACUAAAUUUGAAUUCGUUUCUCUAUUUCAAUAAGAAUCUACAAUCAUGAUUGUUGCCAACUUCAACCAUCAUAAUUUCCUUGCUAUCCGCCAGAUAUAAAUUGGACGGCCUAUAAUGCAGGAUGGUAGGCACACCAUCAUCAACAACUCGGUUUUUUUAUAAGAGUAGAGAUAAAAUAUAUUAAAUGUAGUAUAACAUGUUCAUAAACACACCAUGUGUAUCACCGUUAUAUAUAUUCACACAUACGUUAGUUUAAAACACUAUGAUAAAUUCUUCAAACAUCCGAAUUCACUUUUUAUAAUGAAGUAUAUAUGAUCUCUAUUCGUCUUUUACACCCACACAACCCUCUUAUCUUUGUAGAUAGCGCUAACUUUCUCUUGUGCAUGCACACACCCGCAUCCCUCUCACCCUCCCUCAGCAUUCUCUAGAUCCAUCGCGCAAAUUCGUCUUUUCACUUUAGGUUGUUCACCCACGGUGUGUGUAGGCCCCCCAGCUCCUUCUUUACGGCACACAUCGAUUGAUAUGCCUCUCUAGCCAGGUGUGCCUAGCACAAACACAAGCUUCCCCUCUUCUCUUGUCACCGUCCAUGCCUCACUCCCACCACUCUUUUCAUUGUUCUCGUACUCGCACACUCCUCCCCGCUCGAUAUAGUAUGCCUCUCGUACCACCUCCUACAUGCAUCCCUCUAUCUCUAUCCUUCUCCUCGUGUCUCGUUUGCUUCUAACACACACAUGCAUGUAUAUACCGAUUGAUCUCCCAACAUAUACCUGGAUCGACUUUAACUACCCCCCAUCGAUCGACGUACCUCACAAGUUAUGUCUCUCCUUUCUCUAACAAAGGGCGAUUGAUCUUCCUAUGUAGUUAUGUCUGCUUACCACAGCCACAUCGUCCCCCCUCAUCAUUCGUGCAUGCCUCCUGACCCGUCUCUCACACGCACGUGCACAGACAACAAGCAGCCAUCUCCUCUCUUACUGAUAUUGUGGGCGUGCCCUCCGUUUGUCUAGCAAGCCUAUCCCACCAUUUGUUAGAAGCAACUCCACUACCACCCCCUCCAACACUCUAGCUCUGUCUCUCGCCCAACCUUAUUCCUCUCAUGCACAUAUGCAUGGAUGCCGAUCAAUCUCCCUUAAUACAUGAGGCAGAUCGAUCUCCUUGAUACAUGAGGUAGGACUCUCUCCUCCUCCACACAUAUACCAGCCAUUGUACCUCUAUAGUUAAUUGGGCCUCCCUGUUCCCCCACAACACACCGAUAGUCAAGCGCUGCAGGUAGGUAUCCAUGCCACAGAGACAAACUGCACAUGUCCCCUCUCACGUUCCAGUAGGCCAGCCACUCUAUAUCUUUGACGUGGGCACACACAUAUUUGAUGGCACUCUUUAUCGAUCGCGCGCGCACACACACACACAUCAUCCCUCUUUUCGAUUCUAUGGACACCUCAAGCCGGUGAUACCUCCACUCUCUUCUCGUGGAUCGCCCCCUCUAUAUAUAUGUUAUAUCCAGGACUCUAUUUCACACACGUUGCAUAUGUUACAUUGUUUGAUUGAACCCCCCCCCAAAAAAAACUCUCAAGAACCCACACACUAUAUCUCUCUAGGUUUGUAUCUCUCUCACACAACCCCACAUAGGUGGUGUACGUAUACAAGAAGAGAAUAGGUGCACCAUGCAUGUACUCACGCUUCGUGCCCAGCCACACCCGUGCGGGUACACAGUGGAGCUCAUUUAUUUAUGAAAUGGCAGACCACGUGCUAAUUUGAACGCAUAUAGCGGUUGUUUACCUAGGGAGGUUGUGUACCAUGCCUGCACGAAACAAAGUUCGACUUGACGCGUUGCCGCGUUAUUUUUAAAUAAAGUUAUAGCGCUCAAUGGCACGUACACAGAAUAUAAAACGAUUUUUAUGGAGAAAAAGGUAGUCCGCUCACUAUAUACAAUGGAGCCUUGCGUGCCUGGUUUGUCGCUCUUCAGAGUAUCUCACACAAGGCUGCAAUGGCCUCUCUGUCUCUCUCACCAUUGGUCACUGAUCCGGCCGCAUCCCGUCCGCCGGGGGAAAGGGAGUGCGGUGGCCUCUCUCUCUCUCACCAUUGGUCACUAAUCCGGCCGCAUCUCGUCCGCCAGGGGAAAGGGAGGAAGUGCAUCGUUUCUCCGUUCAACGGCGCCGAGGCAACACGUCCCAAUCUGUGGUACACGCCGUUCUCUCUGACCAAGCUCCGGCGCGGCAGGGCCUACGCCACCUGCUCACAGAUUCCGCCCGCCGCCGCUCACCUAGUUACAUCCCAACGACCUCCAGGUAUCCCCUCCGGCCUUGCUUCACUGACCGUCUUCCCACGUUGCUGCAUGUGGAUCUUCCAUAGUUCUUUGCCCAAAAUGUAGCUCGUCCAGCGUACUUUCCAUAUUGCAUUCUCGUCCUCACACCGUUUUAGACAAACACAACCGUGUUGUUAUCUUCCCUUAGGGCAAGGAAUAUGCUUCUUUUUUGUCGUCGCAUGUGUCAUCAACUGUUAUUGGCCAGUAAUUGUUUCCUUUCUACCUCUUUUUUGCAAACAGGGCUAUCCAUUUCACCUCGUUGCUAUUGCGACCUUUUGGUGAACUGCACAAAUCACUUUUUUCUUAAGAGUGUUUUGUGCAGUUGUACUAAAAUGUCACAUGGGCAACAUCUCUACAUUUCAGUGCGACUGCACAAAGGGAGAUUGGUUUUGCUCUAUCCUCCUCAUCCAACUUCGAGCCUAAUCUUCUCCAACUAGUUAGUCUUAAAAGAGACUGCAAAGGUGACCGGCUUCUAUUUAUGUGUUUAUUGUUUCAUCAACAGUCCUCUAUUAUCGUAAUCACACUUAAUAUCUUUGGAACAGGGACGCUCAACUCUAUUUUAGUGGAACUGCACAAAAUGAUCGGAAUGUUGCAUGCUCCAGAUAGCUACUUUUUUUCCCAACAUGCCUUGUUGAUUUAGACAGAGUUGGGGGGACGUUGCUGCCAAUGAAAGCAUGGAUCAAUUUUAAUUUAACACCUUCUCACAACUUUGUCUUCAGUUGUGAUGUAAUUAUUAGCUCUGAUAUGCUAAUAAUUGACAUGCAUUAGUAAGGAAGUUAGUUUUUUAUUGUUUCCGAAAGAGCAUCGAUGGCAAGACAUGCGAAACAGAAGCCGAAAGCUCACACCAUUGUACAAUUUCAUGUCUCGCUGGAAAAUUAUUUGUAUAGUACGUCAAUUAUGUAAAAAAAUGAUGGAAGCGUGAUAGCAUUGCCAGAAGCCUCUUCAUCAUCCGGGUCCAUGUGCCAUGCACAAAAUUAUACUCCUUCGUUCCUAAAUAUUUGUCUUUUUACAAAUUUCAAACGGGCAUAUUUUAGAGUGUAGAUUUACUCAUUUUUCUUCGUAUGUGUACUCCCUCCAUUCCUAAAUAUGCUAUUCGUCUUUCUAGAUAUUUCAACAAGUGACUACAUACGGAGCAAAAUGAGAGAAUCUACACUCUAAAAUAUGUAUAUACAUCCGUAUGUGCCAGUCCAUUUGAAAUCUCUAAAAAGACAAAUAUUUUAGUAGUCACUUGUUGAAAUCUCUAGAAAGACAAAUAUACUCCGGAGUAUAUUUAAGAACCGAGGGGGUAGUGCACAACCGCAUGGGAGACUCAGCCCGGUCGUUGCGCCGCAUUAAUAGUGAGUAAUGAGCAGUCAAAUCGUAAGCCCCACCUUUCCCACUGUAAGUUGCUCUGAAGAAGCAACCAUCAAUACGCUUUUCUUUGAAUCCACUCAUACUACUCCAUCCGUCACUGUUUAUACAACGCGCUUCAGAAAAAAGAAAAAAGAUCUGUGGGACCAAGUCGACUAGCGAUCGGCCUGAAAAAUAGCAUUGGUAGUUAUAGCACGGCGUCUAUUACUAGUAGAGGGAAUAAUGCGUACACACAUGCAUGCAGUGCUUCCACCCCGGGUACACACAUGCAUGCACUUACUCCAUUCCGUAGUUACAUGGAGAGAAAAUUGUGGACUUGAUUUCGGUUACCAUGCCCUAAUUAAUUGAGCAUUAAACCAAACGCGUCUAAAGUCUCUCUGGUGGUGGAAAUGCAUUGAGAGAAAUGCAUCAUAAUGAAGCACGCUCUGUAAACUGUGACGGAGGGAGGAGUAGUAUGAAGGUUCAAAACCAGGUACGCGUAUGGCCAGUCGGUCAACGCACCUCCUCUUGGCAUAUCACUGAGAUGUGGGACAGGAGUGUGAGCAAACCGAUCUCAAUUGAUGGCAAAGAGCCAACCCUCCAUUCCUUGAGAGAGACGAGGAGCAAGGACGCACAGACGGGUUCGCAUGGAGGCCAAGAUAUAUUCGAGCAUGGUUGGUUGAUCAAUAUCAUUCAUUACAUGUUACCAUGUUGGGCUGCCGUUUUCCGCCCUUCUCCGGAAUAAAUGUGUACUUUAUCAAAGAUAAAAAGAAAUAAGAGUACAAACGCUCCACCAUGCGGUUCUAGUAGUAGUACUACUCGUACUACUGCGCUUGGCUCUUCGCCUCUUCGUGAAGUCGAACAAUGAUGGCACUCCGCAUGUUGGGUACUACAGUGUAUGCCUCUGACAAUCUGACACCGAAUGGACUGAUGUAUGUCCACCGAGGGUAGGUUGCAUUAGUCAAAAGGCGUAAGCGAGCUUCACCUUGUCCUGCAAGCUUCUCCGUGUUCUGCGAGUUGACGAGACACACCAAAAAGUAGUGCUAGUCCAUACUCCCUCCUUUCCGGUUAAUAUGGCUCAAUCCUUUUUGCGGGUAAAUGAGAGAGCUUUAUUCAUAUAUAAGCAUUCUUAGGACGAUCAACCGAGACACUGGUCACUAGGAAGCGAGGUACCCCGCAAAAAAAGAAGUAGGAAGCGAGGUGUUUCAUCAAGCCAGCUCUCGGCCACAUUCAAAGUGCAGCAAGCACGGUUCGCACGAAGAUGCGCCGCAAGGUUUGCUGACCUGUUUACAUGCUGAAUAACAAAAAAAGAGGAAAUAUUAUCGAGCACUACUAUUUGUAACAGGAUAUGAGCCAGAAUUAAGCGAGAAUUGUGGCGAGUGUUCCAUGCAAUCAACUUCCAUUAUCACAUGCGAGAACCCUCGAAGAUAACCAAAUGUGUUGAAGAUUGCUUUAUCACAUUUUAAAAUUAUAAUAAGAGUGCAGACGCUCCUCCAUCCGGUUCCUAGUACUAGUAUAGUACGUACCUUUAUAGACUAUAUUAGUAAACUUUGCGCUUGGCUAUUCGCCUAUUCGGGAAGUCGAACAAUAGUAGCACUAGUAGUAUAGUGUAUGAUUCUGGCAAUCUGACACCAAAUUAACUGUUGCACGUCCACCGCCUAAGCGAGGGAGAGCUCGCAUUAGUCAAAAGUUUCUCCUUGUCCCGCGAGCCACCGUGCGCAAGUAAUGCUAGUCCAUACUGCCUCCUCUCUGGUUAAUAUGGAUUAAUUUCAAACGAGAUAAAUACACUGUCUGUCACUAUAUAUUUGUAAAAAUACGGUCAGUGGACUUCAUAAUACGCUCAUUGCGCUCAAUAUAUAUAUUUUCCGGUGUUUAUACAGUCACUAGCUCACCCUGACUGAGUAUGUGUGUGCAUGCACGUGUAGGUUGAGCACUUAGCGUGACCAUGUGUGUUCCGUCAUGUGCUCGGACAUGCAUGCAUUAGGGCGUCGCGCGCGUUUUUGCAUCCAUGUGUACGUGUGACUGUUGCAUACACUUAGGGGGAGUACGUGUUGGGGCCACUAAGGAGCAGUCAAAUCACACAAUAAAUCACAUCUGUCGUGUUCGUGUCUCACCCUCCUCCAUGGCUCGACCCCACACGAUCGCUCGGCAUGCCACUCAACGCAAACCGAGUAUACGAUAACUUUCCCGCCUGCUUGUCGAUGGAUCGCGCCAUGGAGUACUACUAGCACUACUGGAAGAGAUUGACGAGUUGGGGGAGGACAGCUAGCUGUAGCAUGGACUCCCAAAAACUUUUUACAUGCAUGUUGUAGCCGGCUAUUGCGACCUUUGAACGCGGAGCAGCCGCGUGCACCCGGAAGCGGCGCGGGCGACACUCUCUCGGCCGGCGCGCCGCUUCAAUGCCGGCGCUAGUGAGAGGUCACGUCCGCUCUGGCCGGGCAUGAAUGCGGCACUGACCAUUUCAGGCGGGAAGUACGCGCAGGUGAUGAAGAGGGUUCGGGUUGGUCAGGACCGGCCGUGGCAGCGGUCCGGACGUGCGCAAACAAGAGAUGUUGUAUGUUAAUAUUGCUGCGUAUAUAAUUAACAACGUAAAUAAUGUGCCAGUUGGACAAAUAUGAUUGGAAAUGGAGAUGCAAAUGGAAUUUUUCGUAAACACGGAUAUGCAUGUCUAUGUCUAUGUGUGUGUGCGCGACGACUCUCGCGACCUAGAAGCGGGGGCGUGUUUUUGAUCGAGUUUUCUUUCUUGGUACUUUAGAAAAUCAGUUUGUCCAAUUCACAUCUAGAUGUUAUUUAAGGAUAUCACAUCUAAGCUCCCACAAGUAUAUAAUGUAGCAACAAGAAACAAAAAAAAACUAGGACCAAAAAAAAUACCACAAACAGAGUGGACAUCAACUUAGAUGUGACAUAACUAUGUCACAUCUAGAUGUGUCCUAGACAGACCCUUAAAAAAUUGUCCGCCAGUUUUUGUUUCUUUUUUCCGGGAACGCGCGUAUUCUAUUUAAAACCACUGCUAUGGAGAGAUUUUUUUACUCCAUUAUAGCCUCUUGUUUGAUAGAGUUUCUCGCGUCUCGCUCUCUCACCCUCUCCAUAUCAAAACAAGAUGACAAUGUCCAGUCUAUCUCUCCUCACCGGUGGUCACACAUCCGGCCGAAUCCCAUCCGCUGCGGGAGGUGAGGAGGUGCAGCAUUGACGUUGUCGCCAUUAGCGAUGGGGGGAGCCGAUGCACACCGUCCUCUCGGAGCCGGCGCUGGCACGGACGAAGAUCCUCCGGGCCCUUGUUCGCUGCCAUCGUGUGGGCAGAUCCCGCCCGCCCGCCUAAACGACAUCUCGCCCACCUGAGGUAUAAGUUCUUGUACUGGUCCAGCUCCCCAGGUCCCUGCGUGCGGCUUUUCUUCUAUGCGACUACUCCCCAGCUCCCCAUGCAUAGUAGCUAGGGUUCGUCGGCUGGUCCAACAUCACCUACUAGUAAUAUUAUACUCGGUGGAGGUAUACAUGUUGUUUCGACAAAAAGUACAUGGUGGUUGUGCGGUCAUUGUCCAUAUGGUGGUAGUAGUAUCACUGGUUAAAUGAAGAAAUGCUUUUUUUCUCAAGUAUCCUGGUUUAGUUCCCAUCAAGAUAUAAUUAUGAUGCUUCUGUUUGUUGGUGUACUUUUCAUUAACCCUUUUUUAUAUUUUUGGAAACAGCGAUACGUGUCUCCAUACCCAGGCAUGUCUUCCUCAAUUUUAGUGGAGCUGCACAAAAUUGGAUGGCCAUUGUUGUUCCGCCUCACUGUCCUCUGCCACGUGGUUCUUCCUUCCUCGAGCUUGAUUACUAAGAAGAAACAGACCACAGUGAGGAUUUGUCGAACUUCAUAGGUGCCUCCCCAAACUUGAUGCCAAAUGGAUGAUGCAUCACCACGAUGACAUAUCGAUGCUCAUGGUCGCGCCUCAUGGUUGCGUCGGCUGGUGAAGCUGAUCGAUUUUCAAUGAAAAACAAGUUGUCUUCCAUUGGUGCUCUUUGCUUGUUACGCACAAAGAUGAUAUCCUUCGUCAGUUCACCUUGGUUGCGUUGGAGACGCCGUCGUCUUUCACGUUGGUGCAAUUUUAUCACACAAUUGGCUAUGAACCAAAUGUUUCCUCGAAGAAGGAUCGACGUUGGUACUAAGAGCAUAAGUUUUGUAUUGAUUUCUAAGCCUUCUCACAACUUUGUCUCCAGCUCCCUUGUAAUUUUAUUUGUCCAGCUAUUAACUUUGAUUUAAAAAAUGGUGUGGACUAAAAACCCGGAUGGACGUAGUAGCCCUCCAUUUUUAUUUACUCUGCAUAUUAGAUUUGACUGAAGUCAAACUUUGUAAUACUCUCAAACCUUUCCGAUAAGUGAAAUUAAAAUUCUUUAUUUGUACACACUCUCACACGUUUCCGAUAAUUUUGCGCAUGUGUGGUUGUUCACUUAAGGGAGGGUAGUGUACCACACGUGAAGGACAGGAAGUGUGACCAGGACGCGUGGGCAUGGAUCGUUAGUUCAUCGGAAGUAGUACUCCCUCUGUACAUUAAAUAAAGAGUUUCAUUUUGUACUUACACAAUUUAAAACGAUUGUUAUGGAGAGAAUAAGAAAACCACUCCACUAUAUAUUAGUCGUAUACACACGAGAGUACUAUAUGGACGCACCUUCAUUGACUUAGUGCACCUGCCUUUGGGUUUAUGACAGGUGGGCCCAAAAUGUGGCUGGCUCACCUGUCAUACAGCCAAAAGCAGAUGGAGUGAAGGCACCAGAGCUCAGUCCGUACUACAUUAGUAGUAUAUAUAUAAGCGGGAGCCUCAGCGCUUGUUCGCGAGGGUUUGCACUCUCCACACGCUCGCCACAAUACAUAUAUGUUACACGCUCGAGGCUCAAUGUUCAUUUGCUAGGGUUUGCUACAUUCACAGUCUCUCACCCUCUCUUCACCAGAUCUAAACAAGAUUGCGUUGGCCUAUUGUCUCUCUCCCCCCUCACAGCUGGUGAAGGAGGCGUCCAUAUCCCGUCGCACCGGGAAGGGGAGGAGGUGCAGCAUUAACUCUAUCGCCUUCGGCGAGGGAGGCAAUCCACUGCCGGCUGCGCUGUUCUCUUUCGCCCAGCGCCUGUGCGGGAGGGCCACCGACCCCUUCUUCCUCGCUGCCGUACGUAGUGUGGCCAGAUCCGGCCUCCCGCCGCACGCCUUCCCACAUCCCGACGACCCUAAGGUAUAAGUUUCUUUGAAACUGUCGUUGCUCUAGCUGCAUGUGGAUCUUUUUCGAUCUGUAGUCGAAUCUAGGUCUUGGUUCAAAGAGGAAAGAAAGGUGCAGUGGGGUGGAGCAUGAAUCUAGGACGUGGUUCAAUGAGGAAAGGAGGGAGGAAAAGUAGUAUAGACUGGCUAUCCAGCCGCUUUGUUGGUCGAAAAGGGAAAAAGGGGGUAACCCAGUACACACAUCUGUAAGGAACCGAUCUCUUUGUUGAAAAGGGAAAGAAACUGGGGGGGUCGGGUAGUUUGUGCAGGACUAGAUUUGCUGCCCUCACAUAGGAAAAAGUUCAAAGAGAACAAAUAUGGGACCAACACAGAUAUGCUGCUUGGCUACAUACUCUGCAUCACCCAUUUAUACGUGCGGACGCACAUGAUGCUAGCAUGUCCCAUACAACUAUUUUGUUGUUGUUAAUCUAAGAAUGCCGCCGGAAAAUUGAAGCAAUGCCACUGUUAAAAGUAAAUUACAUUUUUUAACGAAUGUUGUUUCAAGAGAGUGUCUCUAUUAAUAUGAAUCAAUGCUACCGUUUUAGAAAUGCUACUAUCCUACUUUGUUUUCCAUCCAAGAUAAGUUAGAUGCUUCUUUUUGUCACCGUUUGUUUCAUCCUCCUUUAUCGGCAAGUAAUUGUUUCCUUUUUUGCCUCUGUUAAAACAAGGGUAUCGAUUCAACUUGUUGCUAUUGCGACAUUUUACUUCGCUACUCGAAACACUUAUGUUCUAAGAGUGUUUUGUGCAGCUCAACUUGAAUGUCACACCGGUGACUUUGCUUAAUUUUGGUGGAACUACACAAAAGGAGAUCGAGAUUUGUUUCCAGUGUUCCUGUCGAGUUAUUUCAAAUCUUGGUCUCUACCACAUGAUAUCUAUUCAACUUUUUGCUAUUGCGACAUUUUGCUUCGCUACGCGAAACACUUUGCUUGAUUUCAGUGCAUUGUUUUAGGAAUGGUACUUUUCUGCUUUGUCAUUCUUUAUACAUGUUGAACCAAGGCAUUGUUAAGAUAAUGACUCAGUCAAUAUGAAUGAAUCACACUGAUGGAGAAUUGCUCCUCUCCUACUUUGUUUCCCAUUAACACAAGUCAUCAACCAUUAUUUCUCUAUAAUUGUUUCCCUUAUACCUAUUCUUGCUUACAGGGAUAUCAAAAUUAAAGCUCGGUUUUAUUCUGACUUCGAUUUUAGUUGAACUGCACAAAAGGAGCCAAUGUGUCCAAGGCAAACUGCUGCGUUACUGGGUCCAGUUGGUCGUUCCACUUUGCAGAAAGAAGCAGUCACUGGAUGCGGUACAUUACAGAAGGAAUGACCGAGAAGCUUUACAGAGUAUUAUUAGACACCGGUGACAUGACUAGUCUGCAGAGACCAUUGGCAAUUUAACAACACGUGGAGUGCCCUUGGCAAAAAGUGCCCAAACAAGUACAAGAAGCUAAGACAGGACACGAUCAUAGGCAUUACAUAUUUUGAAGGGGAGGAGCUUGUCAAAGUUUAAUCAUUGAUGUUAGCAAGAAGACGUUAGUUUAAUAUAUUGGAAUUGGAAAACCUUGUCAAAAUUUGCUCAUUGAUGUUAGCAAGAAGACGUUAGUUUAAUAUAUUGGAAUUGGAAAACCUUGUCAAAAUUUGCUCAUUAAUGUUAGCCAGAAGACAUGCAUUUGAUAUUUUUGAGUAGGACGCCCUUGCUGUGAGCAGCGUCGAGUGUUUUUUCCUAUUCCUGUGUUCAUUUUAGAAGUAAAUAGUUACUCUGCUGAGAUAUUCCUGUGUUAAGAGUUUGUUCUAAAUAUUGUCUAUGUAAUGCCAGACCUUGGGUUUGAUUGCAAAGUUGAGCUUGGAAUGUUGUGGCAUGCGGCAUCACGAGCUGUUCACCGUGCCUCCUGAGAAUAAUGCUUCGUAUUGUUUUGCAUGUCGAUCUAAUGCCAGUGAUUUUCUUGUUAAGAAGAUCAUCCUCUUCUGUUGUUUCCAUGCGUAAGAAGUUCAUCGUCUGAUGUUUCAUUCAUAGCCUAUAUGACAUGUCGGGUAGGUCAGACGUAAAACCAUAUGAUAUUCCGACCAACUCAUGAUAUUAGGCCGUGAUUGGAUCGUCGUUUUCCAACCAAAACCGCUUGUAAAACUGACGCUUGUAAAUUAAAGCAGAUGGUCUCAGAAGAAGGCUGUUGGUUGGUCGAUUUUGACUAGUAAAAUAUCAAAAGUAAUUCACACACGAUAAAAACGCUGAACGACACUCAGACGAUUGCUAAUCCAGUCGUUAGCUGCUGUUUCAGCCUUGCCCAUGGAUGGCAUGAUACGCACGUCGUGCAUGUAUCGUCUGGUAAUGUCGUCCAUAUAGCAAUGCUCGUAAAAUAUACACUGGUCUCUCAAAUUACACACGUAAGCCGCCGGUUUUACUUACAGACCUCGGGCCUUCCGAUGACGAGUAAAUUACACUUGUAUGUUAAUACAGAUUUGAAAUAAACCAGAGCUCCCAAGCCCGGCCUUACAGUUUCAUGCCGUUUCAGUUUCUCGAAGGUGCUCAUAGGUGUCCGAUGAUCCUGGCUUCCUGAAUGAGCAGCGGGCGCUGUAUCAGACCUCCGUAGGGCCCGCGAGGCCCUCUCCGUUGUCCUUCAAGUUGUUGCGCUCGCUGUGGCGCCGAGCAUUGUUAACAUGGUCAACGAACAUGAGGAUUCAAUAGAUGACUUUAUUUUGACUGGAUGACACUAGGGACCCACUAGGGCCAUAGCCGUACGUACGCAAGUGCUUCCUUAUUAUGUACAACUAUUUUUUUUUGCUUUCUCCUGGUUUCCUGACAUCACGGUCCCACACCAUUGUCAACCUAUGUAGUCAAUAUAAACGAGAGAAUUGCACAAGGUGCGGACGACAGCUGGGACCAAGCAGCUCGAGCAAUAUUUCUGUUUUUGAGGCGUGAGCACUAUAGAGUUUUUCUUGGCGAUGAUUUCGUUGUUGUUCAGAGGAGAGCAGGGUAUUAACUGGGCGGGCUGUGGCCCGUCUAGCCUAGGCCAGAUAUCCAGCCCAUAUACUACUUUUUUCAAGAUGAAAAUGGCUAGCCCAGCUAUACGUCUUUUUGAGGAAUACCCAGGCAAGGUCAACUUGUUAUUCUCCGCCCCGCUGUGCUGCAAAUCUUUCCUAGGAGGGAUGCAUUAGGCUUAACAGGAAAAUGGGCUUUAAAAACAAUAAAUGGGAUGUAAUUAUAAAAACUGGGAAGUAACUAUAAAAAAAUGCACCAAACACGAAAUUAGUUCAUAAAAUAUUAUUUAUGGAUUUUGAAAAUCUUAAAUUUUCAUUGUUGCGCGCGCAAUGUUUCGAUUUUUAUGUAAUACAAAUUUAUAUUUAAUCUGAAUAGAAAUUUCGGGAUAAAAAUAUUUCGGAUCCCAUCAAAAUGUGGGAAAUUUUAUUGAAUUCUGUCUUCAACGGUUGGUUGAAAUUAUUAAUCGUUGUCCUAGCUAGAAAAUGGGCUGUACUUUUAACAAACUGUAAAUGCGCUGUUGUAAAUUCCAUUAGAAUUCAAAAAUGGGUUGUACAUUCUUACAAAACGCAAAUGGGCUAUAAAUUCUCUGCCACACACUUGUGGGCCUACUAAGUGACGCGCCCCUAAAAAAAUAAGUUGACGCAUAUGCAAGGCUUUGUCAACUUAUUAUAGUCAACACAUGGUUAUAACAGCAGUGGCCAUUGGAUGUCUAUCCAACGGAUGUCGUGCUUCUCUUCAAUCUCGGAUAUUCUUAGCUUCGGCCACCCAAAAAAUGAUUCCUCCCCCUGACAUCUGGGGCGCACCGUUUCAGAGGCUAACCUAUGGGUCUACUAAGUUGGAGCGUAUCAAGGGCUUUGUCAACUUAGUCAAUAUAAACGAAUCUAGCUUUAGUGACCGUAUGAUGUCCAUCUAAUGACCGUAGUGCUUCUUCAACCUCUGGUCUUCUUGGUCCAGCCGCCCAAAGCAGCGCUGGUCGUGCCGCCUGCUCCUGCCUCUCGUGGCCGGCUGUGCUGUCGUGGAGGCCUCACCGCCCCCAUACUACUCCCACCGCUGGCCAGGCCAUCCCUCCACUCACCCACACCCCCUGUUAUUCUGCGGCGACGGCAGCCUCACACCGCAGCCGAACUAGUGAACCCUGGUACUCCUCUCCGCACGGGCUUCCACUGUUGCGUCUUCCCCGGCUCCGCGUUGUCCCCUUCCUAGGCGUCGUCGUCGUCCAUCGCCCUGGUGCUCUCGGCGUGGCGUGGUCAACAUGGUCAACGACCGACUUCCAUCGGAAGAGUACUGUACGUGGAGAGGCUGACAGCUGGGUCCACGGCGGCCGCAAGGAAGUGCCUCCUUAUUACGCGCAAAAUAAUUAUUCCUCCACAUGACAGCAGGGACCCGCCAGACGGGCCACCGUAUUUCGCAAAAAACUUUACCCCCCUGACUGCUGGUACCCACCGGAUGGGCCACCGUAUUUCUCGAAAAAAACGUUCCCCCCGCUGUCAGCUCGGACCCACCGGAAGUGCCUCUUUAUUACGCACAAAAAAAUGAAUACUCCCCCUGCUAGCUGGGACUCACCUUGGUGGGAAGCUAACUUGUGGGCCUACUAAGUUGACGAGGACGGAGGGCUUUGUCAACUUAGUCAAUAUGAACGAUUCUAGCUCUAGUGACCGUAAGAUGUCCAUCCAACGGCCGUAGUGCUUCUUCAACCUCUGGUCUUCUUGCUCCAGCCGCCCAAAGCAGCGCCGGUCGUGCCGCCUGCUCCUGCCUCCCGUGGCCGGCUGUGCUGCCGCGGAGGCCUCACCGCCUCCAUACUACUCCCACCACUGGGCAGGCCAUCCCUCCACUCCACCACCCACACCCCCUAUUAUUCUGCGGCGACGGCAGUGCAGCCGAACCAGUGAACCCUCGUACUCCUCUCCGUGUGGGCAUCCACUGCCGUGUCUUCCCCGGCUCCGCGUUGUCCCCUUCCUAGGCCUUGUCGUCAUCCACCACCGUGGUGCUCUCGGCGCGGCGUGGUCAAUGUGGUCAACGACCAAAUUCCAUCGGAAGAAUACUGUACGUGAAGAGGCUGACAGCUGGGUCCACGGUAGCCGCAAGGAAGUGCCUCCUUAUUAUGCGGAAAAUAAUUAUUCCUCCACCUGACAGCAAGGACCCACGGGACGGACCACCAGUAUUUCGCNNNNNNNNNNNNNNNNNNNNNNNNNNNNNNNNNNNNNNNNNNNNNNNNNNNNNNNNNNNNNNNNNNNNNNNNNNNNNNNNNNNNNNNNNNNNNNNNNNNNNNNNNNNNNNNNNNNNNNNNNNNNNNNNNNNNNNNNNNNNNNNNNNNNNNNNNNNNNNNNNNNNNNNNNNNNNNNNNNNNNNNNNNNNNNNNNNNNNNNNNNNNNNNNNNNNNNNNNNNNNNNNNNNNNNNNNNNNNNNNNNNNNNNNNNNNNNNNNNNNNNACGCACAAAAAAAUGAAUACUCCCCUGGCUAGCUAGGACCCACCUUGGUGGGAGGUUGUCUUGUGGGCCUACUAAGUUGACGGGGCCGAAGGGCUUUGUCAACUUAGUCAAUAUGAACGAUUCUAGCUCCAGUGACCGUACGAUGUCCAUCCAACGGCCGUAGUGCUUCUUCAACCUGUCGUCUUCUUGCUCCAGCCGCCCAGAGCAGCGCCGCUCGUGCCGCAAGCUCCUGUCUCCCGUGGCCGGCUGUGCUGCCGCGGAGGCCUCACCGCCCCUACUAUUCCCACCGCUGGCCAGGCCCUGCGGCGACGACAGCCUCACACCGCAGUCGAACAAGUGAACCCUCAUACUCCUCUCCGUGCGGGCUUCCACUGCCGCGUCUUCCCUGGCUGCGCGUUGUCCCCUUCCUAGGCCUCGUUGUCGUCCACCGCCGUGGUGCUCUCCGCGCGGCAUGGUCAACGUGGUCAAGGAACGAAUUCCAUUGGAAGAGUACUGUACGUGGAGAGGCUGACAGCUGGGUCCAUGGCCACAGCCUAGUUUUUUUGUGAUUUGCCAAUUAAGUCGCUUUGCCAGGCCUGUUGGGCUGCAAAUCUUUCAAGACGAGGAGAGCUUUUCAUUUGGCUGGCCGAGAAAAUGGCCCAUCCGUAAUGAGAAAUGGGCUGUAGAUUUUUAAAACACAUCAAACCGGCAAUUAGUUUCAAAUAUUUUUUUUUCAUUUCAAGAUUUUAAAUUACAUUAAUUUUUAUGCGUGGAGAAUUUGUUGGAUUUUAUGUUGAUAUACAUUUAUUUUUAAAAUCAGUUUGAAUGUGAGUCAAAAUUUCGGGAUUAAAAACAGUUCGGACCGCACUGAAAUAUGCAAAAUUUUGUAUAAUUUUUUUACCGUGGCCACAAUAUGGGUUGUAAUGCUAACAAAAAGAAUAUCGGCUCCAAAGAAAACCUUAAGAAUUAGCAAAUGGGCUGUAAAUUAUUGGAAAUAAUGGAAGAUGGGUUGUAUGCUGUUUUCCACAGAUUUGAGGCUUUCCUAAAAAAAGGUUGACCUCACAAGCAGUGACGGUUGGAUGUCCAUCCAACGGCUGUCGUGCUUCUUCAAUCUCUGCUCUUCCUGCUCCAGCCGCCCAAACAAGCGCCGGCGGGACUGCCUGCUCCCUCCUCCCCGCGGCCGGUUGUGCUGCCGCACAGGCCUCACCGCCCCACCGUACUCCCAUCGCUGGCCUAGCCAUCCCUCUACUCACCCACACCUGCAGUUAUUCUCCGGCGACGGAAGACGAACCAGUAAACCCUCGUUUAGUCGUACUCCCCUCCGCGUGGGAAACAACUGCUAAGUCUUCCCUGCCUCCGUGUCGUUCCCUUCCUAGGCCUCGCCAUCGUCCACCACCCUGGUGCUCUCGGCGUGGCCUGGUCAACGUGGUCAACAACCAACAUGCAUCUGAAGUGGACUGUAUGUGGAGAGGCAGACAGCUGAGUCCACGGCCGCACGCAAGGAAAUGCCUCCUUAUUAUGCACAAAAUAAUGAUUCGUCCACCUGACAUCAGGGACCCACCGAAAGGGCCUCAGUAUUUAGAGAAAAAACGUUACCGCCGCUGACAGCUCGGACCCACCAGCUAUAUCUUCGCACGCAAGGAAGUGCCUCCUUAUUACGCACAAAAAAAUGAAUACUCCCCCUGUUAGCUGGGACCCAGUAUAGUGGCCUGCUGACUUGUGGGCCUACUAAGUUGACGGGGAUGGAGGGCUUUGUCAACUUAGUCAAUAUGCACGAUUCUAGUUCCAGUGACCGUACGAUGUCCAUCCAACAGCCGUAGUGCUUCUUCAACCUAUGGUCUUCUUGCUCCAGCCGCCCAAACCAGUGCCGGUUGUGCCUCGUGCUCCUGCCUCCCGUGGCCGGCUGCGAUGCGGCGGAGGCCUCACCCCCCCUACUACUCCCACCGCUGGUCAGGCCAUCCCUCUACUCACCCACACCCCCUGUUAUUCUGCGGCGGUGGCAGCCUCACACCGCAGCGAACCAGUGAACCCCCGUACUCCUCUACGCAUGGGCAUCCACUGCCGCGUCUUCCCCGGCUCCGCGUCGUCCCCUUCCUAGGCCUCGCCGUCUUCCACCGCCCUGGUGCUCUCAGCGCGGCAUGGUCAACAUGGUCAAGGAACGGCUUCCAUCGGACAUGGACUAUACGUGGAGAGGCUGAUAGCUGGGUCCACGGCUGCAGCAAGGAACUGCCUCCUUAUUACGCGCAAAAUAAUUAUUCCUCCACCUGACAGCGGGGACCCACCAGACGGGCCACCAUAUUUCGUGAAAAAAAACGUUUCCCCCUGACUAUUGGGACCCACCAGCUACACCUUCGCACGCAUGGAAGUGCGUCCGGGCAAAAAAAACCAAAACGAUUCGCCCCCCUGACUGUUGGGACCCACCAGCUACAUCUUCGCACGCAAGGAAGUGCCUGACAGUCGGGACCCACCUGGUCGAAGCGUACGUAGUGUUGUCAUUCUGGUCGUGAACGUGUACGUACAUAUAUACUGGUGGAUGUAGAGGCGCGCACGUGUCGUAGUAGAGGCACGCACGUAGCAUGUACACACACAUACAACGGCGAUGGUGCAAGAAAGAAAAUACAGCCACGUACGUACAUACGGGCAGGGUCUCUAACGCCUAUCACGCAUAUGUACAUGGCUGGGUCGGAACGGAGAAACAACAUCGUCGUCGUGUUCAUGGGGAGCCAACCGGCUGGGUCAGAACGGAAUGCGUGGUCAUGUUCACCGAGAGUGCUUGGAUGUAACACGCGAUGGAAACGAGGCUUGGCGUACCGCACAACGGAGGUAACGGCCUUGUGUUUGACCGACCACGUUCGAAACGGGGUGCUGUUGAUCAGGAGGGGCCUGGCGUAUCGCAAAACGGAGGAAACGGACCUCCUACGGUCGAAACGGGGGUCCUGUUGAUCAGCAGGGGUGUGGCGUACCGCAAAACGGAGGAAACGGACCUACUACAGUUGAAACGGGGGUCCUAUUCAUCGGGAGGGGUGUGGCGUACCGCAAAACGGACGAAACGGACUUGUGUUGGAGUGCUACGGUCAAAACGGUGGGGGGAGGGAUGUGGCGUACCGCAAAACGGGACUCCACGGGAUACUGUUCAUCUCCACCGUCGACCUCCUCCGGCCUCCACGGGCUACCGUCGACCUCCUCCAGCCUCCACGGGUUCCUGUUCAUCCAGCCUCCACCGCGCGCUACUCCACCGGCUACUGUUCAACCACCCCUCCACGGGCACCCCUCCACCGUCUACUGUUCAUCCAGCCCUCCACACCACGGGGUCCUAUUCAACCACCCCUCCACGACCACCCCUCCACCAUCUACUGUUCAUCCAGCCCUCCACACCACGGGGUCCUGUUCAACNNNNNNNNNNNNNNNNNNNNNNNNNNNNNNNNNNNNNNNNNNNNNNNNNNNNNNNNNNNNNNNNNNNNNNNNNNNNNNNNNNNNNNNNNNNNNNNNNNNNNNNNNNNNNNNNNNNNNNNNNNNNNNNNNNNNNNNNNNNNNNNNNNNNNNNNNNNNNNNNNNNNNNNNNNNNNNNNNNNNNNNNNNNNNNNNNNNNNNNNNNNNNNNNNNNNNNNNNNNNNNNNNNNNNNNNNNCAAUCGAUCGGCUUCAGUAGCAGCGGUAGCGAAGGAAUCGCUCCAUCGGGUUCAGUUAACAGCCAUCGAUCGAUCCCUUGGGUUCAGUAACGCGUAGCCUGCAGUGCAAUCGCUCGGGUUCAGUUAGAGCCCAACGCCUCACUCUGCUUCAAUUAGAGCCAACGCCUCGCACACACGCGCGUACGUACGAGAGAAACGCGCAUCGCUCUCCCACUGUAACCGGCAACUCCCCAAAAUUUUCCUCCCCCUCGCUUCUACCACGGUUUUUUCCGACAUGGACGGCCCAAAGAAUGUUAUGCAGCUGCGUCUCCGGCCCGCCCAGGAUGAAAAGCCCAUUUUCUGUCAUGAUUUUUUGUCAUAGAAGUAGGAGCCCACCACAUCUAUGAUGAUACCGGGUUUUGUCACAAUUAUCGUCAUAGAAGUGUCAUAUGUAUGACAGAAAAAAAAUUCGUUCGGCCCAAAAUGUCAAGGAUGUGUGUUUUUUUGUAGUGAAAGCUCAAAAGAAAACUAGUGGGUGUGCAUCAACUUGCUUCCUCAUGAAGACCUAGGGCAUUUGAGGAAGCCCAUCGUUGUAAUAUACAAGCCAAGUUCUAUACGAAAAAUUCCCAUUAGUCAUAUAUGAAAGUGACAAAAUAGGAGACUCUCUAUCAUGAAGAACAUGGUGCUACUUUGAAGCACAAGUGUGGAAAAGGAUAGUAACAUUGUGCCUUCUUUCUUUUUCUCUAUUUUUUCCUUCCCCCCUUUUUUUGUGGGCUUCUUUGGCCUCUUUUAUUUUGAUAACCUCACAUGAGACAAUGUUCUAAUAAUGAUGAUCAUCACACUUUUAUGUACUUACAACUCAAAAUUACAACUCGAUACUAGAACAAAGGUAUGACUCUAUAUGAAUGCCUCCGAUGGUGUACCAGAAUGUGCAAUGAUCAAGAGUGACAUAUAUAAAAAUAUGAACGGUGGCUUUGCCACAAAUACGAUGCCAACUACAUGAUCAUGGAAAUCAAUACGACUAAGAUGGUAUGUGUCACAAUAAACAUAACGGUGGAAGUUACAUGGGAAUAUACCCCGGAAUGGCUAUGAAAAUGCCAUAAUAGGUACAUAUGGUGGCUGUUUUGAGGAAGGGUAAAGAGUGGGUUUAAUGCACUGGCGAAAGUUGCAUGAUACUAGAGUGGCUAGCAAAGGUGGAAGGGUGAGAGUGCGUAUAAUCCAUGGACUCAACAUUAGUCAUAAAGAACUCACAUACUUAUUGCAAAAAAUCUAUUAGCCCUCGAAGCAAAGUACUACUAUGCAUGCUCCUAGGGGAGAGGUUGGUAGGAGUUAACUGUCGCGCGCUCCUGACUUUCAUGCAAAGGAAACAAUCAAGAAUAAAUUGCGCUCCAACUUCAUCACGUUACUAGAAGACCAUACGUGCAUGCUACGAGAAUCACAAACCUUACCACAAUUAUUUCUUUGACUCCACAAUUUACUACUAGCAUGACUCUAAUAUCACCAUCUUCAUAUCUCAAAACAAAUGCAAGGAAUCAAACUUCUCAUGUAUCCAAUGCUCUAUAUGAAAGUUUUUAUUAUCCUUUGGAUACCUAUCAUAUUACGACUAAAAUCAUAACCAAUGCAAAUUAUUUUGAUGUUUAGAAAGACACUCAAAAUAAUAUAAUUUAAGCAAGAGAGUUCGAUAAUUUCUAUAAAAUAAAGCCACCGCCGUGCUCUAAAAAGAUAUAAGUGAAGCACUAGAGCAAAAUUGCCUAGCUCAAAGGAUAUAAGUGAAGCACAUAGAGUAUUCUAAUAAAUAACGAUUCAUGCGUGUCCCUCUCAAAAGGUGUGUACAGCAAGGAUAAUUGUGGCAAACUAAAAAGCAAAGACUCAUAUCAUACAAGACGCUCCAAGCAAAACACAUAUCAUGUGGUGAAUAAAAAUAUAGCCUCAAGUAAAUUUACCGAUAGAUGAAGACGAAAGAGGGGAUGCCAUGCGGGGCAUCCCCAAGCUUAGGCUCUUGGUUGUCCUUGCAUAUUACCUUGGGGUGCCUUGGGAAUCCCCAAGCUUAGGCUCUUGCCACUCCUUAUUCAAUAGUCCAUCAAAUAUGUACCCAAAACUUGAAAACUUCACAACACAAAACUCAACGAAAAACUCAUCAAAUCUUCAGCUUGCGUUGGUUUUUCCCUUGAAGAGGAAAGAGUGAUGCAGCAAAGUAGAUAUAAAUAUUUCCCUCAGUUAGAGAACCAAGGUAUCAAUCCAGUAGGAGGUACAAGCAAGUCAGCAAUCUAUGCACCUGCAAAAACAAUAAAACACUUGCACCCAACGCGAUAAAGGGGUUGUCAAUUCCUUCACGGUCAAUUGCUAAGGUGAGAUAUGAUAGAGAUAGGUAAAACUAAAAGGUAACUAAAUUAUUUUGUUUUUUUGGUUUAUAGAUCUGAAAAUAAAAGAUUGCAAAAUAGUAGAUCGGAAAGCAAAUAUUAUGGAAAAUAGACCCGGGGGCCAUAGGUUUCACUAGAGGCUUCUCCAAUGAAGGCAAAUAAUACGAUGUGUGAACAAAUUACUGUCGAGGAGUUGAUAGAAAAGUGCAAAGUUAUGAUGAUAUCCAAGGCAAUGAUUAUGCAUAUAGGCAUCACGUCCGUGUCAAGUAGACCGACUCCUUCCUGCAUCUACUUCUAUUACUCCACACAUCGACCGCUAUCCAAUAUGCAUCUAGAGUAUUAAGUUCAUAAAGAAUGGAGUAAUGCCAUAAGUAAGAUGACAUGAUGUAGAGGGACAAACUCAAGCAAUAUGAUGAAAACCCAUCUUUUUAUCCUCGAUGGCAACAAUACAAUACGUGCCUCGCUACCCCUACUUUGUCACUGGUUGAGGACGCCGCAAGAUUGAACCCAAAACUAAGCACCUCUCCCAUUGCAAGAAAUACCAAUCUAGUUGUCCAAACCAAACCGAUAAUUCGAAGAGAAAUACAAAGAUACGAAAUCAUGCAUAUAAGAAUUCAGAGAAGAUUCAAAUAAUAUUCAUAUAUAAUCUGAUCAUAAAUCCACAAUUCAUCAGAUCUCGACAAACACACCGCAAAAGAAGAUUACAUCGGAUAGAUCUCCAAGAACAUCGAGGAGAACAUGGUAUUGAGAAUCAAAGAGAGAGAAGAAGCGAUCUAGCUACUAGCUAUGGACCCGUAGGUGUGAGGUAAACUACUCACGCUUCAUCAAAAGGGCAAUUGGGUUGAUGUAGAAGCCAUCCAUGAUCGAAUCCCCCUCCGGCAGAGUACCGAAAAAGGCCUCCAGAUGGGAUCUCAUGAGGUUAGAGAGCUGCGGCGGCGGAAAAAUAUUUUCGUGGAUGCUUCUGAGGGUUUUGGAAUAUAUGUGAAUUUAUAGAAUGAAGUAGUAGGUCGGUGGACUCCCGAGGGGACCACAAGCCACAGGGGUACGCCCCUACGGCUUGUCAUCGCCUCAUGGGUGUUCUGACUUCGUCUCCAAGUCUCGUAGGUGUCUUUAGUCCAAGAAAAAUCAUUGCGAAAGUUUUAUUUUGUUUGGACUCCGUCUGAUAUUCCUUUUCUGCGAAACUCAAAAACAAGGAAAAACAAAAACUGGCAUUGGGCUCUAGGUUUAUAAGUUAGUCCCAAAAAUAAUAUAAAACAACAUAUUAAUGCAUAUAAAACAUCCAAAAUAGAUAAUAUAAUAUCAUGGAACAAUCAAAAAUUAUAAUACGUUGGAGAUUUAUCACUUUGCACACUGUGGGGAGUGACAAACAUACAGUCUUGUUGAAUUGAGCAUCAUCUCCCUCGCCGUCAUCUUCAGUUACCUUGCCCUUACUAGACUUCUUCCUCUGUGUAAAGGAAAAUGCAGUCCACAUUAGAAGAUUAGCCAAAAAGAGACAACAAAGGCAGAUAGAAUAAUAAUGAAAGAAACAAAUGCAGUCCACUUCAACAAACUUUGGUACAACAUCCGCCUCCCCACCAGAGUCAACAUUAGCAUAUUCAUCACCAUCAUCACGAGGCCACUUGCAUUAACUCUUAGAUGGACCAUAAUCUUUCCGUCUACCAAUCUGAACAUACCUCACAAAAUUAGCAUGCACAAAGUCAUCAUCGUCAGAGUUGGGGCCUUCACUGACAUGUGGUCGCUUCCGCUGAGGAUCCUCUGCACUAGCUUCAAUAGUUCUCUUGCCAAGGUUCUUGUUUACGCAAGCAACACAAGGUAUCCGCCGAGGAGUACCACCUUCCUCAGCAAUAGAACUCUGUCUCUCCUUUUGCAAAGCAGGUUGCUUGAGUUUACCAAAUUUGGCACCCUUGGCACCAUCUGCAGUUCUCCUCCGCUUCUCUUUCUCCGCAUACUCCUUUGAGUCACUUUCAAACCUCAACGUUUUCUUGCGUUGCUUCAAUUCAUAUGCAUGAAGGUGUUCCGGGACCAUCCACUCAUGCGUAACUUCCUCUGUACCAACAACAGAUUGUGACUGUGUUUCAGAUAAGAUGGGACGCCUAAGGCUCUGGUCACACCAAUGUCACCCUUUGCAAAAUAAUGGUCAAUCAAUUGAGUAACCUCCUCAAACCCAGGCGCCCUGCACAAAAACCAGACACCGCGUCAAAAUGAAGUUUAACUAUGGUCAUUAAGUAGUGCACAAAAGGAACAAAUGCAGUCCAUCUAUACAUAUAAAUGCAGUGCUGCAUGCAAAAGAUAAAUAAAAAAUAACACAAUUCAUAUAUUAACGUAAUGGAGUACACCAAUCUGCUUACACAACGUGGAUAAAACGACAAUGCAGUUCCCACAUACAUAUAGUGGAGUUCACAUAUACAUAUAAAUGUAGUGCUACAUACACUAACUUCACGUUUGUUUCCAACAAAUGCCUGACUAAUUUCAUCAAGGCAACAACUGUUUGUACAACAUCAGUAAGCAACAUACACAAUAAACAAAGCAUUCACAUAAAAAUAGCAAGUAUUUAUAAGAACAAUGCAUUUCAAAACUCAUAGGACACAUAUGAAAUUUACAAGAGAAAGAGGGAAACAACCAAAUUGGCAAAAUAAAUAAGAAAAAAGAGCAAACAACAUACCAAAAGGAGGGGCCACACUUAUAGGAGAAGAUUCAAUUGGUGAAUUCACUUCAUGGCCUGCCUCACCACCAUGAUCCUUACCACCACGACAACGAGAGCCAAUUGGCGUAUCAUUAUGACCAGUGCCAUCGCCUACUGGAUUCAAUAAAAACCAAAAGAAGAAAUUACAACCAUCACAUGACAAAUAAUGCUGGCAACGCUGACAACUAACACAACAUAAACAAAUUUGCAGGAUCAACUAGGCAACUAGAUGAACAACAUAGAAAAUCAACAAGGCCAAGCAAGCAGUCCACAUACCUUGAACUCCUCCUUCUACUCUACUUGGCGAAGACAUGGCGUUUGCCUGCAGCGCAAGGACGGAGUGACAGAUAUCAACAACAAAAUCAACAAAAUCUGACAAAACCCUAGAUGCACCUUGCUCUGCCUAUAGAGCACACACGAGUACCGACUACAAAUCGAGAUCAAAUCGCCUGCUUACGAAAAAAUACAUGAGCAAAAAAUGCAUCUGCUAUGAGAAUCACAAAACUAGACGAAGGGACGAUCACGAUCGAGGGCACGAGAAACGUACCACAAAAAUGGGAUGAACGACGGUGCUGGGGAGCGGGGGCGGGAGCGGAGGGGAAAGGGGUGGGGGAGCGGAGUGGAAAGGGGUUAGGGAGCGAAAGGGGGCACGUAAUGCAUGAAUAUGGUCCUCCUGAGGAUGGCGGUUGCUGCGGGCGUCAGUGGUUUUGCUCGAGGGAGAGAUGUUUUGGGAGGCGCUGGAAGAGAGGGGAGAGCUUCUUUUGGUCUCUCCCUGUGAGCGCAACAGUCGGAGCGCCUGUUAGGGCCAUGUGUGAGGCCCACGUGGGAAGGGUUACAUAAACUGGCAGGCCCAAAACGGCCCGACUAAAUUAGACGGACCCGUUGGAAACAAAGAAGUUCAUACAAGAUGCAGUUCACUAUGCUGGAAAAUGAAGUUCGGAAUGUCAAACAAAUAAAUAUAUGAAGUUCGUGAAAAACAUUUAAAGUCAAAAAAACAACAUGCGUGUUAAGAUAACAUGUUCGAAAAAAAUCUUCCUUCAAAAAAGUGUCAGGACAACAAAAAAAUGGGGGGGUCCCCCAACCCUCCCACCCGUGCUAGGGCCAUAACAAGUACACGCAACUGGUGCAGUCCGCAGUUCUCGACAAUGUUGUGCAUUGUUUUAGACGAAGCAGUAAGGUACCAUAAGUAAUGGAGUUCGGCAACAUGUUUAAUACAUAUAAUGGGACAAUGCCUUUCAGAGAAAACAUGGUGAACAUAUUUUAUUGAUGAAAAAUAAAAUAAAACCACGUUAAAAAAACCACGUUCAAAGACAACUGCCCAAUACGAGCGGUUGCAUCGCCACAAACCCACGAUCAUAGACGCACGCCAACCCAUGAUCUACACAAUCGCAUUGUUAGCGAGAUCAUGAAGUUCAUCCCUUGCGGGCACCUCCCCCUUAAAUUUAGACCCCCGCCAAAGGCUUUCUCAUCCACAACAACACAAGUCGCCAUUGCGCUGCUACCAAAUCCCUCUAUCUUAUCAAUCUCCACAAAAAGACACCAAGCCCUACUACCGGCGAUGGGGUUCGUCAACGAGUACAGCCAAGUGGAGGCCCACGGCGACACCAAGUUGCACGUGAUCCACACCAACAACAAGAAGCAUAUGGCGGCCUCCCUUGAGCACUACGAGUGCCACCUCAGGCUCCAGCGACACAAGAUCAUUGGAAUUGAUCUGCAACACACCAACUAGCCCGAGGAGACACAGAAACCCGCCCUCUUCCAACUCUCCGUCGGCAAGACUUAGCCGGUGCUGCUCUUCCAACUGAGCGGCGCUGAAAGGUGCACCGUCUUCAACAACUUCCUCGCUGACCCCAGGUACACGUUUGCUGGCUUCUCCAUCGGCGGCGACAAAGCCAGGCUCGAGCACAUCAAUCUGGAGGUUUCCAACUUUGUCGACAUCCAGAAGGAAUGGAGGGUGCCCGAGGCCACCAAGGAGUUGGACUCCCUUGAAAACAUCGCCGACAUGCUCGUCGACGACUACUACAACAACAUGAAGAAGAAGAUCACCAAUGAAGAACAUAGGCGAUGGGACUCUCUGCCCCUGUCCAUGAGGCACAUCGAGUACGCGGCAAAGGACGCGUAUGCAGCGUACGAGAUAUGGAACCACAUCACUCUCACCUAGGAUGGGCUUCACCGUGCAAAGCUGGAUAAGGAGGAGCCCCCCCAAGAAGCAUGCUAGGAGCUGCGAAGACUUCACCUGGUGAAGAAGCAAAUGGUGCCGGCCAAGAAAGUAUCUACAAAAUUUCAUGCGGUGUUUUAGAUUUAUCAUCAAAUUUGCUUUCUGUUGUUUGCUUAUGUAAAGUUAGUUUGCUUGUGAUUAUUUGCUUUUGCUAAACUUAGCUUGCUUGUCAUACAAAAUGGCUUUUAAUGAUGAAGCUUGCUUAUUUUAUGAAGAACUUUAUUUCAAUUAUAAAACAAGAGUUCAAUAUUAGAACAUACUGUAGUGCACAUAAAGUAUGUGAUUCAAGAGUGCACAAACGGAAGACUGCACAGAUAAACGAAGAUGCAGUGCACAAAAAGGAUGCAUGCAGUGCAAAAUGUGGGCACCUGUAGUACAUAAUCCUGAUGAAUGUAGUGCACAAUGAUCUAACAAAGUAGUACACACCGUAUAUUUGAAAAAGAUAUGUAAGAGGAAAACACGAAAAAAAUGGACCAAGAUGCAGUGCACAAAUAUGAUUCAUGCAGUGCAAAAAAUACUCAUGCAUAUGUAGUGCGAAAUGUGGGCACAUGCAGUAUAGAAUCCUGAUGAAAUGCACUGCACAAUGAUCGAACAAUGCAGUGCACGCCUAUAUUAGAAGUUACAUAAGAGGAAAAUAUGAAAACAAUUACCGCCCAGGUGCAACCAGGCCCCAGCCAGUCUUGUACUAAGCUUGUGUCGACAGUUAUACGCAGGCGAGUCCAUUCUGAGCCACGAUGCGUGGGGCCAGACACAUAAGGGCCCACAUGUCCACGGGAAUAGUGCAACGAGCACUGUGUAUAAGUGCCCAAUUAGUAAUCAGAGGAGUUCGAAAGCGUUGCCUCACUAGGGCUUAUAAACCAGUCGCGAGCGCUCUUGGCAGGCGAGGUGGGACUAAACUUUACCACAUACACAUAGCGCACCGCGAAGCACCCGUGCUGGCACGCCUACUUGGGCCAAAUGCGUCUUUCCUCCCCAAAGGCCCAACACGCGAGAGGGGCCACUAAAUAUCAAAAGACUCCCACAAACCACGAAAAACCACGGACCAAUAAAAUAAAACAAUAACUAGAAAAAAAUAAAAACAC